UUGUGGGCAUGGGCGGGAUUGGUAAAACCACUCUUGCUCAGCUUAUCUACAACGAGGAAAGGGUAGAGCAGUGCUUUCAACUCAAAGCCUGGGUCUGGGCUUCUCAACAAUUUGAUGUUGCCAGGAUUAUUAAGGAUAUUCUUGAAAAGAUCAACGCAAGUACUUGCCGCACCAAAGAACCAGAUGAAUCUCUAAUGGAGGCAGUGAAAGGGAAAAAACUCCUACUUGUUCUAGAUGACGCGUGGAACAUCGAGUACAAUGAAUGGGAUAAGUUACUGCUACCUUUGCGGUAUGUGGAGCACGGAAGUAAGAUUGUCGUGACAACACGGGAAGAAGAUGUAGCAAAAGUCACGCAAACUGUCAUCCCCUCUCACCGCUUGAAUGUAAUAAGCGAUGAAUAUUGCUGGAAGUUGUUUGCAAGGGAUGCAUUUAGUGGUGUAAAUUCUGGAGCAGUCUCACACUUGGAAGCAUUUGGCAGAGAAAUAGCGAGAAAGUGCAAAGGUUUACCGCUGGCAGCGAAAACUCUUGGGGGUCUUUUGCACUCCGUAGGAGAUGUCAAGCAAUGGGAGAAGAUAUCCAAUAGCAGUAUGUGGGGUUCGUCGAAUGAAAACAUCCCUCCAGCUCUAACAUUGCGCUAUUAUUAUCUCCCUUCACACCUGAAACGUUGUUUUGCUUACUGCGCAAUAUUUCCUAAGGGUUAUGAAUUUCAUAAGGAUGAAUUGAUCACUGAAUGGAUGGCACAUGGUUUUCUAGUCCAGCCCAGAGGCGUUGAGGAGAUGGAAGAUAUAGGUGAAAAAUACUUUGAUGAUCUUGUCUCUAGGUCACUUUUCCAGCAAUCAACUCGUGAAUAUUCUUUUUUCAGCAUGCAUGACCUCAUAAGUGAUUUAGCUGAAUACGUGUCAGGAGAAUUUUGCUUUAAGCUUGGUAUUAAUGAAUCGGGCUCUGGGUUGGAGGGUGAACAUUCAUGCUCGCUUCCAGAAAGGACUCGUUAUUUAUCAAUCACUUCAGCGGCAGCAUAUGGCGGAGGACUUCGGAUAUUUCGUAGCAUUCAUGGAGUCCAACAUUUGCGCGCCUUGUUUCCACUGAAGUUUUUUGUGGAAGUUGAUAUUGAGGCGCUGAAUGACAUUUUGCCAAAUCUUAAGCGCUUGCGCAUGCUAUCUUUAUGUCAUCCAAAAGAUAUUUCUUCUCAGUUGCUCAAUUCCAUUGGCAACUUAAAACAUUUGCAUAUUUCUUCUCAGUUGCUCAAUUCCAUUGGCAACUUAAAACAUUUGCGGCACUUGGACCUUUCUUGCACCGCCAUUGAAAUGUUACCUAAAAGUGUGUGCACCUUGUACUAUUUGCAAAGCUUAUUGUUAAAGGAGUGCCGACAUCUCAUGGAGUUGCCAUCCAACCUUUCCAACUUGGUCGACUUACAACAUCUUGAUAUUGAAGGGACAAAUUUGAAAGAGAUGCCACCAAAAAUGGGGAAACUCACGAAGCUUCGAAUUUUGGAUUCUUACAUCGUGGGAAAAGAUAGCGGGUCUAGCAUGAAAGGGUUGGGGAAGCUCUCACAUAUAAGGAAAAAACUUUCUAUUCGGAAUCUCAGAGAUGUUGCAAAUGCUCAAGAUGCUUUGGAUGCCAAUUUGAAGGGUAAGAAGAAGAUUGAGGAGUUGGGGUUGACGUGGGAUGGCAGUACGGAUGACACACCACACGAGAGAGAUGUACUUGAGAAAUUGGAGCCUUCUGAAGAUGUGAAAGAGCUUGCCAUUAUUGGUUACGGGGGUACAACGUUUCCAGGCUGGCUUGGAAACUCUUCUUUCUCAAAUAUGGUAACGUUGCUUCUUUAUGGAUGUAAGAACUGCAUCCUCUUACCACCAUUGGGGCAGCUGCCAUCUCUUGAAGAGCUCCAUAUUGAAGGAAUUGAUGAUGUCGUCCCCAUUUAGUUCUGAGUUCUAUGGAAGUGGACCCUUGGAUUGUGAAGCCAUUUUAAAUCCCUCCAAAAUAUUAAACCUUUGCGGGGAUGAAAAAAUGGCAGGAAUGGAAAACGGAUGUAGAUGGUGCUUUUCCUCAUCUUGAAAAGCUCUUGAUAGCAGGUUGUCCCGAGUUAGCAAAUGCCUUGUGUUGUAACCCAAUUUUGGAUUCACCAAGAUUUUCUUGAAUGUUAUUUUAUUUCUAUUAUUAUUUAUAAAAAUCUAAAAAAAUUAAGAAAAAGUUUAAAAAUUCAAAAAAUAUAUUUUUCUCGAGUCAACCGCAUCUUUCCAUCAAAACCGAGUCUAUCGGGUCAAUACGGGUCAAACCAUGUCGACCAGGGUAAAAAAUGAGUUUCGGGCCGUUUCGGGUCAAAACCGUUAUUUUUGACCAAAACCGAGUUCACCAGGUCAAUACGGGUCAAACCAUGUCGACCAGGGUAAAAAAUGAGUUUCGGGCCGUUUCGGGUCAAAACCGUCAUUUUUUACAAAAACCGAGUUCACCAGGUCAAUACGGGUCAAACCAUGUCGACCAGGGUAAAAAAUGAGUUUCAUGCCGUUUUGGGUCAAACCUAUUAUUUUUUGGUCAAAACCCGGUCCACCGGGUUUAUAUCCAUUGAAAGUUUUUUUUUAUGUUUCAACAUAAUUUUCGGUAAUUAAAAUUGAUUUUUAGCGGUUGAAUCGGGCUUUUUCUAAUACUGAUUUAAGUUUUAAUUUUACCUGUAUAAAUAUAUAUUAUUAUAUAUAAUAAAACAAAAUUACAGUGCGCAGGACGAAGAAGAAAAGAAAAAAAAAGAAAGAAAAGAAUUGUAAAGUUUUUUUACUAUUUCUUCACGAGAGUAGGAUAUUGAUUUAAAAAAAAAACAAUAUGGAAAAUACCAAAUAUAUCCUAACCGUUAGAUCUAAUAGUGUUUAGAUCUGAACCGUUGAUUUAAGAGGAUACAAUAGGGCUUACCACACCAGAUUAAAACCCAAACACAUCUCAGCCCUUGAAAUAAUCUAAGCUUUGAUCCCGUUGUGCCACGUCACCCGGUGUACCGAGAUUUCGGUGCACCGCGUCACACAGGAUCAAACCUCUGUUCAUCCGGACCGUCCGAUCAACCUGCAGAUCGGGCCAAUCACAGCCGCACGAUCUUUCCAUCAGAGAUCCAACGGAUUACAGGCAUCAACGGCACCGGCGUACCGUGCUAGUGCUCUCACCGUAGCAUAGCCCAGAGCAUCUCUCUCCUCUCGCCGGCGACUCCCUCUCUCUCCUCCGAUCUCCCAUAUCCGGCCACUGCAAGCUUGAAACCCACCACAGAAAGGUCGCCUUCAUCAUAUAAAGCAAAACCCCUGCCGGUUUCAGCGUUUUCGCCGCUCUAUUUGGCCGGAAACGGGCCGCGAUUCGUCGGCUGCCACCGAAGCUUCAAGUCGUCGAUUCUCGCUCAUCAGCCAUCAACGACAGUCAAGACCACCACCAUAAGAAUCCUUGACAUCAGAUCUACCAGGAUCGACCAUCGGUUGGACAGAAAUCGCGCCGGAAAAUCUCUCCGCCGCCAACAGUAACCGCGCGUGUGCCACACGCGCCGCCAGUGGCAUUUUUGGAAUUUUUCAAGAAACCCGAGGGUAUUUCAGUCUUUUACCUAUACAGUGGCACUCAUGUAAUUUUUUGGGGUUUCUACUGGUAUUUUUGAUAUUUUUUUAUAUAUAUAAAUGCUUGUAAAUUUUCUUACAUGUUGUAAAAAAUACAAAAACCAAAGUCGACACGUCUCUUUUUUUAAAAGGACCGAUGUCAAAAAUGUAAAUACCAAAUAUGGAUUAUGUCCAUUAUUUCUUUUGGUAACCCAGACGUAAUUAUUCUUUUUAGGGACAAACGUCAAUAUUUUAGACGAGUCUCCUAAUUUUUAGGGACUGAUGUCAUUUUUAACGUGUCUCCUAUUUUUAGGGACCGACGUUAACCAUUUUAAAAAACAAAUUACCAAUAAACCCAAAAUAUAAUGGAUUAUAUCCAUUAUUUUUUUUGGUAAUUCAGACGAGUCUCCUAAUUUUUAGGGACUGAUGUCAUUUUUAACGUGUCUCCUAUUUUUAGGGACCGACGUUAAUCAUUAAAAAAAUUUACAAAUAAGCCCAAAAUAUAAUCGCAUUUGAAUCAAAUAAAAAACACACAAGUAAGGGUAACCUUUCUUUUGAAAGGAUGUUUUAAGGGUGGUGUCUACCUUCCCUUAAUCAUAACUAACCCCGUAUCCAAAUCUCUGGGACCAGUGUCUAAUUUGGGAUUUCUAGUUCCCUCAAAUUACUAGAUGGCGACUCCAGUAAAAUCUUUAUUUCCCCUAAUCAAAGAAAAAAACCCUUUUUGUUAAAUAAACAAAAAAGCGGGAGCCGUCGCCCGACGUCGUGUAUCGACAGAAUGGCUUAUUUGUAAAUUUAACAAAGAGGGGGGAACCGUGAUGAGAGCCGUGAUGACAGAACAAAGAAGGCUUUGGAAUGCAAACAAAGCCACCCCAUGACGAUGAAGCAUCAAAGAGGGGGGAACCUAUAUUUCAAAAACAGGUAAGAUGCAUUGCAUAUCAUCUAACUUCACGAGCAUUACAUAUUUGUUUUGCAGAUAUUUCGAGAAACAAAAUUCCCACUGGGAUCCAACGAGACUCACAUGAAUUGAAGUUCUUGUAAAUCACAUCAAAUAUGGCAAUUCCACAAAAGCAAAAUUCAUAAAUGAAGACAAGAAAGAUGGAUUUUUAUUCAUGGAAAAAGGGGUUUACAAGUACAAAUGUUAAACAGUGCGAGGACGAUCAGGGAUAUUUUCAUCUUGGUGGUUAAUCAUGCCUCGGAAUUCCUCAAAUUGUUUAUGCAUGCGCUCCAUCUCUUCCUCGAACUCGAGGUGUCGUGUGUUAACAUAGUCCCUCCAAAAGUCAACACGUGUAUUUAACUCUUGGUUUCUCCUCUCCAAGUUGUUUCUGUGACGUCUCUCAUCACGGAGUCUAUUCCUUAAAUUCUCAAUCUGAUGUUGGAGAUCAAGAACCUGAGUAUUCAACUCAAGUCUUCUGGCAUGAAGACGCUCUGCAACGUUCACCAAAGACGAAGUAGCUCUGAUACUGAGAGCAAGUGACUGAUUCACUGCUUCAAUAUCGGUCCUGGCUGCCAACAUUAUUUCAUCACGAGGAAGGAUCAUGUCUCUGGCCACGGCUACAGCAAUAUCUUCAUUGUCCAUUACAGUAUCCUCUAUUGUAACUGGACGACCAUUCACUUCAAAGGUAGUAUGCCAACCUGCAGGCUCUACUUCAGGAACAGGGUUUGGGUUCGCAUUGGAAGAAGAAGAAGACAUGGUUAGAGCUUCAAAGGUUAAGAACUUUGAGAGUAUUGAAAAUGCAAGAAGUUGAUGAUGUCUUUUGCCAAAUACUGCGUGAUUUAUAAGGAAUUUACUCCUACCAUCACUUUGAACGGCAGAAAUCCCAACCGUACAUACAAGACUUCCUUGAGAAGCUUUCCUCAUUUUUUGGGAUCCACAAAUCGAAUCCCAACCAUACAUACAGGACUUCCUUGCGAAGCUUUCCUCAUUUUUGGGAUCCACAAAUCAAAUCCCAACCGUACAUACAAGACUUCCUUGAGAAGCUUUCCUCAUUUUUUGGGAUCCACAAAUCGAAUCCCAACCGUACAUACAAGACUUCAUUGACAAGCUUUCUAUUAUUUCUAUGUAUUUCACAAAACCAAUGUUGAAAUCACUUUCAUGUAUUUCACAAGACUAAGAUUGAAAUCACUUUCAUGUAUUUCACAACAUUAAUCUGAAAUCACUUUCAUGUAUUCACAAGAUCAAUAUUGAAAACACUUUCAUGUUUAUCAUUUGGGCAGGUCGCCCAUAAGAAUUAGACCAACUGAAAAAUCGUUGUAUUUUUCAACACUUCCAUCGUUUUUCUUUACAAAACUUACUAUGCAAAAGUCAAAAGAAAAUGAAUUUUCCAAUGCCUUUGCACCGUAAGCAUUGUAAAGAGGGGGCAACUGUUGUAACCCAAUUUUGGAUCCACCAAGAUUUUCUCAAAUGUUAUUUUAUUUCUAUUAUUAUUUAUAAAAAUCCAAAAAAAUUAAGAAAAAGGAAAAUUCAAAAAUAUAUUUUUCUCGAUUCAACCGCAUCUUUCCGUCAAAACCGAGUCCACCAGGUCAAUACGGGUCAAACCAUGUCGACCAGGGUAAAAAAUGAGUUUCAUGCCGUUUUGGGUCAAACCUGUUAUUUUUUGGUCAAAACCCGGUCCAUCGAGUUUAUAUCCAUUGAAAGUUUUUUUUUAUGUUUCAACAUAAUUUUCGGUAAUUAAAAUUGAUUUUUAGCGGUUGAAUCGGGCUUUUUCUAAUACUGAUUUAAGUUUUAAUUUUACCUGUAUAAAUAUAUAUUAUUAUAUAUAAUAAAACAAAAUUAAUAAUACAGAAUUGUCAUAUUAGGCGGGGCAGUUACAUUUAUUGUAGGCGAGCAGUGGACGGAUACAUUGUUAUAAAGCGAGAUGCUUGCUGUCCCCUUUCAUUGGCUAUUCAGUUUUUUUUUUUACUAUUUCUGAUAUUGAUUUUUAUUAAAAACAAUAUGAAAAAUACCAAAUAUAUCCUAACCGUUAGAUCUAAUAGUGUUUAGAUCUGAACCGUUGAUUUAAGAGUAUACAAUAGGGCUUACCACACCAGAUUAAAACCCAAACACAUCUCAGCCCUUGAAAUAAUCUAAGCUUUGAUCCCGUUGCGCCACGUCACCCGGUGUACCGAGAUUUCAGUGUACCGCGUCACACCCGAUCAAAGCUCCGCUCAUCCAGACCGUCCGAUCAACCUGCAGAUCCAGCCAAUCACAGCCAUCCGAUCGUUUCAUCCGAGAUCCAACGGUUCACCGUGUUCAGCAGUACCGGUGUACCAUGCUUGCGUUCUCACCGUAGCAGAACCCAGAGCAUCUCUCUCCUCUCGCCGGCGACGCUCUCUCUCUCAUCCGAUCUCCACUUUCCGGCCAUCUCCAGCCUCCGCACCACCACAGAAAGGUCGCCUUCCUCAUAUAAAGCAAAACCUCGGCCGGUUUCAGCGUUUUCGCCGCUCUAUUUGGCCGGAAACGGGCCGCGAUUCGUCGGCUGCCACAGAAGCUUCAAGUCGUCGAUUCUCGCUCAUCAGCCAUCAACGACCGUCAAGACCACCACCAUAAGAAUCCUCGACAUCAGAUCUACCAGGAUCGACCAUCGGUUGGCCAGAAAUAUCGCCGGAAAAUCUCCCCGCCGCCAACAGUAGCCGCGCGUGUGCCACACGCACCGCCAGUGGCAUUUUCGUAAUUUUUCAAGAAACCCGAGGGUAUUUUAGUAUUUUACCUAUACAGUGGCACUCAGGUAAUUUUUCGGGGUUUUCUACUGGUAUUUUUGAUAUUUUUUAUAUAUAAAUGCUUGUAAAUUUUCUUGCAUGUUGUAAAAAAUACAAAAACCAAAGUCGACACGUCUCUUUUUUUUAAAAGGACCGAUAUCAAAAAUGUAAAUACCAAAUAUGGCUUAUGUCCAUUAUUUUUUUGGUAACCCAGACGUAAUUCUCCUUUUCUAGGGAUAAACGUCAAUAUUUUAGACGAAUCUCCUAAUUUUUAGGGACUGAUGUCAUUUUUAACGUGUCUCCUAUUUUUAGGGACCGACGUUAACCAUUUAAAAAAAAACAAAUUGCCAAUAAACCCAAAAUAUAAUGGAUUAUAUCCAUUAUUUCUUUUGGUAACUCAGACGAGUCUCCAAUUUUUAGGGACUGAUGUCAUUUUUAACGUGUCUCCUAUUUUUAGGGACCGACGUUAAUCAUUUACAAAAAUUUACAAAUAAGCCCAAAAUAUAAUCGCAUUUGAAUCAAAUAAAAACACACAAGUAAGGGUAACCUUUCUUUUGAAAUGAUGUUUUAAGGGUGGUGUCUACCUUCCCUUAAUCAUAACUAACCCCGUACCCGAAUCUCUGGGACCAGUGUCUAAUUUGGGAUUUCUAGUUCCCUCAAAUUACUAGAUGGCGACUCCAAUAAAAUCUUUGUUUCCCCCAAUCGAGAAAAAAAACCCUUUUUGUUAAAUAAACAAAAAAGACGGGAGCCGUCGCCCGACGUCGUGUAUCGACACCUUGCCUAGUCACCUUCCUUGUUUAUGGAGUCUUUAUAUUCAAGAAUGUCCGCAGCUUGUGGUUUCAAUUCCAGAGGCUCCCAUGCUCGACGUAAUCAAUGUAUCUGAGGGCGAUGAAAGCCGUAUAUCUGGGGUAUCAGAUCUACCGUGCCUUCAUUUUAGACGAGAUCCCCAGCUAAAGGGAAUGGAGCAAAUGAGUCAUUUGGAUCCCUCUUCUUUCACUGAAAUCAAAAUCGAGGAAUGUAGUUCAUUUAAGCGCUGCCAGCUAGACCUUUUACCCCGGGUAUCCACACUUACCAUCGAACACUGUCCCAAUCUCGAAUCCCUUUGUAUAGGCGAGGGACCUCUCCCUGCUCUCUGUCAUCUGACAAUCAGUCACUGUCCUAAUUUGGUGUCUUUCCCCAAAGGAGGACUAGCUGCCUCAGAUUUGACAAGGCUUGUGUUAGAGGGUUGCUCAUAUUUGAAGUCGUUGCCGGAAAACAUGCAUUCCCUCCUCCCUUCCCUACAGAAUUUGCAAUUGAUCUCACUUCCAGAAGUUGAUUCGUUUCCUGAAGGAGGUUUACCCUCCAAAUUACACACACUUUGCAUUGAAGAUUGUAUCAAACUCAAGGUAUGUGGUUUGCAAGCACUCCCUUCUCUUUCAUGCUUCAUAUUUACUGGGAACGAUGUGGAGUCUUUUGACGAGGAGACGUUGCCCUCUACUCUUACAACCCUUGUAAUCAAUCGUCUGGGAAACCUGAAGUCUCUGGACUAUAAGGGGCUUCAUCACCUCACCUCUCUUCAGGUAUUGGGUAUCGAGGGUUGCCAUAAGCUUGAGUCCAUAUCAGAGCAAGCGCUUCCCUCCUCCCUUGAAAACCUUGAUCUCAGAAAUCUAGAAUCUCUGGACUACAUGGGGCUUCAUCACCUCACAUCUCUUCAGAGAUUGUAUAUCGCGGGCUGCCCUAAGCUUGAGUCCAUAUCAGAGCUGGCGCUUCCCUCUUCCCUUAAAUACCUUUAUCUCAGAAAUCUAGAAUCUCUGGACUACAAGGGGCUUCAUCACCUCACCUCUCUUUACACAUUGAAGAUCAAGAGUUGCCCUAAAGUUGAGUUCAUAUCAGAACAGGUGCUGCCCUCCUCCCGUGAAUACCAGGGGCUUCAUCACCUUACUUCUCUUACAAAUUUGAGUAUCAAGAGUUACCCUAAACUUGAGUCCAUAUCAGAACGGGCGCUGCCCUCCUCCCUUGAAUACCUUCAUCUCUGUAAACUGGAAUCUCUGGACUACAUUGGGCUUCAGCACCUCACCUCUCUUCACAAAUUGAAGAUCGGGAGUUGUCCUAAACUUGAAUCGUUGCAGUGGCUGCCUUCCUCCCUUGAAUUCCUUCAGUUAUGGGAUCAGCAAGACCGGGACUACAAGGAGCUUCGGCACCUCACCUCUCUUCGCAAAAUGCAGAUAAGGAGGAGCCUUAAGCUUGAGUCCUUUCAAGAAGGCACACUUCCCUCCUCCCUUGAAGACCUUGAAAUCUGGGAUUUGGAAGAUCUGGAAUUUAAGGGGUUUCGGCACCUCACCUCUCUUCGUGAAUUACAUAUCUGUAGUUCUCCUAAGCUCGAGUCCGUGCCAGGAGAGAAGCUGCCCUCCUCCCUUGUAUCUCUUCAAAUAUCAGGUCUGAUAAAUCUGAAAUCUGUAAUGGGGCUUCAGCACCUCACCUCUCUUCGCAAAUUGAUUAUCUCGGAUUGUCCUCAGCUCGAGUCCGUGCCAAGAGAAUGGCUGCCCCUUUUCCGAUAUGAUGAUAUUAGACGUUGUCCUAAACUUAAUUUGGUUAUAGGAGACGGUCUCACUAUACCAUUUUCCUAGUUUUGUACCCGCGCUCCGCGGCCGAGCGGUUAUUUCUUUUAAGUAAACAAAAAUUAAUAAAUAGGUUUUACAACGCAUUCUUUAAUAUACAAUAUUUUUCUAUCAUAAAUAGAAAUGUCUAUAUAUAUAUUUAGUAAUUAGAUCAAUAGUUGAUAAAGAGAUAAUUAAGAAUAAAAUAUUUAAUCUUACAAUAUAAAUAAUUAAUAUAUUUAGUUAUGUUUAACAAUUAUAUUUUCUAAAGUUUUUUUUAUAUAUAAAACAAUUAUAUGUGCCAAUAAAAGGUUAAAAAAAAAUCAUAUCCAAUGUAAAAUGAAGAAAAUUAAAAAAAAAAUAUGUCAAACUGUAUAAAUAUGGUAACAUUGUGACAAUAGACACAUGAUUGAGAUAAUUUUAUAUAAAGAAAAAUGAAAUAAAAAGCACAAAUACCAAUUCUAAAAAAGUUAAAUGUUGAAGGAUGAAAUUGAAAAAACACAAGGAUAUUUGAUUUCGCAACAUGGUUCAUGCACUAAGCCGUGUUUAAUAGCUUUGUUUUUUAGAAUAUAUUUUUUAUUUAAUCAAACAAUUAUCUAUGCAAAUAAAAGAUAAAAAAAAAUCACAAAUAAAAGCAAAUUGAAUCAAAUCAUGAAGUCAAUUAUAAAAUAACUCAAUGUUGAAUGAUGAAAUUAAAAAAAUAAUAAUUAAGAAAAACAAAAAAAAUAUGGGUCAACCCUUAUUAAUCCGUUAACAUUGCGACCAUUGGUACAUAAUUGUGAUAAUCCCAUAAAAAAUAUGAAGACCAACUUUUAGAAAAAUUAAAUGUUGAAGGAUGAAAUUAAUAUAUAUAUAUAUAUAUAUAUAUAUAUAUAUAUUAAAAAAUGACUAAAAAAACUACUAGAGUCAACCCAUGUUAACAUUUGAAAUUUGUAAUUGUGAUCUUGAGACCAAGACUACUCACGCAUCAGUCAAACCCAAAAAAACAACAAAGUAAAUUUCUCAAUAAAAAAAUGUUGAGGCAUGAAAAUUUCAAUAAAAAAACAACAUGAAAAAAAUAUGAAUAAACCAGGGUUAACUCGCUAACCUCACGACCAUGGAAACAUGAUCAGGAUAACCCUAAUGAAAAGAAAGUGAUAAAGAAAAGCACAAAGAAUAACACUAAAAAAAAUAAAAGUUGAGGGGUGAAAUUAAAAAAACAAAAAAAACCAAAGUCAACCGUUGUUAACUUUCAAAACUCAUGAUUAUGCUGUUGGGACUGACCAUAUAAAAGGCAAACCCAAAACAAAACAAUAUAGCAAAAUUCUCAGUGAAAAAAAGUUGAGGCUUGAAACUCAGUAAAAAAAAGCAACAAAAAAUAUAUGAGUCAACCCAAGUCACCCAUUUGACUAUGGGCAUGUGAUUUAGAUAAUCUUAUGGAAAGGAAAGCAAAAAAAAAAAAACAAUAAAACCAAUUUUAUAAAAAUUAAAUAUUGAAGAAUAAAAUUAAAAAAAUUAAUUUUAUAAAAAAGACUUGAAGAAACCAAAAUCAACCCGUGCAAACCUUUAAAAGUCAUGAUUCAAUAAUAAUAAAAAAAAAGAAGCUAAGUGAUGAAAUCAUUAAAAAAACAAUAAAAAAAAAUUAUUCAAAACAUAAUAAACAUAAGUAAAAAAAGAAUAGAGAUCAAAUUCAACACUAAAAAAAUAAAAAUCAAAUAAUGAGAAAUAAAAUCAAAACAAUAUCUAAUUAGAUUAAGGAUUAAAAAGUGUCAAAAAAAAGUGUCAAAUUUGAUCUAAAAAUAAAAUAAAGUAAAAUAAUUAGAGAUAAAUAGUAAUAAAUACUAUUUUUAUAAAAUAAAAAGAAAAAAAUAAAAAAAAAAAUAAAAAUCAAAACACAAUAUAUAACAAAAAAAAAGUAAUAUAAAUGUUUAUGUCACAUAACAACCAUUGGUUCCAAACAAAACCUGAAAAUAAAAAAACAAGACACCUGCCGUCAUUAGGUCCGGAUUUGCCUGAAAGGCAGAACUGCACAUGCAUUUUCCAUAGCAUGCCAAAGCCAAAUCAAUCUUACCCAUAGCGAGAAUUAAAACAAAACAAAAUAGUAACAACACCAAAAACAUCCUUUAUUCAUUGUUAAAGGUCUUCUGAAAUAAGAUUGGUUUCAAUGGCAAGUGGAAAUCAUAAAGAGAGCAACGAAAGGACAAAAAUCGAUCAAAAAACCCUUACUGAAAGAAUAAACAACACACCUUCGCCUCGUGUGUUCUCCAUCAAUUUGUUCAAGAGAAAAAGGACAAGAACUGUAGUAUCACCACCUCCAUCCUCUCUCAGUAGCUUCUUCUUCUCCAAUGUGCAUACCUUUUUGGUUCUCACAUGCCUCCUCUCCCUCUUCUGAAUCAUGACUACAAUUGAAGAAAACAACUCUAAUCCCACCUAAGAACAAUGCUCUAAUAUCAAAUUUGAUACGAGACAAAAAAGAUUGAAGUUGAAGAAGAAAGAAAAGAAGAAGAAGCCCGAAAAAGAAGAAAAAGCUGAUCAAAUACUAAAACCAUAACUAGAAUAAAUAAUUAAGUUUAUAAUCCACUAAAUAAAAUACUAAAAAAUAAUUAAAUCAAAUCCAACAAAUAAUAUCUAAUUAAUAAAUUUCAACUAAAAGUUCAAAUAAAUAAAAUUAAAACAUAAGCUAAAGCUUAAUCGCUUAAUGAUUUGGACUACCCUCUAUCAUUUAUGAUUAUAUGAAUACAUGUUUCGAGUCAGUAUCCCCACAUUUUUUUUGUUUUUGGUGGAAACAAAAAGAGGUGCAUAUGUUUUUGUUAGGAAAAAAAUUUCUUGCCCUAAAAUAAGAAAAAAAAGUUGCACCUAGAGGUGAUCAUUUUCGGUUCGGUUCAGUUUUUAUCAAAAAAGUAACCAAAUGUACUACAUACUUUUUACCGAUCGAACCAAAUGUACUAUAUUAUCAGUAGUUGUAGCUACUUCUGAAACAGUUGGUGCGAUGGGUGCGAGUGAAGGUGCUGGCAUAGGAGCGGCAACACUAGUCAUACCUUCCACUACUGCUUUGAGUAGCUGGGCUAGGAGCAUCAAAUCAACAUAAGAAACAAAUGGCCUUCCAAGUGUAGUCUGUGGGGGCUCCUCUGCUCGUUCCGGUAGGGUUGACACGGUCGGCUGAACAUCCCCAGCUUGCCUCGGUACUUGUCUGACUUGAGGCCCCGUCGAUUCUUCAUGCCUUGCUUGCUUCGAUACUGCUGGUGCAUGUCAAGCAGUAUCUUCUAAAAGGCUCUCUUCUCGUCCCUCGUAAAAGUCUAUAUCUCUGUUCCCCUUCCCUAUAGAGGAUAGAUUUGUUCUAAUCUCUUGGCGAGUACGUACCAUCCUGCAAUAAAUUAAUAACAUCAUUACCCUUUGUUUCGAGUUUUUCCCAAAAUCCAUACGAGGGCUCUAAUACCAACUAUAACAAUCCCACCUUUUCAAUUUCGUCAACACUAAAAGAUCCCAAUAUAUACUCUUAAUUUGAGGGUAAAUUGUUUUUUUUCUUAUAUAUAUAUAUAUAUAUAUAUGAAAGUCUACCGAUAUUUUCACUGAAAUUUUGGCAAAGUUCCCUUUGUAUUUAGAACGUCCCAAGUUAUCGACUUCUUUCAAUUUACCCAUUCAAGCCAUCAAAACAAGGUCCCAUAAUUUUGAACUUUAUUUUACAUCAUUAAUACUCAACUCCUCAUACAAUUCAUGCACACAAUUUAUACACACACACACACACACACACACACCCUACGAAUAAGAUCAAUAUAAAUAUAGCCCAUAUAUCGUAUAAUAAAGUCUAGAAGAAAAAGGGAUACUAACAUGUAAUGAGAGAAUUUAAAACAUAACAUCAGUAUUCUUAAAAGUUUCAAAGGGUUAAAAACAAAGUAGCUAAGGAGUUCUUACUCAUACAUUAUAUCAAAGUUUACAUAAUUAACAUACUAUAUGCCGAGCCAAUAGUUUUGUAUACAUCAAGGUUUACACAAAAGCAUAUUGCGUAACCUAGCUAAUACUAUUAUGCUUGAGCUAAAUGUUUUUACAUAAGUUUAGCAAAGCAGAGUCCUAAAAACUAAUGAGCUCCCUGAGUAUUAGAUGGACCUGUUACAAUAACAACUUAAUAAGCAUACAAUUAUAUUGUCAACAGAAACAAAAAUGAUCAUAUAAUGAAUACAAAUAAAGCAUAAGUUUUCUAUUAGUUUCCCAAUAAUUUUAAUAAUCAACUUAUAAAUUCUUUCAUAUAUAUUUAAAAACUCAAUUAGACAUCAUUUACGUAUUCUUAAUUGAAUACUCUUAUUUUCUUGUAUGAACCUAGUACCUUUGCCUAAUUGGUUUUACUAAAUCUUUAACUUUGCAUAGUUCCACUUGGAUAGUUUAGGUAAUUAUACUUAUCAAUUCUCUCAGGUCAUCCAAACAUGGAUACCUUUUCCGAAUCGAGCCUUAUCGAUCAUUCCCAGGCAUCCUGACAUGGACGUCAUUAGCUGAAGCGAAUCUUGUAAUUCACUUCCCAGCAAUCCUAUCACGGAUGCCAUUAGCCUAAGAUAAUCUUGAGAUUCAUUUCCCGACAAUCCUAUUACGAAUGCAAUUAGCCGAAGCUAAUCUUGUAAUUCAUUUCCCGGUAAUCCUAUCAUGGAUGCUAUUAGCCGAAGCUAAUCUUGUUAAUACACCGGACUUUGUUUACAUUAAACAUAACUUAAUUGUCAUUGUCUUCAUCGGGAAGACUUUAAAUUACAUAAGAGUAAAGGAGAGGUAAAACCACGCACCUUCUCCGCCUGUCUCGUGACCUCCUUCAACAAAAGAUCCAAUCCUAGUCGCUCCGCCUAAAUCACAAAGAAGUCUUUGGUCAUGUUUCCUUUAAGCUAAAUGUUUAAGGAAAUCCAUAUUCAUUCAUUAUACAUAUGGUACUUUCCAUGCAUGUUCAUUUCCUCAUCAUAACAUACAUAUACAUAUCAAGUAUAUAUUUUCAAGGUUUUAUAUCAACGUGCAAGUGCCCCUACGACUAAGUUUGUUUUUGCAUCAACGUAAAUUAGUGACUUAUGACUCAUAACUGGAGUCUCAUAACUUUAAAUAAAGCAAACUUUGGUCAAUAAAAAGGUAACACAUUUAUCCAUAAUUUCAUUAAGGAUCAUGCAUGAAACUCUGUCAAUAUCAAAUCACAAACCAAAAAAGAAGUUAGACAGCAAAUUUGUCCAGCAGCUUCUAGCCUAACCUCCUCUCAGUAUUUUGCCUAUAUAUGGAGUUCUAUAACUCCUAAUAAAGUGAACUUUAUACCAAUUAAAAGGUAACACAUUUAUAUAUAACUACAUGGAGGAAAAUGCAUCAUACUCUAUCAAUAUAAAAUCCCAAACCGAACAAGAAGUUAGACAGCAAAUCUGUCCAGCAGCUUCCAGCCUAGCCUCCUCUAAGUAUUUUGCUUAUAUAUGGAGUUCUAUAACUCUAAAUAAAGUGAAAUUUAUGUCAAUUGAAAGGUAACACAUUUAUAAAUAUCCACAUGAAGGAAAAUGCAUGAUACUCUGUCAAUAUCAAAUCCCAAACUAAACAAGAAGUUAGACAGCAAAUCUAUCCAGCAGCUUCCAACCUAACCUUCUCUUAGUAUUUUGCUUGUAUAUGGAGUUUUAUAACUCUAAAUAAAGUGAAAUUUAUGUCAAUUGAAAGGUAAUACAUUUAUAGAUAUCCACAUAAAGGAAAAUGCAUGAUACUCUGUCAAUAUCAAAUCCCAAACUGAACAAGAAGUUAGACAACAAAUCUAUCCAGCAGCUUUCAGCCUAACCUCCACUUAGUAUUUUUCCUGUAUAUAGAGUUCUAUAACUCCAAAUAAAGUGAAAUUUAUGUCAAUUGAAAGGUAACACAUUUAUAGAUAUCCAUAUGAAGGAAAAUGCAUGAUACUCUAUCAAUAUCAAAUCCCAAACUGAACAAGAAGUUAGAUAGAAAAUCUAUCCAGCAGCUUCCAGCCUAACCUCCUUUUAGUAUUUUGCCUGUAUAUGGAGUUCUAUAACUCCAAAUAAAUGAAAUUUAUGUCAAUUGAAAGGUAAGACAUUUAUAGGUAUCCACAUGAAGGAAAAUACAUGAUACCAUGUCAAUAUCAAAUCCCAAACUGAACAAGAAGUUAGACAACAAAUCUAUCCAGUAGCUUCCAGCCUAACCUUGUCUUAGUAUUUUGCCUGUAUAUGGAGUUCUAUAACUCCAAAUAAAGUGAAAUUUAUGUCAAUUGAAAGGUAAUACGUUUAUAGAUAUCCACAUGAAGGAAAAUGCAUGAUACUUUGUCAAUAUCAAAUCCCAAACUGAAUAAAAAGUUAGAUAGAAAAUCUAUCCAGCAGCUUCCAGCCUAACCUCCUCUUAGUAUUUUGCCUGUAUAUGGAGUUCUAUAACUCCAAACAAAGUGAGAUUUAUGUCAAUUGAAAGGUAACACAUUUAUAGAUAUCCACAUGAAGGAAAAUUCAUGAUACUCUGUCAAUAUCAAAUCCCAAACCAAACAAGAAGUUAGACAACAAAUCUGUCCAGCAGCUUAACCUCCUCUCGGUAGUUUGCCUAUAUAUGGAGUUCUAUAAUUCCAAAUGAGGUAAGACCAGUGCCAAAAGUUAGCUAACUCAUUUAUCUACAACUUUCAUAUGUAAUGUUAUAACAAUUUCAAUCGACUUCUAUGCCUAACAUUAGCAUAAUUUCUAUACUUACAUAUUUGUAAUGGAAGUAACAUACAAACAUGUUUAAGUUUCUGUUUCAGCCCUUGAUUUAGCCUUAGGAUAACUAUGUAAGGUCAUAAUUAGCAGAGAUUAGUAUCAAAUUUCUAUUCUCUUUCUUUCUACUUUCAUGGUCGUCCCUAAAGAGGAUUUGUUCCACUAAUUUCUAUCAUUUUCUUUUGUCAUAGAAGCUGAAAAUGUUUAACUUCUCAUCUCAACCUUUUAAUUUCAUCAUUUGUUUUUUUUUUGUCAAAAUCAUGAAGUUCUAGGAACCCUAAAUUAUUUAUAUUGGGGUUUUUUCCCCCUUUGGAUUCAAAACAAAUCAAAUUAACAAUAGAAUAGCAAGGGCUUAUCCUUACCUCACGAUUUUAUCUAAAGAUGGAAGGUGUUUUCUUGAUGGUUUUCUUCUUCUCCUCUUUAUCACUGUUUCAGCCGGCCCUUGUGCCCUCCAAACCUCAAGAUUUUAUGGAUCUACACUUCCUAAUUACUCUCCUCUCUCACGUAGGUUCAUGCAAGGUGUUUUGGGUGAGAAAUGUGUGCAAUAAAAGGGAGCCAAUCUUCUCUCUUCAACUUGUUCUAAUUGAAAGUGAGAGGAAAGGUCAGGAAUUCUUUUUUUUUUUUUAAUGUAUUUAUACUCCCUUAUAUAUGCCUUAGGUCUUGUUUGGUAGUUUGGUCAAAUUUGUUCCUAACAUUACUUUUCUCCUUGUUGUGUGCUUUAGUUCUUCAUUUCACAAUUUGUUUAACAUCUCUCCCUCAUCCUUCCCUUCACACAUUUUAAUCCUUAGACAUUUGUUAGUUUUUAUACCCAUAUUUUUGUAAAAUAUUUGACUUCGUAAUUUAUUUUCUUAUUUUGAAUUCACCCUAUAAGUAUUGAAACAUUUUUAUUUUCUAAAAAUUUCAACUUGGGGUUUACAUAACCUUUAAGAAGAAGUGAAAAGAAAAGGUUGAAGCAGACAUCAUGAUUAUCCAAAAUGCAAUAUUUGAUCCCUGGUCCCAACAACAAAUCCAUAGUUAUCACAAAGAUCUAGUCCAUUUCUUUUGCCUUCCUUCUCUUACUUUUCUAGCUAUUUUUUCCUACUUUCUACUAUCCAUUCUAGAGCUUCAGAUUCUUAUAUUGUACAUAGAAUUUGAGUCUAGUUUUUUAACAGUUCAUAAACCUCGAUCCAUCAUACAAUUUCUCAAGAUGAUGCUGUUAUAAUUUAAAAAAACUAUUUAUAGAAGAUUUAUCUUCAAGGACAAGAGUUGAAUCCUUAAUAGCACAUUUAUACUCCCUACUUUUCAUCUAAAUUUCUUUAACAAGUAAGUCAUAUUUACUUUGUCAUUAUAUUUAUGUCAUCUAGAUUAAUACUAGUUAGAUGGUCUGCGCUAUACCGUGAGCCAACGUUUUAUUUUCAUAAAAAAUAUCAAAAAAAUAUAAGACCCAAGAGCGUUGAGUCUAACUGUAACACUGGAUCUAAAAGCAUUGAGUCUGACUGUAACACUAGAUCUAAAAGUAUUGAGUCUGGUUGCAACACCAAACUCAACAAUAAUAUUUAUAAUAUAAAUAAUAAUAUUUAACUUGUCUGCCUAUAUUGUUAUAUUUUUAAAUCUUUAAAAAAAAAUUAUGAUUUUUCUUCAAUAGUAAUAAUAGUAUUAUUUUAAAUUUAUUAAUAAUAAUGAUAAUAAUAAUAAUAAUAAUUUUUAAUUUUACCUUUUAAAUCAAAUCUAUGGUGGUUUUUCAAUAUUGAUAAUAAUGUUUUUCAAAUUUAUUAAUAAUAUUAAUUAUAAUAAAAAUAAUAACAUUUAUAAUACAAAUAAUAAUAUUUUUAAUAUUAAUACUAUUAAUUAUAAUAAAAAUAAUAAUAUUUAUAACACAAAUAAUAAUAUUUUUAUAAUAAUAUUUUUAAGUAUAAUAAAAAUAACAAUAUUUAUAACACAAAUAAUAAUAUUUAGAAACCUAAAACACAUUAGUGUUGGAACUUGACGCCGGACCCAAGAGAAUUAGAUCCUAACACAGGUCUUAGGAGAAUUGGGUUCUAAAACAAGACCCAUUACCCUUGGAUCCUGAUGCUGGCCCCAAGAGAAUUGGGUUGUAAUGCAAGUGAGUUGGGUCCUAACGCAUGACCCAUCAGCCUUGAGUUUUGAAGCCGAACCCAAGAUAAUUGGGUCCUGAUGCAAUUCCCAAGAGAGUUAGGUCCUGACGUCGGACUGAAGAGAAUUAAGUCCUGACGCAGGACCCACUACUUAUGGGUCCAAACGCUGGAUCCAAGUGUAAACCCCAAUUGAAAAUUAGUCUGAAAAGCAAUUUAAAUGCUUAUAGAAUAGAUUUAUCAGAAGUACCAAAUAAGCAUUAGAACAAACCAUGUAAAAUAAAAAACAGAAAAGUGAAUAAAAUAUUACUAAGAGUGAAUUACCUAGAAAUAAAAUUAUCAAUAUGUAACUAAAUGAAAAUCGAAUUCACCCGGAUAAAAAGUUUAUACAGAGAAAUACUAGGAUCCAAGAAUUUUAUCUCAUGAACAAGAAAUUUACUAUUUAGGAUAUAGAGGGAAUUUGGUAAAAAGUUUAUAUAUAUAUAUAUAUAAGUGUGCAUGUGUGUGGGCAAGAAGAAAAAAGAGAGAAAAAGAAAUAGAGAGAAAUAGGGGAAACUAUCAUUUACAUGUGAGAGAGAAAACAAAAUGAUAAAAACAUAAAAUCUUAAGAGGAGAUCUUGAGGGAACAUUAACCAAACUUAGUGAGCAUUAAUUGGAAGGAAGAAAAACCUAGAAAAAAAGGAGGGAAGUUCAACCAAGAUUAAAGAAAAGAGGAGUUGGAAGCUUGAAUUGGGUAGUGUUUAGAGUCUUAUUAUUUGCUUGGUAGGGCAUUCUAAAGACUUUUAAUUUGAUUUUUAAUGGCUUAAAGUCUUUAAUUGAUUGAAUUUUUGAAAUUUGGAAAGUUAGGGUUCUUGAAUGAAUUUGGAAGAAAUAAAACUUUACUGUAAAUUAUCAUGGGGAAUAAUGUGAAAGUUAGAGUAAAGUAAUUAAAUUAUUGUAGUUGAAGUAAAAAAUUUUGAUAAUUAAAUAGGGCUAGUGGUUAACCAAUGAUGAGAGUUUUUCAAUCUUAUUUUAUGCUACUCUGUUAGUGCUUUAUACUCCAUGAUGUGAAUUGAUGAACAAUGUAGGCAAUAGAACUAUUUUUUUGAAUAUCUCUUUACAACUUCUUAAAUUUCAUGGAGAUGUCUGAUGAGGAAUAUAGUUGAUUGUUGGUCCUUAUUAGAUUUUGUAUGUAAUGGAGUUAUGAGACGUUAAUAAUUCAUUAGAGAUGUUAAUUUGAUGGCUAAAAUCCAUGAAAUUCAACGGGACUAUUACAAAAGGUGAGAUAUUUAAGACAGUAACAAAUCAAACAUUAACAGUUGAGGUUUAAGACAGUAACAGAUCAAAUAGUAACGGUUGAGGUCUAAGACAGUAACAGAUCAAAUAGUAAUAGUUGAGGUCUAAAACAGUAACAGAUCAAACAUUAACAGUUGAGGUCUAAGACAGUAACAGAUCAAAUAGUAAUAGUUGAGAUCUAAAACAGUAACAGAUCAAGCAAUAACAGUUGAGGUGUAAGACAGUAACAGAUCAAGUAGUAAUGGUUGAGGUCUAAGACAGUAACAGAUCAAACAUAUAUAUAUAUAUAUAUAUAUAUAUAUAUAUAUAUAUAUAUAUAUAUAUAUAUGAGAACUGAGUUGUGUGGACACUUGCACGUUGAGAUACUGACUCUGAAAAUAUAUAUGAUAUGUGUAUAUAUGUUAUGAUGAAGAAAUAAACAUGCAUAAAAAGUAACAUAUGUGUAAUGAAUGAAUAUGGAUUCAGGAGGAGUGACCAUGAUUGGAUCUUCUGUUGGGGGAGGUCACGAGACAGGCGAAGCAGGUGCGUGAUUUUCCCUCCUCUUUGCACUUAUGCAAUUUAAAUAUAUUUUUUUGGUGAAUGCAAUUACAAUAAAUGUCAUGUUCAAUGUAAAUAAAAUCUAGCAUAUUUACAAAAUUAGCUUCGGCUAAUAGCAUCUGUGAUAGAAUUGCUAGGAGAUGAACUACAAGAUUAACUUUGACUAAUGUUGUCCGCGUUGGGACGCCCGAGAACGAUUGAUAAGACUCGAUUUGUAAAGGGUAUCCGUGUUUGAAUGAUCUAGGGGAAAUUGAUAAAUAUAAUUGCCUAAAAAUGUCUAAGUUGGACUAUACAAAGUCACCCGGUUCAUGCAAGUAAAUAAGAGUAUUUAAAUUAAGGAUAUGCAAAUGAGUUUUAAUUGGGUUUAAAUGAUUUACAAGCAAAUUAUAAGUUGAUUGUUAGAAUUCCUAUGGAUUCGAUAGAAAAUUUAUACUUCAUUCGUAUACAUUACAUGAUCAUAUAUAUUUCUUUUAUCAACAUAAUGGUAUGCUUACUUAGUUGUUUGUGUAACAUGUCCAUCAACUGUCCAGGGAGAUCAUUAGUUUGGGACUCCACUUUGUUAAGCUUAUGUAAAUAUUUAACUUAAGCAUAAGGGAAUUAACAUGAUUAUACAAUAUGUUUUUGUGUAAAUCUUGAUGUAUAUAUAAAAGUCUUAGCUCAACAUAUAGUACAUUAGUUAUCUUGUAAUUAACUCUUUUGAAAUGUUUAAAAAUACUUAUUAUAUUUUAAAUUUUCUCUUUACAUGUUAGUAUCCCUUUUUCCUUUUAAAUAUUAUAAUAUGAUUUGUGGGAUAUAUAUAUAUAUAUAUAUAUAUAUAUAUAUAUAUAUAUAUAUAUAUAUAUAUAUAUAUAUAUUGUGUGGAUUGUAUGAGGUGUUGAAUAUUGAUGAUUGAAAUAAAGUCUGAAAUUAUAGGACCUUAUGAUGAUGGGUUGAUUGAGUAAAUUGAUAGUAGUCGAUAACUUGGGAUAUCCUAAAUACAAACGAAACUCUACCAAAAUUUUGGUAGAAAUCUUUACAAAAACAAUUACCCUCAAAUUAAGAGCAUAUGAUGGGGUCUUUUAGCGUUGAUCAAAUUGUACAGUUGAGUCUGUUACAGUUGGUAUUAGAGCCCUGGUAUGGAUUCUAGGAAGAAUUCAAAAGAGGUUAUUGAUGUUUGUUAAUUUAUUGCAGGAUGGUACGUACCCACCAAGAGAUUAGAUCAGAUCUAUCUUCAACAGGGAGGGGGAAUAAAGAUAUAGACUUUUACGUUGGGCAAGAAGAGAACCUUUUGAAAGAUACUGCUUCACAUGCACCAGCAGUAUCGACUAAAGCAGGGCAUGAAGAAUCGAUGGGGCCUCAAGUCCGACAGGCACCAAGACAAAGGACCCAUUAGCCUUGGAUCCUAAUGCCGAACUUAAGAGAAUUAGGUUCUGAUAGAGGACCCAUUACAUUUGGGUCCUAACGUCAGAUCCAAGAAAAUUGAGUGUUGACGCAAGACCCAUUAGCUUUGGAUCUUGACACUGAACCAAAGAGAAUUGAGUUCUGACACGGGACCCAUUAGCUUAUGGUUCUAAUGCAGGACUCAAGAGAGUUUGAUCCUAACACCAAAUCCAAGAGAAUUGGGUGUUAACGCCGAAUCCAAGAGAAUUGGGUUAUGACACAGGACUCAUUAGCUUGGGUCUGGACACGGAUACAUUACCAAUGGGUCUAGACGCCGGACACAACAACCUUUGGUACGAUACGAACCCCAGAGUGGGCUAGAUAGGGCUGCAAGACCCAAGUGAUUUGGGUCUGCUCUUUUGCCAAACCCAAGUAACUUGGGUGAGGCACCCCUUUCCAGCCCCAGGAUUUUUAGGUCUGGAAAGGGAUGCCUAACCCAAGUUAAUAACAAUAAUAUUAUAUUUUACCUUUAAAAUCAAAUUUAUGUUUUUUUAUAGUAAUAAUAUUUAUUUUAAUUUUAAUAAUAUUAAUUAAUUGAAUAAUAUUUAUAAUAAUAUUUAACUUAUCUGUCAAAGUUCUUAUAUUUUUUAAUCUCUUAAAAAAAACAUUAUAGUUUUUUUUCGAUGAUAAUAAUAUUUUUUUAAAAUUUACUAAUGAUAACAACAACAACAACAAUAAUAUUUAAUUUUACAUUUUAAAUCAAAUCUAUUAUUAUUUUUUAAUAAUAGUUUUUAUAAAUUUAUUAAUUAUUAUAUUAAUAAUAAUCAAAAUAAUAAGAUGUUAUGUGGGAGGGUCUGCACCCAUCACGGUUCUGGAGACCCAGGUAAUAUCACAUUAAUAGUGAAAGAUCUACUCAACCAUGAUUUUAAAAGUUUUCCUUGACGAACAUGCGACGUUUUUUAGCCAAGAAAAUACGAUGUCGUAGGGCAAUCUUUAAAAAUUAUUUUUAUUUAAUUCUGUGGUAAUUAAGAUAAAUACGUGUAGGAAUUCUGAUAAUUUAAAUUAUGGAGAAUAAACUUAUUCAUUGUUCAAUAAACACUGUGAUUUGUGAGUGUAUGCACAGUGUUGUUUUAUGUACAGAAAGAAAAGGGAGCCAUGUUUUAGUUUAUAGUGUUAGUGUUACUAUUUCAUGAGAAGCUAAUCCUGUAUUAGUUUUUGGUAGUUCAGAAAUUAAUGUGAUUUACUUAGCUAAUCCAGUUCCCAUGAGAAGCAAAAGAUCCUGUAUAAAGUUUUCUAUAAUGACAUUUUGUAUUUAAUUUUUUUGUUUUAAAAGAAGUUAAAUUUUUAUAAUUUUUUUCAAAAUAAUUUUUUAUUUUUUUAUAUUAUUUGAAUAUGCUGAUUUUAAAACUAAAUUCUAAAUAAUAAUAAAAAAUUAUUUAAAUAUAUUUUUAAAAAACAACUGAAUUUUUGCAGAAAACCCAGCUAUAAAUUAACAUCUUUAGCCCGUGACGGUAACCGGCAGUUCUACCCAUGACGGUGGCGGUGAGUCCUCCCAAUUGUACAUGUCGGAUCCUUCUUGCCCGGGACGGUGAUGGGCAAUCCCGCCUGUCAUUUCAGUGUGGCCCCAGGUGAAAUGAUUUUAAAAUAUAAAAAAAUUAGCUUUUAAUAAUUAAAUAAUUUUAAUUUAAAUUGAGGAAAAAAGACUUCUUAACAAAAUAAAACUUACGAUAUUACAGUAACAAACAUGCUAAAAAACAUCUUCUUUUUCAAAGCAUGCAACUACAGGACCAGCCAUAUUAAGCUGCUUGUGAUAUUACUCCUCAUACAACCAAAUCAAUCCAUAACCUACGAGAUUUAUUGCAACUCUUGCUUACUUUUCAAUUCCAUAACCUAUGCUUGCUUUCAAAUAUAUAUAUAUACUAACUUUGAACGACAAACAUGUUUGUAAAUUAAGAGUGAAAGGAAAGUUGAAAAUCACAGGGAGAGCCUUAUAUAUAUAUAUAUAUAUUACUCCUCAUAGAAUUUCAUGAAGCAUUGAGGUUCUGGGCGAGAAGUUGACCACUCCUGAUAUUCUGGGCUUCUUCAAAAGCCACAAGCUCAAUGAUCGAUGGUCUUCUGGGAAAGUUGAAAGAAACACUGAAUACCCUCAACGGACUUCUCGACGACGCGGAGGAGAAGUAGAUUACCAAGCCUGCUGUGCAGAAGUGGCUUAAUGAUGCUAGACAUGCUGUGUAUGAAGCUGAGGACUUAAUGGAGGUGAUUGAAUAUCAACAUCUACGAUCCAAGGAUAUUAAAGCUGCCUCUCGACGAGUUAGGAAUCGGGUAAGCAUAUGGUUUUGCUCUUGUAGACCUUGCUUUCUCGUAUAAUGUUAUUAUCGAUCCCUCUGAUUUUUACAAGCACAAUUCGAAAUUGUAAGAUAUCAGAAAAUUUCAUAUCUUUUCUUGAAAUAUUUCAUGCAAACAACACCCCUCAAUUAUGCUAAUUUAUCUCAUGCAACCAAUCCUAUGAUACUAUCCUGCAACCACUACUCAUUAUUAUUCCAACAAAUUCCAACCACUUUUUAAUAGCCCAGCCUGGCCAAGCUGUCAACUUAAUUAAAACAUGUUCAAUCUAGAAUUUGAAUUAAAUUGUUUUUUUUAAAACAAAAAUCAAAGUUGACCCAUUAAUUUUUAAAAAAACAUUAGCACUAAAUGUUAAAUAUUGGUGUCAUAACACCUUUGAAAAAAAAAUUAGUGGAAUAGCUUAUUUUCACAUUUUUAAUAGCAAUAUUUAGUAAAUAUUAUUUUUUUGAAGUGCAACAAAGUGAAAGUCCAAUUAUUUGACUUAAUUAGUUAGUUGAUUGAAUUUAAUUGUAUUAACUAGUCGAUUAUUUCACAUAAAAACCAUAAUUUUAUGAAUUUUUUCUUUCAAAUAUAAAUUAUGAGUCAAAAUAUACAUGUGUCUAACAUCUAGACUAAAAAAUAGAUUUCAAUUAAAGUUUUAAAAAAAUUAUUAUUUACAUAGUAGUUGUUAUCUAUUUUUCAAUGUCAAUUAAUGAUGUAGAAAAGCUUGUGACAGUAAGUGAUUCUAAGUUGUCAGAUGUUUGUUUAUCAUAACUAUAUAAGGAUUGUCCUAAAUAAAUUAAAUGUAUGACCUAACAAAUAUAUUUAUAGACCAAUAAAAUAGUUUGAAGCUUAAGAGGAGAUUUGAUCCCACAAAGCCAGAAUAAUAAGAAAAAAAACCAUAAUUUUUUAUUUGACUAUUGAAUUGCACUCAAAUUUUUAUAGGAGUUUUUAAAAACCACAUUCUCUAUUGUAGUCACUGCAUUGCUAUGUAGACUGUUAAAUCUUUAGAUAUAAAAAAUCUCGUCAAAACCCCUUGAUUUUGGUAUUUUUAAGAUUUUUAUUAUUAUUUUCGGAAUUAAUUGACUAAUUUCAUUAACUAUUAUGAACAAGUCAAUUAAUUAAGUCAAAUGAUUAAAAUUUUACCUUAUCAGAACCUUAUUAGAAACAUAACAUUUAUUAAAUGUCACUAUUCGAAAAAACGACAAUUAUUUUGUGAUGCUUAGGAAUAGUAACAUUUAAUAAAGUUUCCAUUUCUAAAUCCAGCUAGUAGAAGGAUGAAAGAGAUGGGAGCAGAGUUACAAAAGAUCCAUGAGAAGCUUGAACGUUUUACUUAUACACAAGGGUGAUCUGCGCCAUAUAGAAGUUACUGGUGGACGCAGACCAUUGUCAGAGAAAACAACUCCACUGGUUAAUGAAUCUAAUGUAUAUGGAAGGGACGCUGAUAAGGAAGCCAUAAUGGAGCACUUGUUGACACAACACACCACAGAUGGCUCAAAUUUACGUGCGGUCCCUAUUGUGGGCAUGGGCGGGAUUGGUAAAACCACUCUUGCUCUGCUUAUCUACAAAGACGAAAGGGUACAGCAACGCUUCCAACUCAAGGCCUGGGUCUGGGCUUCUCAACAAUUUGAUGUUGCCAGGAUUAUUAAGGAUAUUCUUGAUCAACGCAAGAACUUGCCGCACCAAAGAACCAGAUGAAUCUCUAAUGGAGGCAGCGAAAGGGAAAAAACUUCUUCUUGUUCUAGAUGACGCGUGGAACAUCGAGUACAAUGAAUGGGAUAAACUACUGCUACCUUUGCGGUAUGUGGAGCAAGGAAGUAAGAUUGUCGUGACAACACGGGAUCAAGAUGUAGCAAAAGUCACGCAAACUGUCAUCACCCCUCACUGCUUGAAAGGAAUAAGCGAUGAAUAUUGCUGGAAGUUGUUUGCAAGGGAUGCAUUUAGUGGUCUAAAUUCUGAAGCAGUCUCACACUUGGAAGCAUUUGGCAGAAAAAUAGUGAGAAAGUGCAAAUGUUUGCCGCUGGCAGCGAAAACUCUUGGUGGUCUUUUGCACUCCGUAGAAGAUGUCAAGCAAUGGGAGAAGAUAUCCAAUAGCAGUUUGUGGGGUUCGUCGAAUGAAAACAUCCCUCCAGCUUUAAAAUUGAGCUAUUAUUAUCUCCCUUCACACCUGAAACGUUGUUUUGCUUAUUGUGCAAUAUUUCUCAAAGGUUAUGUAUUCAAGAAGGAUGGAUUAAUCACUGAAUGGAUGGCACAUGGUUUUUUAUUCCAGCCAGAGGUGUUGAGGAGAUGGAAGAUAUAGGUGAAAAAUACUUUGAUGAUCUUGUCUCCAGGUCAUUUUUCCGGCAAUCACUUUAUGCUCCAUCAUAUUUCAGCAUGCAUGACAUCAUAAGUGAUUUAGUUGAAUACGUGUCAGGAGAAUUUUGCUUUAAGCUUGGUAUUAAUGAAUCGGGAUCUGGGUUGGAGGGUGAACAUUCAUGCUCGCUUCCAGAAAGGACUCGUUAUUUAUCAAUCACUUCAGCGGCAGUUCGGACAUUUCGUAGCAUUCAUGGAGUCCAACAUUUGCGCGCCUUGUUUCCACUAUAUAUUUUCGGGGAAGAUGAUAGUGAGGCACUGAAUGACAUCUGGCUAAAUCUUAAGCGCUUGCGAAGGCUAUCUUUAUGUCAUCUAAAAGAUAUUUCUUCUCAGUUGCUCAAUUCCAUUGGCAACUUAAAACAUUUGCGGCACUUGGACCUUUCUCGCACCGCCAUUAAAAGGUUACCUAAAAGUGUGUGCACUUUGUACUAUUUGCAAAGCUUAUUGUUAAAGAAGAGCCGACAUCUCAUGCAGUUGCCAUCCAACCUUUUCAACUUGGUCGCCUUACAACAUCUUGAUAUUGAGGGGACAAAUCUGAAAAAGAUGCCACCGAAAAUGGGGAAACUCACAAGGCUUCGAACUUUGCAAUAUUACGUAGUGGGAAAAGAGAGGGGGUCUAGCAUGAAAGAGCUGGGGAAGCUCUCACAUUUAAGGAAAAAACUUUCUAUUCGGAAUCUCAGAGAUGUUGCAAAUGCUCAAGAUGCUUUGGAUGCCAAUUUGAAGGGUAAGAAGAAGAUUGAGGAGUUGAGGUUGAUAUGGGAUGGCAAUACAGAUGACACCCAACAGGAGAGAGAAGUACUUGAGAAAUUGGAGCCUUCUGAAAUUGUGAAACAGCUUGCCAUUAAGGGUUACGGGGGUACAAUGUUUCCAGACUGGCUUGGAAACUCUUCUUUCUUAAAUAUGGUAGCGUUGACUCUUUCUGGAUGUAAGAACUGCAUCUCCUUACCACCAUUGGGGCAGCUGCCAUCUCUUGAAGAGCUCCAUAUUGAAGGAUUUGAUGAUGUCGUGGCAGUUAGUUCUGAGUUCUAUGGAAGCGACCCUUCGAUGGAGAAGCCAUUUAAAUCCCUCAAAAUAUUAAAGUUUGAGGGGAUGCGAAACUGGCAGGAAUGGAAAACAGAUGUAGCUGGUGCUUUCCCUCAUCUUGCAAAUCUCUUGAUAGCAGGUUGUCCCGAGUUAACAAAUGGCUUGCCUAAUUACCUUCCUUCUUUAUUGAUACUUGAGAUUCAAGCGUGUCCACAGCUUGUGGUUUCAAUUCCAGAGGCUCCCCUGCUCACCGAAAUCAAUGUAAAAGUCACUAAAACUUUCAUCCCCUCUCACCGCUGGAAUGCACUAAGCGAUGAAGAUUGCUAGCAGGUUCUUCUUGCAAGGUAUGCAUUUUAGGGAGAGGAUAUCCAAUAGCAGUAUGUUACUAAAAAAAUAUUUUUAAACUGUAUAUAUAUAUUUUUUAAAAUACACUAGGUAUAUUAAGUUUGUAAAGCAAUGGGAGGAGAUAUAUUAAGUUACUAAAACAAGGUGUUUAUCAUUUUGUUUGGUUGUCCAUAAGGUUUUGUUACGCAACUAUAUAAAAAUAAAAAUCAUAAUUUGUCGACAUUACGGCACAGAAUUGUGAAAUUCAUCCUCUCUUGCCAUCGAAACCUGAGAGUGUUUUGACUUUUGGAGUGGAGGGCAGAAAUAAAAUUGUAGUUAUAUUAAGUUAUAAAAAAAAUAGUUUUAAACUGUAUUUAAAAAAAAUACAUUAGGUAUAUUAAGUUACUAAAUUUUUUUAUUAAACUGUAUUUUUUUUUAAAAUACAUUAGGUAUAUUAAGUUUGUCAAGCAAUGAGAGAAGAUAUAUUAAGUUACUAAAAAAAUAUGUUUAUCACUUUAUUUUUAUUUCUCGUAAAAGUCGGUUACGCAAUCGAAUCGGGGAUGAUUGGUUGAAUGAUUGUUUGGUUACUUAUAUCGAAAAAAAUAUAUUUGAAAGUGUUGAUAAUGGAAAGAUUCUAUAACGUUUUCAGCAUAUGAAGUCUUGCAGGGAUUUCACGGAGCAUCUUUUUAUAAUAUAUGUGAAUUUUUAAAUUUUAUAUUAGAAGCUUAAAAUUUUUAGAUUUUUUAGAUCUUAAUUAAUUUAGUUAUAUUAUUUUGCUAUCUAUGAAAACUCGAUCUGGAUCCGUCCUUUAUCAAAUGAAGUAUAUAUCAUGUUGAAACCGGUAAUGAGUUUCGAUUGAUAGAAGAAUCAGGAAAAAAAAAUUAAAAUAGAUGUGCUUUGAGAGUGAUAAAAUAAUUUCAAGGAAUCAUAGUAAAAUAACUUAUAUGGUUCUAGCAAUAUUGAAAAAGAAAAUUUGGAUUUAGACAUAAAAUUAUAUAUUGACUAGUUUUACGCUAUUGAGCAUGACUCUCAAUUCGAUCUUUCGAUUGAGUUGAAAGUCCACAAGAAGACUUCUGAUAUAUUGCUCUAUCUUGGGUUAAAAGUUUAGGGUAGGCCAUCAUAGAAUAUCAACAGUCGAACUAAAAAUAACAUGUAGAUUCAUUAAUGAUAUUUUCAUAAAUAAGCUAGAAAAACUAAAAAUUUAGUUUCUUCUUCCCCUCUAAACUACCGGCUAGUGCUAAAACAACUAUAAUAGAAAAAACAAAUUGAGAGCUUACUCAUUGGAACCCUUGAAUCAAGAUUUAAGGCAAGAUAGGUGAGGGAAUAAAUAUUAAACACAUCUCGACUAAGUGCCAUCCUAUAAAUUUGUUUUCAAUUUGCAUUUGAUGAAAAAUAUACAAGGAAUCAUAAAUGAAUUAACUUAAGCAUUGCGAAGGAAAUAUCAAGAUAUCAUAAAUGUGUUGACAAGUUAAAAAGUUUUGAAACAACAAAUUUAAAUGAUAAGGGAUGAAGGAUGAAAAUAUUUAGUUGAUGAGAUUUUUUUUUGGUGUGAAAGACAUAGCAUUGAUAUUUCAAAAAUAAAUGAUGUGUUUGUCAUUUGCAGCCGAUCAAGGUGUAAUACCCAACAAUUAAUAAACUUGUAUCAUUAACAGGCCGAGCUGUUCUAUACAACAAUUGACAUGCAACUUCACGAGCUUAACAAUUGUUUUAUCAAGAUACACAUGGAGUUGCUUCCUUGCAUUGCAUGUUUGAAACUCAAUCUCUAUAAUAUUAUAAAUAGGUUAGCAUUGCAAUAACAAAAAAAAAAUAUGAUAACCAUGACAAUAAUAAUAAUAAUAAUAUGAAUAUGUAUAUUUUUAUUAGUUGAUGGAUCAAUUUGAAAGCAUCAAAGUACUUUUUUGUAAAAAUAAACUAAUAAAUGGUACACCCGAGGCAAAAUUAUAGCCAAUAUAGCUUGUUGGCCAAGGGAAAGUGUCACGGGGGUAUUUUUCGCUACGCGAAUAAACCCGUGCGGCAGCCUAGUCCUUCGCUAGACUCAGCCUUCCCUCACCAAUCUCACUCGUGUUUGCCUAAUAACUAAGCAAGCGGAAUACACAAGCAAGGAUAAGAAUCAUAGUGCACAACAAGCUUUACAGGAACUCUUUCCCAACCUUUAUUAAUCUCAUACACAAAGGAAACUAUACACAAAUCCGUAUGUGUGCUAUGCACAAAGAUUACAUGCUACACUAAGCUACCUCUAACUAGUGUUCUACACAUGUUCUUGCAUGCCCCUACAUGCUGGACAUUCCCAACCGAAUGCCCUUACAAUCUGAACAUUCCCACCUGAAUGCUCUCCCACAACCAAGAGCUACAUCUUGUAUUUAUAGACAAGCAAAGGAGCUGCAAAGGCUCCUCCCCAUUAUCCCCCAUUUUCAGGACCUAGUGGAGCACUACCUCUCUCCCAUGAUCCCAUGUUUUCAGGACAUGGUGGAGCACUACCUCUCACCCAUGAUCCCAUGUUCUGCCUCCCAUGAAGCUGCCACUCUCCUUAUUUUCUGGCUGUCUACUUGGCAGCCCCAGCUGCCAGCUUCUGCUGCGUCAGCUGCUGACUUAGAAGGUCCAUCAUCUAAGCCCCCACGUCCAUGUCAAGUCGCAAGCUCAAAGACUCGCAUAGACCAUUGCAUGCUGCCUGCCGAAUUCAUCUCUGCCUAUGCAAGGCUGCCGCGAUCCAUCGCUGCCGAAUUCUAAGCAGAGUGCCUUCGUUGGCGCGUCCCAGCGCCUAGAGCUCUUAGCCCAUGCCUUGGACAGUCCUUCGCCCAAGUUUUAGAUCGUGCCAAGUCGAGCCCCUGACUUGCACAAGUUUGCUGCGCGCUGCCGAGUCCGCAUCUGCAGGCAAGCUGCCAAUGCGCUGCCGAAUUCGCAUAUGCGUGCUGCCAAUCUCUGCGCUGCCGAAUUCGCAUCUGCGUGCAGGCUGCCCCUGUCUACGCUGCCGAAUUCUGCGAUAGUCCCAAUUCUCGUCAGCCUAUCCUCCUGACGAGGCUUGGACAGUCCCUCGUCCAGCCCAUGUUCGUCAACAAUCUGCGCUGCCGAUUUUCCCUUUGACGAACCUACAGCCGCAUAAAUCUGCGCUGACGAUUUCUCCCACUGAUGGCAUGGCUGCCAGCACCCUUCGGCCUUGUUUUGGCCAGCCUGCCGAAGCGUGCACCUCGUGCACAUUUGACACUGUGACAGAAAGAGUCUUUUCGUUUGUAGUUUUGGAGUAGCAAAUAAUGGCUUAUGAUAAGCAAACGUUGAUUCAUCUUGCUUAAUUCUAUCUAUCUAUUUUCUUCAUAGUUGAGCUUGCAGCACUUAUAAUCAACUGGAAACUUAUAUUCUUGACAUGAGAUCCUGUGAAGAAUUUCCAAAGCUAAAAGAAAUCAAUUAUUCUGCUAAAAAAUUGGUAAAGACAAACUAUUUCAUUAGAAAAUAAAAUAUUUUCAGCGAUGAAAUUGAUUAAAAAUUGAUUACGCAAUCGAAUCAGAGAUGAUUAAUUAAAUGAUUGUUUGAUUAUGAUUACUUAUAUCGAAAAAGAUAUAUUGAGAAGUGAUAAUAAUAAGAAAAUCCUAUAUUUCAACAUAUAAAAUCUUGCAAGGAACAAUUAUAAAUUAUAUAAAAAAGAAUUUCAUGAAUCAUCUUUAUAUAUAUAUAUAUUACAAAUUUAUAAUUUUAAGAUUUUUUAAAUCUUAAUUAAUUUAAUUAUAUACUUAUAUUAUUUUAUACGUUAAAACUGGAGUCCAUCCUUCAUCUUAAUGGCAUAGAUGAAAUAUCUUAUUUAUGCCCAUUUGAAGAUAAUUAAUCCAGACUUAAUCCACUUGAUGAUGCCUUAAUCAUGCUGAUAAAAAAAGAUUAAUACAUUAAGCACAAGUGUUGAUAUAAUCAGUGGCAGAGCCCCGGGGCUGGCAGGACCCGGCCUUGUAAGAAAAUGUUCUUGUCAAUAUUUUUUUAAUAAUAUUUAUAGUUUCAGCUCAAAUAAUAAAAUAACUGAAAUCUUUGCCUUCUAAAAUAUUUUUUUUAAUUUUAUUUUGUGACCCAGCCCUAAAUAUAAUAUAAAUAAUUUAAUAUUGUUAGGAAGUUUUAAACCGGCUUCCAUGAAUUUAAUAUUGCCUAUCAUUUCAGCGUGUCCCGAGGUGAAAACAUUUGGCCUUUUUUUUUAAUUACUGAAAACUUAACAUGUCAUGUGCUAAAUUCUUUUUUUUAUUAUUUACGUGGGGUGUCCGGGCCAGCUUACGCGCACCACGACUAUUCCCCACAGCCCGCUGGACAUCCUGCAAGCCCAGGAGCAGGUAAGGCACCGCGGAGGUGACAGGCGUGCACAUAGAGGGUCGAACCCGGGACGGGAGCGGAACAAGUCACACGAUUGACCACAACAGCUAGACCCUCAAGUGCAUCAUGUGCUAAAUUCUUGAAGAACCCAGUGAAUGCCAAAAUUAAAGAUUCAUUUUGAAAAUUAAUUUGAAAUAAAAAUGAAAAAAUAUAAUUUUUUUUCAAAAAUACUUUUACAUCCAGAAACAAAAAUGACCUUAUGUAAGGGACAUGCACGUAUCCACUUAGAUAUAAAACCCCAGCCAAGAAACCAAAGAAGAGAAGUAGAGAACGGUAGCUCAGGGGAGCGUUUGGCAUGGAAAAAUGAAAGGGCACGGUCGUAUAUAUUCUUUGGAUUUCCACAUUGGUAAUAUAUACAUGAAUUUGUUUUUAUAUUAAGAAUUAUGUUUUAUGAUUGUUUUAAAUAAAAUUUGCUUUAAAUUAAUAUUGUUUUAGUAUUGUUAAAUUAUUUUAAUGUAAUAAUAUAAAAAAUAAUUUUUUAUUUUUUUAAAUAAAAAAUAAUUAUUACCAUACUCACCAUCAAAACUUAACAAGUACGGUAGGUAUGCAUCAAAGAAAAACCAAAGGACGGUAGGUAUGCAUCAAUGCCAUAAAUAGAGUUUGUCUUGUUCAGAAGACUUUGAAAGUGGCUUCGUUGACUCUGCAGACACGAAGAAUAGUCAAAAGUCCUAAAAUUAACUCAUCUUUGCUAUCCACGGCGGCGCAUCAUUAGUGGGUUUGGAAAUUAACAUGGUGCUUCCGAUGAGCCAAGCUAUGUGUUCACAGUGAUUAAUUCGAAUGUGUAAGCAAUAUCGUUGCUAUCACCAUUUGCUUUGAAGGGCUAUUUAAAAAUAUAAUAGUAGUUAUUUCUUUAAAAUAUAUAUUAAAUAUAUAUAUUUUUUUAUUUUUUAAAAAUUAUUUUUGAUAUUAAUACAUCAAAUCAAAACAAAACAAAAAAUAUAAAAAAAUUAAUAUAAAAAAUUUAAUUUUAAAAAAACAUGAUUUUAAAUGCGAUCCCAUACAAUAGAUUAGAUAGAAAAAAAAAGGAAACUGGAAAAAAAACAUUAAUUAAAAUGAUAAAUAGAUAUAAAUAAAUUAUUUUUUCUUCAAAUUAGAAUCGUUAUUUUCUAUACACUAUUGUCGCUAAAAUUAUAAAAUCAUUUUAUAAUUUAUAAUCAUUUUCUAUAUAUUAUUGUUGCUUUUUUUCAUAUAUAUAUAUAUAUAUAAUCCUCACUAUGAAAUUCUGAAAGAGAGAACGGCGGCUAAAAGCAACAACAUUUUAGCUAGAUAAAUAAAGUUUAAUGACUUGAUAUGUUCUUAUAUUAUAAAAUAUUUCUUUGAUCUAUUUCUAUAUAUCUAAUUAAGUUAAUUUUAUUCUUUAAUAUAUAUUAAAUUUAUAAUUUAUCAUUCUUCUCAUGUAAACUCACUCCAAUUUGUCAUGUGUCUGUUACAUGCAAAACUAGAAGAUUAUAUUUAAAAUUUAACAUAUAUUUUAAAUAAAAUUGACUUAAAUAAAGAUAUAAUAGGUCAAUGAUAGAUAAAUAGCCCACUAUCGAAGGAUAUACUACGUUACUAAAAAAAAACCUGUUUAUCAAUUUGUGUGGUUGUCCACUAGGUUUUGUUCUCUCCAUUGAUAUUAAUUAUCAUCAGUAUCUGAAUGGCAUAGCAUAGGUUAAAAACUUAUUAUUAAUAUUUUAUGGAUGUACACAAGAAGAUAAUUAAUCCAUAAUAAUUUUUACGGUUUAACUGUCUAUAUAUUUUUAAAUUUUAUUAUUCGAUUAACAAAUUUAUUUAUACAUACCGCUUCCACGAGUUUUCUUGUCUCUUCCUUUCCUUUAAAGUCCCCGAAUUCCCAUCAUGGCUUAUUAGCUUUCUACUACUAUCAUUCUCUCUCUCACCCUUUCGCAAAAAUCGACAACUUCAUGACUCAGAAAUCUUGACCCCAUCUCCUAACAAUUCAUAGACAGGUAGGGUUCAGCAUUGCACCAUUCUUUUCAAGAACUGGUGGGAUGUCACAGAUUUCAAAUAGAUGGUAGGAAUGGACCUCUCGAUGAUAAGUAGGGCCCAAAUUGCCGCCCAAAGGCCAUUGUAGAUUCACGUUCAGAGAACAUCAGAUGCGAUGCUUAGCCGACAGUAGAGAAGAAUGAUUACUUCUGAAGAGAAUAUCAUUACAAAAUGAUCCCCGGCAAACAGUCAGGGAUGCCAGCACGGCCGGCUUACAUUGUUAAGCUUGUAACAAUCUAUAAUCAACUCGAAACUUAUAUUCUUAACCUGAGAUCUUGUGAAGAAUUUCCAAAGAUAAAAAGGAAUCAAUGAUCUUGCUCAGAAAUUAGUGGAGGCCAAGAAGGUUGUGGUUAGUAAUUUUACCUCGUGUGAAUAUAAUAUAAAUAAUUUAAUAUUGUUAGGAAGUUUAAAACCGGCUUCCAUGAAUCUUCUUGUCUUUUCUUUUCCUUUAAAAGUCUAUAUGGUUGUUCUCUUAAUGCAAUUCAUUGGAUUCUGCUUUCUACGGCCUUCUCUCUCACACCGUCCGCGAAGAUCCACCAUGGCUUCUGCUAUUGUCCUUUUUUUUUCUCUCCCGUCCUUUUGAUACUGUCGUCCUUCCGCAAAAAUCCACCAUGGCUCUGGGGUUGAGUAGAGGUUAAUUAUCUGUGCUGUCAUUGAGGUUUUGGUCGACAGGCUGUCCUCUCCUGAGGUUCUAGGCUUUUUCAAAAGACAAGCUCAAUCAAUGGAAAAGUUGAAGUUAAACAUUAAAUUAUUCUCCUUUUUUAUUUUUUUUCACAAGUAUUUAACCGUUCAAUUUGUAAGAACAUCAGUCUUUUUUAUAAGCCAACAAUUACACUUUUUAAAUUUGCUAUUAUAAUAAUUAUUUAUUUAUGUGAUAAUUUCACCAAUGUUUUUUUGGCCUUGUACCAAAUACCUUCUAAGAGUAAUACCAGAUGAAAUUUUUUAAAAUAUUUUUGAACCUCAUAGUUUCAUAUAUCUAUAUUUUAACCGUUAACUUCAUUUCUCACACGUUUCACUCUUUGACUAUUGAGUUUUGAUCCUUGCAAUUCUCAUAAAAGUACAUUUUGGUUCCUUAAGUUUUUAUUUUUAUUUUUGAUCCUUAUAAUUUCAGGUAUUUAUAUUUAAUUCUAAAAUUUUAUUUUCCUUACAUUUCAAUUCCUUUAUGUUGCGAUUAUAGAGAGAAAGUCGCUAGAAAAAAGAGAGGAAAGAGAAGUAUUUUGGUGAGUUGUAUUUCAAGAACAAAAAAUGUUGAUUUUGGAGAGUUGUAUUUUGAAUGAAACAGACCCAACCAAGGCCCCGAGUUACCCGGGUCCUGGGUUGACCCGUCAAGCGGGGCUGAGUUUGAUAACUAUGAUAACAACCAUGUCAGACCCAAGAUGUUAGGUAUAUCCUUGGAUCUAACGGCCAUAUCAGACCCAAUAGCCUUGGAUCUUACAUGACUACCAGACCUAGGGUCUGGUGAUUGGGUCUCGCAAUCAUGCCAGACCCCAACAUCUUGGACCUGGCUGCCAUGACUAAACUGAAAAAAAAAAAACAAAAUUUUGCAUAGUAACAAAUACAUAGUGAAAAUCCAACGUAUUUUAGUAUAUAAGUAAUAAAUUUAAUAAUUAACAUAUAAUGCAUGAUAAAAUUAGCAUUAAUUUUACCAGUGGCUACUGCAACAAUAAAGAAAAUAUUUUUAGCAUUCAAAUUGGUUAAAAAUCGAUUACAUGAUCAAAUUAGGGGUGAUUUGUUGAAUGAUUGUGUGGUUACUUAUAUCAAUAAAGAUAUAUUUAAAAGUGUUGAUAAUGAAAAGAUCCUACAAUGUUUUCACUAUAUGAAGUCUUGCAAUGAGCGAUUGUGAAUUUUAUAUAUAUAUAUAUAUGCAAUAUAUAUAUAUAUAUAUAUAUAUAUAUAUAUAUAUAGAAUUUUAUGAAAUAUCUUUUUAUAAUAUAUGUAAAUUUUUUAACUUUAUAUUAAAAAAUUAUAAUUUUUGGAUUUUUUAGAUCUUAAUUAAUUAAUGGAAAAGUUGAAGUUAAUUAUUAAAUUAUUCUCUCUUUUUUUCACAACUAUUUAACUAUUUAAUUUGUAAAUACAUCAGUCAUUUUAAAAAACCAACAUUUACACUUUUUAAAUUUGCUCUUAUAAUAAUAAUAAUUAUUUAUGUGAUAAUUUCAACCAUAUUUUUAAGCCUUAUACCAAAUACCUUCUAAGAGUAAUACCAAAUGAAGUUUUUUUUAACAAAACAUAUUUUUGAACCUAGUAGUUUUAUGUGUUUACAUUUUAACCGUAAACUUCAUUUCCCACUCGUUUCACUAUCUGAAUAUUGAGUUUUGGUCCUUGAAAUUCUCAUAAAAGUUCAUUUGGGUUCCUAAAAUUUUUUCUUUUAUCCUCGUAGUUUUAGCUAUUUAUUUAAUUCUAAAACUUUAUUUUCCUCACAUUUUAAUUCCUUGAUGUUACGAGUAUAAAGAGAAAGUCGUUAGAUAAAAAGAAAAGUAUUUUGGUGAGUUGUAUUUCAAGAACAAAAAAUACUGAUCUUAGUGUCCAUAAAUUUUUCUUUAAACACAUAACAAAAAAAAUUAAUAUUUUUUAAAAGUGGCCCUAAACAAAAUAAAAAAGAGGAGGUUUUAUCUAUUUUUUUGGUUUUUUAACCAGUCACAUUACUUUAUUUCUUUUCAAUUGCAUUCUUUAAAGCUAUAUUUUCAUGGCAACCAUAGCUAUCAAACCCAGCCUAGGAGUUAACCCGACUAAUGGGCUAAGUCCUGGUUUACACGAGUUGACUCGGGUCAACCAAGAAAAAUUUUAAAAAAAUAUUUGAGAUUUUAAUAUUUUAUAUGAAAAAAUAAGAAAUAAUCCAUAUGGAUAUAUGCUAUACAUGUUGUAAACAAUUAAAUUUAAAAGAUUAUUUCAAAAUGUUUUUUAUUCCACAUUGAAAAGAUACUAUCUUAUUCUUUUAAGUUAAAGUAUUUAAAUAAAAAAGGUUUUCUAUCCUACAUUGAAUAACCAUUAACUUUUUUAUUGUGAAUAUAGAAUAAAUAUAUAGACACAUACACACACUAAAAGACUUCAAAUUUUACAUUACAAAAAUAAAAUAUUUUUCUAAUAUUUAUAUACUGAACUUGAAAUGAGUUAGAAAAAAACUGAAAAUAUAUAAAAAAAAUCUCUAAAUAAAAGAAAAACACAUUUAAUAAAAACAGAAUCUCUAUCAAGUUUUUAUUGGGCCACCCGAGUUCCAGGUUUACCCAACAUGUUAACCAGUUUACUCCAGGCCACUUACACGUCCAAAUAUUGAAUGAAACAGACCACCAAGGCUUAUCAUUCUCUCUCACAUAAUCACUCUAUCACCCUUUCGCAAAAAUCCACCAAGGCUCCUGCUUUCCACUACUCCUUUUCUCUCACAUAUUCCGACCCUCACCCCUUCUGCAAAAAUCCACCAUGGCUCUGGAGUUGAUCGGAGGAUCAAUUCUCUCUGCUCUCGUUGAGGUACUGGUCGACAGGUUGGCCUCUCGUGAGGUUCUGGACUCCUUCAAAAGCCACAAACUCGAUGAUGGUCUUCUGGAAAAGCUGAAUGAAACACUGAAUACUGUCAACGGACUACUCGACGAUGCGGAGGAGAAGCAGAUUACAAAGCGUGCUGUGAAGAACUGGCUUAAUGAUGUUAAACACGCUGUGUAUGAAGCUGAGGACAUAUUGGAUGAGAUUAAUUAUGAAUAUCUACGAUCCAAGGACAUUGAUACCCCUCGACCUGACAGCAAUUGGGUAAGCAUAAGUUCUUGCACCUAUAGACCUUGCUUCCUCAUAAAAUGUUUUUUUUUUUUUUUUAACUUUCAUGUAUGCUCUCAAGUCUGUAAACGAGGAAAAAAUAAUUUUAGGGAUGGUUGUUGUCUUUCUGUGAGUUUUAAUUAAAGAGUAUUCAUUGUUAUGCAUGCAACUAAUAUCAUUGGCUUUUGGUGUCUAUGGCGUAAUUAUGCUUGCAAAUUCUCAUUUAUUAAUUAGUUUUCUAGACAUUUAAUCACUAUCUUUUUAAAACUUGAAUUUUACUGCGUGCAUUAAGUUAGCAUCAACAAUUGUAAAUUCUUGAAAAAGAUCUGUAGAAAGAAAACUUAUUAAUUCUCUAGAUGUAAAAAUCUUAAUGUUUAUGUUUUGAUAUUAAAAAAUUAUAAUGUUAUCCUGAAUUCUAUCUCAUAUAUUUAGUCCACCAUUGCAGGCAAGGAAUCUGGUUCCAUUUCUAAAUCCAGCUAAUAGAAGGAUGAAAGAGAUUGGAGCAGAGUUACAAAAGAUCUAUGAGAAGCUUGAACGUUUACUUAAACACAAGGGUGAUCUGCGCCACAUAGAAGGUACUGGUGGAUGGAGACCAUUGUCAGAGAAAACAACUCCACUGGUUAAUGAACCUGAUGUAUAUGGAAGGGACGCUGAUAAGGAAGCCAUAAUGGAGCACUUGCUGACACAACACAAGACAGAUGGCCCAAAUUUAGUUGUGGUUCCUAUUGUGGGCAUGGGCGGGAUUGGUAAAACCACUCUUGCUCAGCUUAUCUACAACGACGAAAAGGUAGAUCAGUUCUUCCAACUCAAGGCCUGGGUCUGGGCUUCUCAACAAUUUGACGUCACCAGGAUUAUUGAGGAUAUUAUUAAGAAGAUCAAAGCAAGGACUUGCCCCACCAAAGAACCAGAUGAAUCCAAAGAACCAAAUGAAUCUCUAAUGGAGGCAGUGAAAGGGAAAAAACUUCUACUUGUUCUAGAUGACGCGUGGAACAUCGAGUACAAUGAAUGGGAUAAAUUACUGCUACCUUUGCGGUAUGUGGAGCACGGAAGUAAGAUUGUCGUGACAACACGGGAAGAAGAUGUAGCAAAAGUCACGCAGACUGUCAUCCCCUCUCACCGCUUGAAUGUAAUAAGCGAUGAAGAUUGCUGGAAGUUGUUUGCAAGGGAUGCAUUUAGUGGUGUAAAUUCUGGAGCAGUCUCACACUUGGAAGAAUUUGGCAGAGUAAUAGUGAGAAAGUGCAAAGGUUUACCGCUGGCAGCGAAAACUCUUGGGGGUCUUUUGCACUCCGUAGGAGAUGUCAAGCAAUGGGAGAAGAUAUCCAAUAGCAGUAUGUGGGGUUCGUCGAAUGAAAACAUCCCUCCAGCUCUAACAUUGAGCUAUUAUUAUCUCCCUUCACACCUGAAACGUUGUUUUGCUUAUUGUGCAAUAUUUCCCAAGGAUUAUGUAUUCAAGAAGGAUAGAUUAAUCACUGAAUGGAUGGCACAUGGUUUUCUAGUCCAGCCCAGAGGCGUUGAGGAGAUGGAAGAUAUAGGUGAAAAAUACUUUAAUGAUCUUGUCUCCAGGUCACUUUUCCAGCAAUCCACUGGUGAUUCUUUUUUCAGCAUGCAUGACCUCAUAAGUGAUUUAGCUGAAUACGUGUCAGGAGAAUUUUGCUUCAAGCUUGGUAUUAAUGAAUCGGGCUCUGGGUUGGAGAGUGAACAUUCAUGCUCGCUUCCAGAAAGGACUCGUUAUUUAUCAAUCACUUCAGCGGCAGCAUAUGGCGGAGGACUUCGGAUUUUUCGUAGCAUUCAUGGAGUCCAACAUUUGCGCGCCUUGUUUCCACUGAAGUUUUUUGUGGAAGUUGAUAUUGAGGCACUGAAUGACAUUUUGCCAAAUCUUAAGCGCUUGCGAAUGCUAUCUUUAUGUCAUCCAAAAGAUAUUUCUUCUCAGUUGCUCAAUUCCAUUGGCAACUUAAAACAUUUGCGGCACUUGGACCUUUCUCAGACAGUAUUUAAACGGUUGCCCGAAAGUGUGUGCACCUUGUACUAUUUGCAAAGCUUAUUGUUAAAGGAGUGCCGACUUCUCAUGGAGUUGCCAUCCAACCUUUCCAACUUGGUCGACUUACAACAUCUUGAUAUUGAAGGGACAAAUUUGAAAGAGAUGCCACCAAAAAUGGGGAAACUCACGAAGCUUCGAAUUUUGGAAUCUUACAUCGUGGGAAAAGAUAGCGGGUCUAGCAUGAAAGAGUUGGGGAAGCUCUCACACAUAAGGAAAAAACUUUCUAUUCGGAAUCUCAGAGAUGUUGCAAAUGCUCAAGAUGCUUUGGAUGCCAAUUUGAAGGGUAAGAAGAAGAUUGAGGAGUUGGGGUUGACGUGGGAUGGCAGUACGGAUGACACACCACACGAGAGAGAUGUACUUGAGAAAUUGGAGCCUUCUGAAGAUGUGAAAGAGCUUGCCAUUAUUGGUUACGGGGGUACAACGUUUCCAGGCUGGCUUGGAAACUCUUCUUUCUCAAAUAUGGUAACGUUGCUUCUUUCUGGAUGUACGAACUGCAUCCUCUUACCACCAUUGGGGCAGCUGCCAUCUCUAGAAGAGCUCGAAAUUGAAGGAUUUGAUGAAGUCGUGGCAGUUGGUUCUGAGUUCUAUGGAAGUGACCCUCCAAUGGAGAAGCCAUUUAAAUCCCUCAUAACAUUAAAGUUUGAGGGGAUGAAGAAAUGGCAGGAAUGGAAUACAGAUGUAGCUGGUGCUUUCCCUCAUCUUGAAAAUCUCUUGAUAGCAGGUUGUCCAGAGUUAACAAAUGGCUUGCCUAAUCACCUUCCUUCUUUAUUGAUACUUGAGAUUCGAGCGUGUCCGCAGCUUGUGGUUUCAAUUCCAGAGGCUCCCCUGCUCAGAGAAAUCAAUGUAUCUGAGGGAGAUGAAAGUCGUAUAACUGGUCGUACGUCGUCCUAUUAUUGCUACUACUUACCAGAUCAACCACCCAAGUGCCUUCAUUUUAGACGAGAUCCCCAGCUAACGGGAAUGGAGCAAAUGAGUCAUUUGGAUCCCCGUCUUUUCACUGAUAUCAAAAUCGAGGAAUGUAGUUCAUUUAAGUGCUGCCAGCUAGACCUUUUACCCCAGGUCACCACACUUACCAUUGAACAUUGUCUCAAUCUGGAAUCCCUAUGUAUAGGCGAGAGACCUGUCCCUGCUCUCUGUCGUCUGACAAUCAGUCACUGUCCUAAUUUGGUGUCUUUCCCCAAAGGAGGACUAGCUGCCCCGGAUUUGACAAGCCUUGUGUUAGAGGGUUGCUUAUAUUUGAAGUCGUUGCCGGAAAACAUGCGUUCCCUCCUACCUUCCCUACAGGAUUUGCAAUUGAUCUCACUUCCAGAAGUUGAUUCGUUUCCUGAAGGAGGUUUACCCUCCAAUUUAAACACACUUUGCAUUGAAGAUUGUAUCAAACUCAAGGUAUGUGGUUUGCAAGCACUCUCUUCUCUUUCAUACUUCGAAUUUAGUGGGAACGAUGUGGAGUCUUUUGACGAGGAGACGUUGCCCUCUACUCUCACAACCCUUAAAAUCAAACGUCUGGGAAACCUGAAGUCUCUGGACUAUAAGGGGCUUCAUCACCUCACCUCUCUUCAGGGAUUGGGUAUCGAGGGUUGCCCUAAGCUUGAGUCCAUAUCAGAGCAGGCGCUUCCCUCCUCCCUUGAAUACCUUUAUCUCAGAAAUCUAGAAUCUCUGGACUACGUGGGGCUUCAUCACCUCACCUCUCUUGACACAUUGAAGAUCAAGAGUUGCCCUAAACUUGAGUUCGUAUCAGAACAGGUGCUGCCCUCCUCCCUUGAAUACCAGGGGCUUCAUCACCUCACCUCUCUUAGAAAUUUGAGUAUCGAGAGUUACCCUAAACUUGAGCACAUAUCAGAACAGGGGCUGCCCUCCUCCCUUGAAUGCCUUCAUCUCUGUAAACUGGAAUCUUUGGACUACAUUGGGCUUCAGCACCUCACCUCUCUUCACAAAAUGAAGAUCGGGAGUUGUCCUAAACUUGAAUCGUUGCAGGGGCUGCCUUCCUCCCUUGAAUUCCUUCAGUUAUGGGAUCAGCAAGACCGGGACUAUAAGGAACUUCGGCACCUCACCUCUCUUCGCAAAAUGAAUAUAAGAAGGAGCCUUAAGCUUGAGUACCUUCAAGAAGGCACACUUCCCUCCUCCCUUAAAGACCUUGAAAUCCAGGAUUUGGAAGAUCUGGAUUAUAAGGGGUUUCGGCACCUCAGCUCUCUUCGUAAAUUACAUAUCUGUAAUUCUCCUAAGCUCGAGUUCGUGCCAGGAGAGGAGCUGCCCUCCUCCCUUGUAUCUCUUAAAAUAUCAGGUCUGAUAAAUCUGAAAUCUGUAAUGAGGCUUCAGCACCUCACCUCUCUUCGCAAAUUGAUUAUCCGGGAUUGUCCUAAGCUUGAGUACUUGCCAACAGAAGAGCUGUCCUUACCCCUAGUUCCUGAUAUUAGUGGUUGUCCUUUUGUAGAACCGAGUUGUUGCAUUAGUUAGACCAUGUAUCUUACCCGCGCUCCGCGGCCGAGCGAUUAGUUAUAUAAUUAAAUUUAAUAAAUAGGUUUUACAAUACAUUUUUAAUAUAAAAUAUUUUUCAAUAAUAAAUAGAAAUAUCUUUACAUACAUUAGUAAUUAGAUCAAUAUUUCAUAAAAAAAUAAUUAAAAUUGAGAUAUUUAAUCUUAUAAUAUGAAUCAUGCAUUUAGUUGUGUUUAACAAUUAUAUUUCCUAGAUUUUUUUUUUUAAAAAAUACAUGGGUCAAACUAUAUAAAUAUAAUAACCUUGUGACAUGAUUGAGAUAAUUUUAUAGAAAAAAAAGUAAAAAAAAAAGAAGCACAAAUACCAAUUCCAAAAAAAAUUACAUGUUGAAGGAUGAAAUUAAAAUAACACAAGAAUACUUGAUUUCACAUCAGGUUCAUGCAUUCAGCUAUGUUUAAUAACUUUGUUUUUUAGAAUAUUUUUUUAUUUAAUCAAACAAUUAUCUAUGCAAAUAAAAGGUAAAAAAAAUCACAAAUGAAAGCAAAUAAAAUCAAAUCAUGAAGCUUAAUUAUAAAACAACUCAAUGUUGAAUGAUGAAUUUUUUAAAAAAAUAAUUAAGAAAAACAAAAAAAAUAUGAGUCAACCCUCGUUAAUCCGCUAACAUUGCGACCAUUGGCAUAUGAUUGGAAUAAACCCAUAGAGAUGAAAGUGAAAGAAAAUAAAUACAAAGACCAACUCUCAGAAAAAUUAAAUGUUGAAGGAUGAAAUUAAAAAAAAAAUACUAGAGUCAAAUCAUGUUAAUAUUUGAAACUUGUAAUUGUGAUCAUGAGACCAAGACUACUCAUGUAUGAGUCAAACCCAAAAAAACAACAAAACAAAUUUCUCAAUAAAAAAAUAUCGAGGCAUGAAACUUUCAAUAAAAAAAAAACAUGAAAACAAUAUGAAUCAACCAGGGUUAACUCGCUAACCCCGUGACCAUGGAAACAGAUCGGGAUAACCUUAUUGAAAGUAAAGUGACAGAGAAAAGCACAAAGAACAACUAUAUAAAAAAUAAACGUUGAAGGGUGAAAUUAAAAAAAAAAGAUCAUUAACCUUUAAAACUCAUGAUCAUGAUGUUGGGACUAACCAUAUAAAAAACAACAUAACAAAAUUCUCUGUAUAAAAAAGUUGAGGCAAGAAACUUAGUAAAAAAAGCAACAUAAAAUAUCUGAGUCAACUAUGUAACCACGAGUAUAUAAUUUAAAUAAUCUUAUAGAAAGGAAAGAAAAAACAAAACAUGAAAACCAAUUUCAUAAAAAUUAAAUAUUGAAGAAUAAAAUUGAAAAAAAUAAAUUUCUAUCAUUAAGAAACCAAAAUCAACCCGUGCAAACCUUUAAAAGCCAUGUCAAAAAAAAAAGCUAAGUGAUGAAAUCUUUAAAAAAAACCAAUAAAAAAAAUUCAAAACAUAAUAAAUAUAAGUAAAAAAAAAUAGAGAUCAAAUUCGAUACUAAAAAUUAAAAAUCAAAUAAAGAGGAAUAAAAUCGAAACAAUAUCUAAUUAGUUGAAGGAUUUAAAAAUAUCAAAAGAAAUAGUGCUAAGUUUUAUAUAAAAAUAAAAUAAAAUAAAAUGAUUAGAGAUAAAUAGCAAUGAAUACUAUUUUUAUAAAAUAAAAAUUAAAAAAACUGUAGAAAAACACAAUAAAAAUAUAAAAACUAUAUGUAAUAUAAGUGUUAACCGCACGUAUCAAACAUUGGUUCCAAACAAAACUAGAAAAUAAAAAAACUAGACACCUGCAUCAUCACGUCCAAACCUGCCUAAAAGGCAGAAAAAACUGCACAUGCAUUUGCAAUACCAUGCCACAACCAAAUCAAUCUUACCAAAAACAUCCUUUAUUCAUCAUUAAAGGUCCUCUUGUGAACAAAACAUAAAAACAUAGUGAAAACAAAAAGAUUGGUUUCAAUGGCAAAUGCAUAAGCAAAAAAUAUUCAAAUCAAUGUAGAAAUCAUAAAGAGAGCAACGGAAGGACAAAAAUCGAUCAAAAAACCCUCACUGACAGAAGAAACAACACACUUUCACCUCAUGUGUUCUCCAUCGGUUUGUUUAAGAAAAAAAAGACGAGCUGCAGCAUCACCACCUCCAUCCUCUCUCAUAAGCUUCUUCUUCUCCAAUGUGCAUACCUUUUUGGUUCACACAUGUUCUAUGCCUCCUCUCCCUCUUCUAAAUCAUGACUACAAGUGAAGAAAACAACUCUAAUCCCACCCAAAAACAAUGUUCUAAUACCAAAUUUGAUAUGAGACAAAAGAGAUUUAAAGUUAAAGAAGAGAAAAAAAAAGUCAAAGAAAGAGAAAAAAAACUGAUAAAGACUAAAACCCUGAUUAUAACAUAUAAUUAAACUUAUAGCCCACUAAAUAAAAUAGUAAAAACAAUAAUUAAAUCAAAUCCAAAAAAUAAUGUAUGAUUAAUAAAUUUCAACUAAAAAAUUAAAUAAAUUAAACUAAAAUAUAAGUUGAAGCUCCAUCUCUUAAUGAUUUGAGCUACCCUCCAUCAUUUAUAAUCAUACAAAUACGUAAAUAGUGUUCUUUCGAGUCCGUCCCUACCACUUAUAUAUAUAUAUAUAUACAGAGAAUUUAAGUCUAGUAUUUGAACGGUUCAUAAACCUCGAUCCAUCAUGCGAUUUCUCAAGAUGACGUUGUUAUAAUUUCAAAAAACUAUUUACAGAAGAUUUAUCUUCAAGGACAAGAGUUGAAUCCUUAAUAUUUUACUUGUCAUAACUUAAUUUUGGCCCUUUGGUUUUUAAUUUAAUUUUUACAGGGUUUAAAAUGAAAAUUUAAAAGAUCAGAGAUUUAUUUCGAUGAAAAGUGUGAUUUGUCAAACUUCCGUGAAAAUUAAGGAUUACAAUGUGUUUUUGUCAUUCUAUCUUUAUCUUCAAGAUAAUCCCUAUCUUCAAGAUAAUCUUUAUCUUCGAGAUAAUCCUUGUUUUUAAGAUAAUGAUAGUUAUCCGAUUUCAAAUUUGAUUCUUAAUCAAAUUCAAACUUCAAAGAAGAGAAUGAGUUUGAUUGAAACUUGGUUUCUCACACGCGAAAGGACUCUGACACUAUAAAUACAGAUUUCAGGGUAUGAAAAAAAGAAGAGAGGAUGAUUAGGGAGAGACCCUAAAGAAACAGGGAAAAAACCCAGGAAAAGGCCAUUGUAAAAGAGAUUUAAAGUUAAAGAAGAGAAAAAAAAAUCAAAGAAAGAGAAAAAAAACUGAUAAAGACUAAAACCCUGAUUAUAACAUAUAAUUAAACUUAUAGCCCACUAAAUAAAAUAGUAAAAACAAUAAUUAAAUCAAAUCCAAAAAAUAAUGUAUGAUUAAUAAAUUUCAACUAAAAAAUUAAAUAAAUUAAACUAAAAUAUAAGUUGAAGCUCAAUCUCUUAAUGAUUUGAGUUACCCUCUAUCAUUUAUAAUCAUACAAAUACGUAAAUAGUGUUCUUUCGAGUCCAUCCCUACCACUUAUAUAUAUAUAUAUACAGAGAAUUUAAGUCUAGUAUUUGAACGGUUCAUAAACCUCGAUCCAUCAUGCGAUUUCUCAAGAUGACGUUGUUAUAAUUUCAAAAAACUAUUUACAGAAGAUUUAUCUUCAAGGACAAGAGUUGAAUCCUUAAUAUUUUAAUUUUCAUAACUCAAUUUUGGCCCUUUGGUUUUUAAUUUAAUUUUUACAGGGUUUAAAAUGAAAAUUUAAAAGAUCAGAGAUUUAUUUCGAUGAAAAGUGUGAUUUGUCAAACUUCCGUGAAAAUUAAGGAUUACAAUGUGUUUUUGUCAUUCUAUCUUUAUCUUCAAGAUAAUCCCUAUCUUCAAGAUAAUCUUUAUCUUCGAGAUAAUCCUUGUUUUUAAGAUAAUGAUCGUUAUCCGAUUUCAAAUUUGAUUCUUAAUCAAAUUCAAACUUCAAAGAAGAGAAUGAGUUUGAUUGAAACUUGAUUUCUCACACGCGAAAGGACUCUGACACUAUAAAUACAGAUUUCAGGGUAUGAAAAAAAGAAGAGAGGAUGAUUAGGGAGAGACCCUAAAGAAACAGGGAAAAAACCCAGGAAAAGGCCAUUGUAGAAACCCUAUAAAAAAAAAUAAAAAAAACAUUUAUAAAAAAAAAAAGAGCGCGGCCGAAUCCUUAACUAGCCGCCGCACCCUCCCCCCAGCUUUUUCCUCUCUUCUUCCCUGGUCCCAAACCAGCUAUUAAACGCUCCUAUUCAUUGAUUUUCUUUCCGCCAAUCUCAACGCCAAGGAGCUGCAACUCCUCAUAAAAAUAAAAAUAAAAAGUCUUUCUCCCUCCCAGUCACCGACCUUCAGCCUCUCUUCCCCGCUCUCACUCUCCCCGUUAACCACCAUCCUUCAUCUCAGCCUCCUCACCGAGAACACAAGCCUCCACCCAUCAAUCCUCAGCCACAGGGAAACCGAAGGAAACCAUACACAGACAGCCCUUUCACUUCCUUUUUCUGCGACCGAUCGAUCCCUCAAACUGACCACACACGGUCUUCUUCCCCCAUCCGCAAUAUUUCUCUUUCUUCCCUAGCCGACUACCAUGAGCAACGGAGAAGCAGCACCCGAAGACCCAAUGGUUCCAGCCACAGGCAGCUGCAAAAACAGAGAAGAGUUUUCCUCAGAACUCAGCUGCAGCAGCAAAAGUCGUGUGGUGUAGUUUUUUUUCCUUCCUCCAGCGGUGCAGUUUCUUCAUGCACAAGAACCGUGAGGCUCCAGCAUGGCAGCCAUGGACUGUCUAGCCUCCAUUGAAGUAACGCUUAGAAGCACUCUUCUCGCCAGCCUUUGCACCAGCAGUGAACAUCAGCAGUUUUUUAGCUCCAACAGCCACUCCUCUCUCCCCACCGUGCUCUUCCUGCCAGCGUCCACUAGUUCCUCGAUCGGGAGAAGAUCCUGCUCCACCGGGGUCAGCUUCCUCUUUUCUCUUCCGGCCGUGGCUCUAGCCAUCGCUAGUGUCAGUGAGUCGCUUCCCCUCCUGUAUUACAAUUCACGUUAGUAGCUGUGAAUUAUAGUUCACUUGCUACUGUAGCAACUGAACUAUAAUUCACUUGCCUCAACCGGGUCACUGGCUUAGGCCAGUGACCAGACCGGGGAGGUUGGGUCUACACAGCCAUGCAGGCUGGGUCAGACCCACCCAAAAUAAAUAAAUAAAAAAACAUAAUAAAAAAAUAGUUUUUUUUAUUCAGAUUUUUGUGGGUUUAUUCACUGGCGUCAGAGUCAGGAAUUAUACCGUAUUUUGUGGAUUGCACAAUAUUUAUCAACGCCAGAGUUGGAAAUAUUCAUAGUUCACUGGCGCCAGAGUCAGGGAUUAUACCGUAUUUUGUGGAUUGCACAAUAUUUACCAACUCCAGAGUUGGAAAUAUUCAUAGUUCACUGGCGUCAGAGUCAGAAAUUAUACCGUAUUUUGUGGAUUGCACAAUAUUUACCAACGCCAGAGUUGGAAAUAUUCAUAGGUAAAUAUUCAAUGAUGUCAGAGUUGGGGAUAUUAUAGGAUGACCAUAAGAACAGAACACAAACAAACCUUUAGCAAUUUUAGACAAAAUCAGCAAUGCAGCCUGCCUCAGGCAGGACGCUUAAGGGGUGAUAGCAUCUUCCCUUUCGCGUAACCAAUCCCGGAUCAUAAAAUCUCUAUUGACCAGUUAGGGUUCCUAGUGACCAUAAUACUAGGUGGUGACUCCUUAAACAAGACCUUUCCCCCUAAAAGAACAAGAUGUCAGAUAUCUGUUCUUAUUCCAUUUGUGAUUAAUUUUUAAUCAGUCGUCGCGAUGUCCGGGUGUGACAUUACUGUCAGUUCUAUUUAUGUGCUUGAUAAAGUUAAUUAAUUUAGUUAUAUAAUUAUCUUUAUCCUAUAUAUUUAUUAGUUUGUAUACAUGAAGUAUAUCUUAAUCACGUCACAUUAAAUCAAACGUUAGCAUUUAUAUGCCAACAUUAAUAGUGAUAAAGUUAAUUAAUUCGAAGCUUUUACAUACAAAAUAUACUUUGAAAAUCACUUUAUAAAUCUCAUAAUGGUAAUAUCACAUUAAUAGUGAAAGAUCUACGUACUCAACCAUGCAUGAUGUCAAAAGUUUUCCUUGACGAACAUGCCACGUCACUUUUUCAUUUACUUAGCUAAUCUAUUUCCAUAAGAAGCAAAAGAUUCUGUAUAAAAUUUUUCUAUAAAUACAUUUUGUAUUUUAAUUUUUUGUUUUAAAAGUGUUUUUAAAAGAAAUUAAAAUUUUUUAAUUUUUUUAAAAGAACUUUUUAUAUUUUUAUAUUGUUGAAUAUGCUGAUUUUAAAAAUAAAUUCUAAAAAUUAAAAAAUAUAUUAUUUAAAUAUAUUUUGAAAAAACAACUGUAUUUUUGCAGGAAAAACACCUAUAAAUUAACAUUUUUAGCCCGUGACGGUGACAUGCAGUUCUACCCAUGACGGUGGCGGGGAGUCCUGCCAAUUGUACAUGUCGGAUCCUUCUUGCCCGUGACGGUGACGGGCAAUCUCGCCGGUCAUUUCAGUAUGGCCCCAGGUGAAAACAUUUGGCUUUUUUUAAUUACAGAAAAUUUAACCAUGUAUAUAUUUAUUUAUAUUUGCGUUCAUGUGCUAAAUUCUUGAAGAACUCAAUGGAUGCUGAAAUUAAAGAUUCUUGGCGUUACAAAUUUUCACUUGAAAGUGCAAAACUAUAAAAUCCUCCAUUGCUUUUGAAUUACAAAUCGUAACCAAUAUUUUCCAAAACCAAACCUCAAUUAAAAAAUUAAAAUGAAAUGAGUUUAUUUUUUUAAAAAAGUAUUUUUUAUUUAAAAAUAUAUCAAAAUUUAUUUUUAAAAUUUUUAUUUUAUUUUUAAUAUCAACACAUUAAAACAAUAAAAAAAUACUAAAAAAAAAUAUUAAUUUAAUACUUUUCAAGUUAAAUAUAAUUUUAAAAUAUACCCAAAUACAAUUUCAACCACAAUAUCCAACCGUCACAAACCCCUUAACUUAACCUAGAAAUUUUUUAGCAGUUAAUUAUUCUAAAAUAAUAUAUAUUAACUGAUUGAUCCUCACACUAAUAUGAAAUAUGAAUAUCUAUUGCUUUGGGCCACUCAUUUUAAAAAACAAAUAGCAAGCAGGGGUAGCAGUUUGAGAAUAGUAGGGAAGGAGGUUCUCUUUUGUAUCGGUUGAAAGUAGUGUAUAAUGAUUAUUUUUUAAUUUUUUUUUUUAAAAUAUUUUAAAAUAAUAUUUUUUUAUUUUUUAAAAUUUAUUUUUAAUAUUAAUAUUUCAAAAAAAACUGAAAACAUAAAAAAAUUAGUUUAAAGUAAAAAAAUAAAAAAAUAAUUUAUUUUAAAAAUAUAAAAAACUAGCUUUUAAUAAUUAAAAUUAGUGUUGUGCCCGCGUGAUAUGCUGCGGGAUGAAUUAAAAUGUUAUUUUCAAUGCUAAAAGGGAUGUAGUCGUCAAUAACAUAUUUUCACCCAUUUAUCAUUUGACAUGUAUUCUUAGGUAGCAUAGAUUUAAAAUUAAAUAUUUUUAAUUGAAGGAAAGUUUUUUCAUUAAAGAUUCUGAUAAGCUGAUGUACAAGAAAUAAAUAUUUCAGAGAAGAAAAAUGUCAAAAUAUUAUGAUUUAUUAUUUAUUUAAUUAUAUAAUAAAAAAAAUAAACAUGUGCAUGAGAGAUAAAUAAUAAAAUAAGAAAAACAUGAAGAACUACAUAAAAGAAGAGCUUGUUUAUGUUAUAAAUAAAUGCCACAAUCUUAAUAAAAAUAGAGUAAAAACCAAACAUUAUAUGAAAAAAUAAUAUCCUGAAUAUGUUUUUAGUAGUUUAAUUCUAAGGAAUUUAAAUUUAAAUUGAGGGAAAAAAAACUUCUUAACAAAAUAAAACUUAUGAUGUUAGUUGUUACACCAACAUUAAACAUGCUCGAAAACAACUUCUUUUUCAAAGCAUGCAAUUAUAUGGAACCAAAUUAAUUUAUAAUUUUUUUAUUUAAAAAAAAUAAUUAAAAAUUUGUAUUAAUAUACUGAUAUCAAAAAUAAUUUUUUUUUUAAAAAAAAUAUUUUAAUAUAUUUCUUACUAAAAAAUACUUUAAACUAUUAUCGCUAUUAUAAUUCCAAACAGUUAAUCAAGCUGAUUGUUAUAUUACUCCUCAUGGAACCAAAUCAAUCCAUAACUUACGAGAUUUAUUGCAACUCUUGCUUACUUUUGUAUUCCAUAACCUAUGCUUGCUUUCAAAUGUGUGUGUGUGUGUGUGUGUGUGUGUCAAAGGCUCUCCCUGUGAUUUUCAACUUUCCUUUCACUCUUAAUUUACAAACAUGUUUGUCGUUCAGAGUAAGUAUCUCAGCUCACUAUUUUCGAGUUCUGGUUCUGCAUAACAGAGGAGCAUGAGAUUCUUAACGCCAGCGUCCAACGUUAACCGAGCAUAGAUAAUUGGGUUUCCGGGACAAAUGAAACGACAAGUCGACGUCAAAAAAUUGUGCUAAUAAAUUUUGCUCUUCUUUUUUAAAUCCUUUUCCUUCAGAAGAUUUGAGGAACGACUUGGUAGAGUGAUGCUUGGAGGAGCAAUAUAAUUCUUUUUUAAAUCCUUCUCCGUCAUAGAUCUAAGACAUGGAGAAAUUAAAAUUAAUACUUGAAUCCAAGGUUGUUAAAAAUGUUUUUUUAACACCAUACGAAAUAUAUAAUAUAAACUCGGAUGGUAAAAUUAUAAAUAAAAUAUUUUAACUAAUUAUAUAUUAACAAUUCCAAUCAAGUAGUAAAUAAUAAUAUAACACAAUUAAAAUAAAAGUGAAAUAAACAAUACAAAUAUUCAAACAUCUUAAAAUACAUGAUUCAAAUAAAAAUUCAUACAUGGUUUAAAUAACUUAACAAUACAAUAUAACACAAUUAUGUCCAUAGAAUUUCAUUAACAAACCUAAAACAAACAAUUUGUUGGUGUGUCUUGUAACUAAACACAACCUCAUUACCUUUAUUUUCCUCAUGAUUCCUAAAAUAUUCAUUAAAAUAAUUACUAUCUAAAAAAUUAUUAUUACUACUACUAAUAUCAGCAUCGAUAUUGUGAACAUUAAUGCUACUACUACUAAUAUAAAAAAUUGAUGAUGAUCUAUCUCUUCUUUUAUUUUCUAUAAAACACUUAUUUAUAUUUAAAUUCAACUUGAUUUUACCGGUCAAUCCAAUAACUUAUUUAUUCAUAUCAUAAUUUAUAUCAAGUCUUAUAUUAAAUUAGAUGAGAGUUAAUUAUAUAUUAGCCAAAAUAAAUAAAAAAUUUAGGAUACCGAAUGUUGAAAUGACAUUUAAAGAAUUAAAUUAAAUCAUCAUAAUUAAUAAUUAUUUUUUUAAAAUAAAACUAUAUAAAUUGAAGGCGAAGUGGCCUUGGUAUAAAAGGAAAGCAAAACAUAAGGCCUCACUGUUUUCAGCCUUUUUCUUACCAAAAUAUCCUCUUCUUCAUUUCCUUUCUCUAACCCCUCUCUCUCUCCCUCCCUCUCUCUCUCUCUCUCAUUUGGGAUCCAAAUAAUAAGAAUUGGCUCCUCCCAGAAGGCGAAUGGUACAACGGGAAAACCCUGCGUAGCAAAGCCAAGCUUGGAAAAACCACCUAAAGCUAAGACUGCUUUUUGGGUGUUGCUCUUGAGAGAGAGAUUAACAUAGUGUGGAAGACUGGAAGUUGUGGUGUUGCUACGGCAAAAGAGGAAGGGGAAAGGGGAGCAGGGACUCGGGAGGGACUCAAGGAGAAUACAGUACACUGUAUUUUGUAAAUUGUAACUUUUGUUAAACUCGUAAACUCGUUCUGAGUUGACCGAGUUAAUCGAGUUUAACCGAGUUUGACCGAGUUAGCUCAUUUUCAAGUUUUGAAUCCAAUUCUACAUGUUAUAUAUGAGUUGACUCGUAAAAUCAUACGAUUUUAUGAGUCAACUCGCGAGUUUAAUAACAUUGCAUGGGUCCUUGAGGUCAAGUUUCCCAGCUGUCUCCCUUGAUUGGUGUUGCAAGGGGCGGAGCUAGAAUUAUUUAUUAGAAGGGUUAAAAUUAAUAUAAUAAAAUAUAAUAUUUAUUUUAAUUUAUUGUACAUGAGUUGUAAAACAAAAUCUGUAUAAUUUAGUUUUAUUCAAAUAACUUACUACAAACAUAUAAUGACCUUAUUAUAAUGUAAAAGGUUUGGAGCAAUACCAAAUUGAGUCAAAGUAAUGAAGUUAAUUUCAUCUUCAAUAUAUCCAUCACUUUAAUGUUGUUAGUCUUUAUAUCUAUCAAAUAUAAACAUACAAAGUAUAUAAGAAACAUUAGCUAAAGCGAAGCAUUAUUUAUGUUUGAUAAACUUUGAAAUAAAAUAAAAAAUAAUAAAGAAUAAUUCUUAUAUAUUUAUUUUAAUUGUGCUUGUCGUUCUUUCAUAAAAUAGAAAUCAUCGAUUAUCAUAUCAAUUGUGAAUCUUUCAACAAUUGCUUUUUCUAUAUAGACAAUCAAAUAGUUUACAAGAAAAUCAUCCUCCAUCCGAUUGUGAAAUCUUGUUUUAACAAUCUUUAUCGCUGAAAAAGCUCAUUUAGUAGUUGUUGUCGAAACAUGAAGAGUCAAAAUAAGUCGAAUCAACCUGUCAACUAGCGGAUAAAUUGUUGAUUUUUCUGUUUCAACCAAUCUUCGACAUAAAUCAACAAUCAAUGACAUGUUCUUUAACUUUGGAUGAUUGGGUACAUGAUUGGAUGACAUGUUCUAAAAUCAAAACUUAUAUCAUGAGAAAAAAUUGAUAAUUUUGAUGGCUUUGCUUAAAACAAAACAUAAAAAAAAUCUAAGUAUAAUCAAAACAAAACAAUAAAAUAUAUCUAAUUAAUUAGAAAAAAAUCACCAUAACAAGAAUUCAAAAAACAAUUGGUAGAACUGGCAGAUUUGAGGAAAAAAAUUAGCAAAAAUGGUAGAAUUAUAUAAAAAAACCUCAUCAAAUUAUUAACAAACAUCUCAAAAUAAAACAAAAAUAGAUUUUAAAUUUAGGUUACCUUAUUUUAUUUGAUGAAAGAUAAAUUAAUUGGUAACUCUGCUUCAAUUUUUUUGUAGAAAAAUUUUACUCAUAAUUUGUGUUUUUAUCGGCUGCAAGAUUUAUAUUAGGGCUACACAAGAUAAUGACUUUAUAUUUUUUUUAAGAGUAAAUAAAAAAUCAAAAGUAAAGUUACAUUUAAUUACUGGUAAUAAGAACACCUGUUUAAAAUAAAAAAAUUCUAUUAAUUAAAUUUUGUAAAAAUAAAGUAAAAUUAUUAUAAAUAACUUGGAAAAUAAUUUAUGUGUGUAUCUUGUUCAAUGAAAGGAACCAUACAUGAAAUGCAACCACCUAGAAGACAGAACAAGCACAAAAAUAAAAUUUAAAAGGAAAACCUGUUUGGCAAGAUUACAAGCACGAUCUAUCUUGGGGGCCCCGGGCCCUGCUCCCCCCUGCCUGCACUGCUGCCUCUACAAAUUCCCGUGGGCUUCCUAUUAAUUAGAUCGAUCUAUUGAAGAACUCCACUCUCCUGUCAUUGCUCGUGACGUAGACCUCUGACGAAAGGUUGAAUGAAGACAAAAAAUGAGCUAGAAAUGCGUGGAAAGUUUAAAGUGUUUUGAUAUUAAAACUUACUAUUAAUAUUUUAUGGAUGUCCACUUGAAGAUAAUUAAUAUAGUCUUAAUUCUUCACUUGAUAAUAUCUUAAUCCUAUUAAUUAAAAUAAAGUCUUAACACCGACUGUAAAUAUAAUAAUAUAAUUAAUUUAAUAUUGCAAGGAGGAAGGCUUCCAUUAUUUUGCGUUUCUUUCUUUGUUUUUUCCUUUGAACCCUACGUGCUCUCUUAUUCUCUCCUUCACGCAAUUAAAAGGAAUUUUGACCAAAAAAAUAUAUAUAUUCCUCGUUACUUUGAAUGAUUAGAAUUCUUGAGAAUAUUGAUUUUAAUUAGUUUAAAAAAAAUAUGAGAUGAAGAUUUUGACAAAAAAAAUAUUUUUUUAAUAAAAUUUAAAUAAUUCAAACUCUUUUAAAUAUUUAUUUUAAAAAUUAAUUAUAAAAACGGUCGAGCUGCCUUUGUCUAUUUUCUCUAUUCUAAUAUUUAAUGCAUCCAUAUUAUCGUUAAUUUAAAUAACUCUUAAUUUUCAGUAUGCAUUUAACACAUUUCUGUAUGCAUUUAUCUUUUGUUUUUUUAUUAGAAAAACCAACUUUUUAAUUUUAACAUCCAUAAUAAUUUUAUCGGUUUAACUGUUUAUAUACUUUUAACUUUAUUGUAUUAAACACAAAAAUUAUCUUUUUAUUAAUGAUUAACAAAUUUAUUUAUACAUAUCGGUUCCUUAAUCGUGGAGCGCUGAUAAAAUAUAAUAUAAUUAAUAUAAUAUUGUUAUUAAUAUAAUAUAAUGAUUAACAUUUUGAAGUUUUUGGGAACGCGGUUUGCACCGCGUUCCCAAACGGUUUCUCCAGCUUCCACGAGUUAUCAUGCAAUUCAGUGGCUUAUUAGCAUUCUACUACCAUCAUUCUCUCUCACAGAAUCACCCUCACCCUCUCGCAAAAAUCCACCAAGGCUCCUGCUUUCCACUUCUCUUUUUCUCUCACGUAUUCCCACCCUCACCCUUUCUGCAAAAAUCCACCAUGGCUCUGGAGUUGAUCGGAGGAUCAUUUCUCUCUCCUGUCAUUCAGGUUUUGGUCGACAGGUUGGCCUCUCGUCAGGUUCUGGGCUUCUUCAAAAGCCAAAAACUCGACGAUGGUCUUCUGGAAAAGCUGAAUGAAACACUGAAUACUGUCAACGGACUACUCGACGAUGCGGAGGAGAAGCAGAUUACAAAUCGUGCUGUGAAGAACUGGCUUAAUGAUGUUAAACAUGCUGUCUAUGAAGCCGAGGACAUAUUGGAGGAGAUUGAUUAUGAAUAUCUACGAUCCAAGGACAUUGAUGCCCCUCGACCUGACAGCAAUUGGGUAAGCAUAGUUCUUGCACUUGUAGACCUUGCUUCCUCAUAAAAUGUCUGUAAAUGAGGAAAAGAUAAUUUUAGGCAUGACUGUUGUCUUUCUGUGAGUUUUAAUUAAAGAGUAUUCAUUGUAUAUUAUAUAUGCAACUAAUAUUAUUGGCUUUUCGUGUGUGUGCUGAAAUUACGCUUGCAAAUUCUCAUUUAUUAACUAGUUUUCUAAACAUUGGCUUUGGAUUUUUAAAAUCUGAAUUAUUUAUAUAAAUUUUGUCAAUUUUAAUUAAAUUAUAUUUUUAUUUGAGACAAAAAUUAAUUUCAUUAUAUUUAUAAAAAUAAUAUAAUAUGAUAUGAUAAGGGCUGUGAAAAUCACUAAUGACAUUUAAUCAAUAUCUUUUUAAAACUUGAAUUUUACAAUUGUAAAUUCUUGAAAAGAUCUGUAGAAAGAAAAUGUUUAUAUUAAGUUAGCAUCAACGAUUUAAUGGCGUUAACUUAUUGCAGGUAAGGAAUCUGGUUCCACUUCUAAAUCCAGCUAAUAGAAGGAUGAAAGGGAUGGAAGCAGAGUUACAAAGGAUCCUUGAGAAGCUUGAACGUUUACUUAAACGAAAAGGUGAUCUGCGCCACAUAGAAGGUACUGGUGGAUGGAGACCAUUGUCAGAGAAAACAACUCCACUGGUUAAUGAAUCUCAUGUAUAUGGAAGGGACGCUGAUAAGGAAGCCAUAAUGGAGUACUUGUUGACAAAAAACAAUAUAAAUGGCGCAAAUGUAGGUGUGAUUCCUAUUGUGGGCAUGGGAGGGGUUGGUAAAACCACUCUUGCUCAGCUUAUCUACAAAGACAGAAGGGUAGAGGAGUGCUUCGAGCUCAAAGCCUGGGUCUGGACUUCUCAACAAUUUGAUGUUGCCAGGAUUAUUAAGGAUAUUAUUAAGAAGAUCAAAGCAAGGACUUGCCCCACCAAAGAACCAGACGAAUCUCUAAUGGAGGCAGUGAAAGGGAAAAAACUUCUACUUGUUCUAGAUGACGCGUGGAACAUCGAGUACAAUGAAUGGGAUAAAUUACUGCUACCUUUGCGGUAUGUGGAGCACGGAAGUAAGAUUGUCGUGACGACACGGGAUGAAGAUGUAGCAAAAGUCACGCAAACUGUCAUCCCCUCUCACCGCUUGAAUGUAAUAAGCGAUGAAGAUUGCUGGAAGUUGUUUGCAAGGGAUGCAUUUAGUGGUGUAAAUUCUGGAGCAGUCUCACACUUGGAAGCAUUUGGCAGAGAAAUAGUGAGAAAGUGCAAAGGUUUGCCGCUGGCAGCGAAAACUCUUGGGGGUCUUUUGCACUCCGUGGGAGAUGUCAAGCAAUGGGAGAAGAUAUCCAAGAGCAGGAUGUGGGGUUUGUCGAAUGAAAACAUCCCUCCAGCUCUAACAUUGAGCUAUUAUUAUCUCCCUUCACACCUCAAACGUUGUUUUGCUUAUUGUGCAAUAUUUUCCAAGGGUUAUAAAUUCGAGAAGGAUGGAUUAAUCACUGAAUGGAUGGCACAAGGUUUUUUAGUUCAGUCCAGAGGCGUCGAGGAGAUGGAAGAUAUAGGUGAAAAAUACUUUGAUGAUCUUGUCUCCAGGUCAUUUUUCCAGCAAUCACUUUAUGCUCAAUCAGAUUUCAGCAUGCAUGACAUCAUAAGUGAUUUAGCUGAAUACGCGUCAGGAGAAUUUUGCUUUAAGCUUGGUAUUAAUGAAUCGGGCUCUGGGUUCGAGGGUGAACAUUCAUGCACGCUUCCAGAAAGGACUCGUUAUUUAUCAAUCACUUCAGCGGAAGCAUAUGACGAAGGACCUUGGAUAUUUCGUAGUAUUCAUGGAGUCCAACAUUUGCGCGCCUUGUUUCCGCAGAAUAUUUUUGGGGAAGUUGAUACUGAGGCACCGAAUGACAUCUUGCCAAAUUCUAAGCGUUUGCGAAUGAUAUCUUUAUGUCAUCUAGAACAUAUUUCUUCUCAGUUGCUCAAUUCCAUUGGCAACUUAAAACAUUUGCGGCACCUGGACCUUUCUCAGACAUUAAUUAAACGGUUGCCCGAAAGUGUGUGCACCUUGUACUAUUUGCAAACUUUAUUGUUAACAGAAUGUCAACAUCUCAUUGAGUUGCCAGCCAACAUUUCCAACUUGGUCGACUUACAACAUCUUGAUAUUGAAGGGACAAAUUUGAAAGGGAUGCCACCAAAAAUGGGGAAACUCACAAAGCUUCGAACUUUGCAAUAUUACGUCGUGGGAAAAGAGAGUGGGUCUGGUAUGAAAGAGCUGGGGAAGCUCUCUCAUAUAAGGAAAGAACUUUCUAUUCGGAAUCUCAGAGAUGUUGCAAAUACUCAAGAUGCUUUGGAUGCCAAUUUGAAGGGUAAGAAGAAGAUUGAGGAGUUGAGGUUGAUAUGGGAUGGCAAUACGGAUGACACACAACACGAGAGAGAAGUACUUGAGAGAUUGGAGCCUUCUGAAAAUGUGAAACAGCUUGUCAUUACUGGUUACGGGGGUACAAGGCUUCCAGGCUGGCUUGGAAAGUCUUCCUUCUCAAAUAUGGUAGCGUUGACACUUUCUGGAUGUAAGAACUGCAUCCGCUUACCAUCAUUGGGGCAGCUGCCAUCUUUAGAAGAGCUCCAAAUUGAAGGAUUUGAUGGAGUCGUGGAAGUCAGCUCUGAGUUCUAUGGAAGUGACUCUUCGAUGGAGAAGCCAUUUAAAUCCCUCAAAAAAUUAAAGUUUGAGGGGAUGAAAAAUUGGCAGAAAUGGAAUACAGAUGUAGAUGGUGCUUUCCCUCAUCUUGCAGAGCUCUGCAUAAGACAUUGCCCCAAGUUAACAAAUGCCUUGCCUAGUCACCUUCGUUGUUUAUUGAAACUUUUUAUUCGAGAAUGUCCGCAGCCUGUAUCUGAGGGCGAUGAAAGUCGUAUAAUUGGGAUAUCAGAAACAUCCAGUCACAGGCGGUGCCUUCAUUUUAGACGAGAUCCCCAGCUAAAGGGAAUGGAGCAAAUGAGUCAUUUGGGUCCCUCUUCUUGUUUCACUGAUAUCAAAAUCGAGGGAUGUAGUUCAUUUAAGUGCUGCCAGCUAGACCUUUUACCCCAGGUAUCCACACUUACCAUUGAACAUUGUCUCAAUCUCGAUUCCCUUUGUAUAGGCGAGAGACCUCUCGCUGCUCUCUGUCAUCUGACAAUCAGUCACUGUCGUAAUUUGGUGUCUUUCCCCAAAGGAGGACUAGCUGCCCCAGAUUUGACAAGCCUUGUGUUAGAGGGUUGCUCAUCUUUGAAGUCGUUGCCGGAAAACAUGCAUUCCCUCCUCCCUUCCCUACAGAAUUUGCAAUUGAUCUCACUUCCAGAAGUUGAUUCGUUUCCUGAAGGAGGUUUACCCUCCAAUUUAAACACACUUUGGAUUGUGGAUUGUAUCAAACUCAAGGUUUGUGGUUUGCAAGCACUCCCUUCUCUUUCAUACUUCAGAUUUACUGGGAACGAGGUGGAGUCUUUUGACGAGGAGACGUUGCCCUCUACUCUUACAACCCUUGAAAUCAAUCGUCUGGAAAACCUAAAAUCUCUAGACUAUAAGGAGCUUCAUCACCUCACAUCUCUUCAGAAAUUGAGUAUCGAGGGAUGCCCUAAGCUUGAGUCCAUAUCAGAGCAAGCGCUUCCCUCCUCCCUUGAAUUCCUUUAUCUCAGAAAUCUGGAAUCUCUGGACUACAUGGGGCUUCAUCACCUCACCUCUCUUUACACAUUGAAGAUCAAGAGUUGCCCUAAACUUAAGUUCAUAUCAGAACAGAUGCUGCGCUCCUCCCAUGAAUACCAGGGGCUUCAUCACCUCAUCUCUCUUAGAAAUUUGAGGAUCGAGAGUUUCCCUAAACUUGAGUCCAUAUCAGAACUGGCGCUGCCCUCCUCCCUUGAAUACCUUCAUCUCUGUAAACUGGAAUCUCUGGACUACAUUGGGCUUCAGCACCUCACCUCUCUUCACAGAUUGAAGAUUGAGAGUUGUCCUAAACUUGAAUCGUUGCUAGGGCUGCCUUCCUCCCUUGAAUUCCUUCAGUUAUUGGAUCAGCAAGAACGGGACUGCAAGAAGCGUUGGUGCUUCACCUCUCAUGGCAAGAUGAAGAUAAGAAGGAGCCUCAAGCUUGAGUCCUUUCAAGAAGGCACAUUUCCCUGCUCCCUUGUAGACCUUGAAAUCUGGGUUUUGGAAGAUAUGGAAUAUAGUUCUCCUAAGCUUGAGUCCGUGCCAGGAGAGGGGCUGCCCUUCUCCCUUGUAUCUUUUAAAAUAUCAGCUCGGAUAAAUCUGAAAUCUCUAACGGGGCUUCUGCACCCCCCCUCUCUUCGCGAAUUGAUUGUCCGGAGCUUAUGUACUUGCCCGGAAAAGCGCUGUCCUAACCUUCUACUGGAUAUCCGUUAGAGAUGGGAGAAGAAUUUUACAUGUAAAUAUAUUUAAUUAUUAAUAAAAGUUUAUUUAUUUAUAAUAUUUAAUUAAUUUAAAAUAACAAGAAAAUGCUAGUAACAAAAAUUUUGUAAUAAAAAUUAUAAAACUCUUAUAAUUAGAUAAUUUUUAUUGUAUUAAAAUAUUAUUUUUAAAUAUUUAUAGUUAAUGUUUUAUUAAGAUUGAAUAUUAAUUAAAGUUGCUGAGACUGAUACAUAUUAUUUUUUAUAAAAUGAAACAAUCGUUCUCAUAAGCUGAGUUAUAAGAGAUAUCUAGAACUAAUAUAUAGGUACUUGUCAAAUGACAUAUACAUUGAACUGGCCCACAUAAAAAAUUUAUAUAGAAAGAUUACAUUUGUCUAUAGAAAGUCUUAUAUGAUGGUUCUUUAAGUUAUUAUUAGACUAGAGAUCACUAAGUUAUCUUAUAUAGAAAAUGUUAUGUUUCGAUCGUGUUACAUGUUGUCAUAAUAAAAGGUAACAAACGAGCAUAUAUUGGAUAUAACAUGAACUAUAUGAAGGCAUUUGAGUAAUAAAAAAAAAUUCAUCACCCUAUGUGAAAAAAAAAUAUUUCAUUUAUUUUUAAAUAGUAUUGAUUGUAAAUCCUUUCGCAAUGUGAAAUAAGACUUGUAAAGAGUUUCAAAUCUUAUUCAAAUAAUCAAUAACUAUGAUGUUGAGAAUAAAUAUAAUUUGACAGAGUAAACACACUUCAUAUUAUAAUGUCUAAAUUGAAAUAUUGUUGAUGAAAGAAUAAUAAUUAUACUAAGAAAAUAACUAUGGAAAGUUAAGUCAAACCACUUUUGACUUUUCUAAUAUUUGGGGGGUCAUGAAACAUUGUUAUUAUUUUAUACUUGAUCUUCAAAUAUAAAUCAAUUAAUUAUUGAAUUGAUAAUAAAUUAAUUAAUUUAAUCUUAUUUUAUUUAGAAAUGUGAUUUUUUUUUGUCAACUUAUUAAAGAACCUAAUGGGUCACACACAUAAAAAUCAUUGGUUAGAAAUUAAACUGUGAUGAUUAAUCAAGUGUAACUUGAUUGUAAACAAGUUUUAGAAAUGAAGGACUAGAAUGUAAUUUAUAUAUAGAAUCAUAAUUAUGGACCUAGAAAAAAAUCAAGUAUGGUCUUGAUUGAAUAAAUUUCUAAAAUUAUCCUGAAGUAAUAUAUGUGAUAUUAUUUAGGGAGUAAAUUAAUAUUUUGUCAUUUAUACACUACCAGAAAUUCGCUUAAUACCAACAGAAUAAUUCUGUCGGUAAUUUGAGGUCGCCAUUACCAACCGAAUUUAAUCCAUCGGUACUCUCGUCGGUAUAUACCGACGACCAAAUUCCAUCGGUAUAUACCAACGGGAUUACAGACAAAAUGUUGAGAAUAAAAAAAACGGCGGUUCGCUGACGUGGAGGUUAUUGCAGGUAUUUUUUACCGAUGAAAUCACCGAGGGAUUCAAAACGUCAGCUCCAUACAGCGACAUGACCGAUUCAUCGAUGAAAAUGCCGACGGAAUCAUCGAGGGAUUCAAAACGUAGCUCCGUACGGUGACUUGCCCUGUUUACCGUCAGACCAGACGACGAAAUCACAGAUGGAAUACUUCCGUCGGUGAAUCCGUUGGCAAAAGUUAAUUUAUCCCCACUCUACCGACCCUCUCCUCCCCUAUUUCUCCUUCUUCUUUCCCAUCCCAACUCUCCCCAACUGCAAACAACCAGCCCCCCCAAAAAAAAAUCUCCCUUUUCUCAGCACAACAAGUCAUAUUUCUUGAAGUCUUCUCGUCACAACAUCCGUGUUCUAAUUUACCGACGGAUUUUUAUCAGUUUUUGUAUGUAAUUAUAUCUUUUUAAAUUUUAACAUUUAAAUGUCAAUUUUAUUAUUUUUUUAGUAGAUGUACAUGUUUUAUUGUUAUUUCUCAAACAAACUUGUAGUAUAUGAAUGUAUAAUUUUAUACUAGUUGUGGUUUGUUUUAGAUUUUGUAAGAUUGUAUUUGUUUGUAAAUUGUUGAAACUUUUUUGAAUUAUCGAAUUACAUAUGUUGUUUUGAAAUAAUUAAUAGCUUGUUUAAUGGGUCCGUUUUAAUUUUUAUCAAUGGUAUUGCGGAGUCGUAAUUUCUGUAAAUUUAUAUAUAUUUAUUAAUUUGUAUGGACGUUGAUAAUUGAUAAUGAAUAUUUAAUAUUUAUGAGAAGUUGUAAUUGGUUUAUUGGAUAAUCUUGAGGUAAACCAAUAUUUUUGCAAAUUUAUUUACCUAACAUAGUUAAUUAAUACAUGUUGUUAUCAUAAUUUUAUAGAGGUUCGAUAGAAGUCAUAAAUGAUCGUUCAUGGAUGUAUCGAGAUUCACCCCAAGGAUUGCGGAGGAUGGAUGAUUGUAAAGGGGUUCAGGGUUUUAUUAAUUUCACAACAUCUAUUCCCAGAAAUUUUACUGGAGGUGGUAUUAGGUGUCCAUGUAGGAAGUGUCAAAAUAAAAAGUAUCUGCAUCCAGAUGUUGUAACGAUGUGUCUUUUACACAAAGGGUUUAUAAAGAAUUACCAGUGUUGGUACGCACAUGAAGAAAUAUUUGUUAGUAAAAGGAGAAUGGGAGAAAUGGUGGUUGGGUCAACUUCUAGUGCUAGCAAAGUGCAUGAAGCGGCAAAUGACAACACUAAUCCUUACAGGAAUAUGGUUAUGGAUAUAAUAAGAAUGAAUCAAGGUAAUGUUAGUCAAUGUCCAAUUAUAAAAAAAAGAACCUAAUGCAGAUGCAGCUAGGUUUUUUGAUUUGUUGAAAGAUUCUGACGAACCAUUAUGGGAUGGCUGCACGAACCACAAUAAAUUAUCGGGCGUAGCACAGUGUUCACCAUCAAGUCAGAUUAAGGGUUGAGUGAGGCCGGGUAUGACAAGAUUAUUGAAUAGGCAAUAAGCAUUUUACCUGAAGGGAACAGGCUAAAAGAGAACUUCUAUGCUGCGAAGUCCGUGACGAAACCCCUCGGUUUAGGAUACCAGAAAAUUGACAUGUGCCCUAACUUCUACAUGUUAUACUACCUUGAAAAUGCUGAGAUGAUCGAGUGCAUGAUAUGCGGCGGGCAUUCUCGUUACAAACCUAGAACUGGUAGGGGAAAGACUCUAGUGGCAUAUAAAAAACUUCGAUACUUCCCAAUCACAUCUAGACUGCAGAGGUUAUUCAUGUCACCAAGGAUUGCUGAGCACAUGACAUGGCACCAAUCACAUGAUGCGGUUGAUAGAGUGAUGGUGCAUCCUUUUAACGGCGAAGCGUAGAAACACUUUAACAGUGUGUAUCCUCACUUUUCAGAUGAAUCAAGGAACGUGCGUCUUGGGUUGUGUACAGACGGAUUCAAUCCAUUCGGGUCAUUUGCUGCUCCUUAUUCUUGUUGGCCGGUCAUACUGACGGUUUAUAACUUGCCACUAGGGAUGUGUAUGAGGUUGGAGUUCAUGUUUUUAUCUAUGGUCAUACCAGGUCCGAGCAGCCCGGGCCGGAAUAUAGAUGUUUGUCUUCAACCGUUAAUUGAUGAGUUGGCGUAGUUGUGGUCCUCCGAAGCAUGGUAGAAAGAUAUACAACAGCGGUGUUUGUGUUAAGGGAUCGACUAGUAGUGAGUUAGAAGUUGACUACUAUGGUAGAUUAGUAGAGGUCGUCGAACUGCAAUAUCAUAGCGAGCAGAAUAUAGUGCUUUUAUUCAAAUGUUGUUGGUAUGACACGACUGACAGAGGAAUCAGAGUUGAUCCGCACUUCGGUCUGGUCGAAAUCAACUCAAAAGCUAUACUCUGCAACGCAAAUGAUGUCUUUGUUUUCGCAAUGCAAUGUCAACAAGUUUAUUACACAUACACCCCUUCUUUUAGAAAGGAUCGAUCAAGAGUGGAUUAGUUGUCCAUUUUAAAAACGAAACCUAGGGGUCGUGUCGAGCUUGUUCAGGAUGAGAACGAAGACACAAGUGUGUGAGAUGAAGUCUUUCAAGUUAGUGAGUUGGUUGAACCAUAUUGAGUUGCUCAUUCGAUUGACUUGGAAGAAAAUUCAAAUUUUCAUGUUUUCGAUGAUAGUCUUGAUAAUGUUGACGCAGAGGAGUUGAAUGUUGUUUUGAGCUCUACCGAACAAGCAAAUGUCGAUGAAGAUGAUGACCAUAUUGAGAUUGCAAUGAAGGUGAUGACUAUUCAAUUGAUGAUGAAGAAGAAGAAAAUUCUGACUAACUAUCAGAAUGAAGCCCUAUGUAUAACCCUUUUUUAAUGUAAUAUAGAUUAUGGAUGAUAUAUUUUGUAACAUGAAAUAUGUAUUGUUUAAGCAUUGUUGUUAUUGUUUUGUGCGAUGGACAGUUUAUCAUUUAAGUGUUUGCAAGAAGGUAAAUAGAAAAAUAAUUACUUGAAAUGCCACAAUUACCAACAUCCAUACCGACGGAUAAAAAUCCGUCGGCAUUUCACAGAGAGUUCGAAAAUAAUUACAUGAAAAUGCCACAAUUAUCGAUGCCACUAUCGAUGGAUAAUAGUCUGUUGGCAUUUCACAUAAAGUUCAAAAAUAAUUACUUGAAAAUGCCACAAUUACCGACGCCAAUACCGACGGAUAAUAGUCCGUCGGCAUUUCACAGAGAGUUCAAAAAUAAUUACUUGAAAAUGCCACAAUUACCGACGCCACUACGACGGAUAAUAGUCUGUCGGCAUUUCACAGAGAGUUCAAAAAUAAUUACUUGAAAUGCCACAAUCACCGACGACGGUACCGACGGAAUAAACUCCGUCGGUAAGUUGUUGACGGGUAAUAUUACCGAAAAAAUCACCGACGAACUGUGCAAAUUCCAAGGGGCGGUGCACUAAAUGCAUCUCUGACCGCGUGAGGUUGCCGACGGAAUUACCGACGGAUAGUGAAAAAUAUGGAGGGUAAUUAAAAAUGUUGGUGCGAAAUUCAAAAAUUACCGAUGGAAUUUCGACACGUCACCGACAGAAUAAAUUAAAAUAAUAUUUUUUUAUAUCCAUCAGUGAAUCCGCGGUAAAACUGCCCUAUAAAUUCUACAGACCGCCCCUUCAGUUCAUUUUUUCAUCUCUUCCGUUCUUCACCUUCAAUUUUGAUUUUUUUCCUCUCAUUUCUUCAAGGCUUUCACCUACAAUCUCUAGCAAGUGUUCUUGUGAAUCUUCAUCAGAUUAAAAGGUAUGUGUUUCCUCUAUUUCAUUUUACUUUAAGGGUUUUUUUUGUUUUAGCUAUUUUUAUUUUUUUUAUGUUUUUUGUUUUGGUGUAUUUUUAUAAUGUAGAUAAAGUCUUGAAAUCAACACAUUAUUAAGGUAAGCAUGUUUCAUUCCUAAAGUCUAUAGUUUUUUUUUUUAAUUUAUUGAAUAUAUUUUAUUGUUGUAUAGGCAUAAUUAUUGAAUAAUUUGUUGAGUUAUAAUUGUUAAUAUUGAAUUUACCUUAGAAUAAGUAAUUGAAUAUGUUGGAAUAAUUAGUAAUUUUACUACUUUAUUGCAUGAUUUGUGUUUAAUUAUUUGCAUUAAUUUUAAUUGUUAGUCUAGAGUUUUUUUUGAAUUUUUUGAAUUUUUUGAAUAUUUUUUUAUUGUUUGUAUUUAUAUAAUGAUUGAAUAUGUUGUUAAUGUUGAAUUUACCUUGUAAUUAGUAUGAAUGUUAUAUGUAUAGAUGUUAUGUUAUAUACAAUAUUAGUAUAGAUGGAGUCAAUUGGUUAUGGCUUUUGUCAAUAUUUGCAGGUUUGUGGAUUUGGGUAGUAUCUAGUAUAAGGGAGGUGCUGUCGAAUUUUUUUUAACAUUCAAAUUUAAUUAUAUAAUUAUUCGUAUACAAUUGUGUAGAUGCGUAUAACGAAAACCACAGCUCUUUGCUCACGUAUAGUCGCAGCUACUUUUUCUAGCAACGAGGAUGACGUAUCCUUAGGUGCCUCUCAAGAAGAGGCACCUACGCCACCUGCACCGUUAACUGAUACUGCCUCUUCCAGCGCAGGAUCACAGCACAGAGGUGGUGUGCCUUAGCAGCGGAAUCAGUUCACCCGUAAGUACGAGGCACAGUGGAAGGACGACCUUUCAAUGUAAGUUUGUUAAGGUUUUAGUUUUUUCUUUUAAGUUAUAAUAUAAUUUAUGAACAACUGAUCAAUAUUUCAUGAUUUUUUUUUCAGGUUCACAAACAUUGAGGCCGCCUGAGUAAUAUCAUCGGCGUUUAAAUCGUCGAUGGAGAUUCCAUUAUUUCAAUGGAGUCAGGUAUCUAGACAUCCUGAAUGGAUACCUCAAAUCGAUUUAUGGUUUAACUGAUUUGAGGUUGGUGUUAAUUUCUAAUUUCCAGCUUAUUUCUAAUAAUUUAUUAAUAUAAUUGUAAAUAAAUUAUCAUUUUUAUUUAUCUAAUUAUUUAUAUAUAGCAAAAAUUCACCUGGUACAAGGCGCUUGACAAAGUUGUGAGGAGGGUGUGGAAAAAUCACGCGGCAACUAGGUAACAUCGAAAACAAUACAAGAUUUUUUUAGAAAAAAAAAUUAUGUUUCAACUUCUAAUUUCUCGCUAUGGAAGUAGGUUGCAUGAUUUUUGGUAUGAAGCACAAAAAAAGACAAAAAACUGUGAGAGAUAGGGGUCUUCAAGGUUAGAACGACGUGGCGGUUUGGAGGGAUUUCAAACCGAUAUACAUCCCGGAAGAUAUAUGGUCGCACUAUCUUAAGCACGUGACGUCUGAGCGGUUCACAUGACGCUCACAGUCCGGUGCUGGCAACCGGAAUCAGCCAAUUCAUGGCUCGGUGACAACGCACACCGGCGGCUCCGUUCUGCUCCACUACAGUCGCCUCGGAUGGUAAGAUUAAUUUAAAUGAAAUAUAUCGUUAAAUUAAUUUGUUGUUAAUUAAUCUUUUUUCAUUAUAGGCUACAUCUCUUAGACGUGAGACGAGCCCGGUGGAGCUGUUUGUGGAGACGCAUGUGCGGAGUCAAGACCGCCAAAAGGGGGCGCAAUAGUUCGUUGACAACCGUGCUCAACACUUCGUGGUAUGUUUGUUCAACCAUUUUAUUUUGUAAGUUAUUAUUUUUUUUGAAUUGAAUAUGAUGAUUACUUUUUUUAUUUUCAGGAGACCUAUAAUAGCCGGUUGAGAGAGAGAUAUGGGGACGAUCCUUUAACCCAUCCAAAAUUCGAUCCGGAUUUGUGGAUGGAGGUUGGAUCAUCUGGUGGACCCGAUAAAAAUCAGGUUUACGGGCUCUACAACACUACGGCCUAGAACUUGCGGGUGACCCGUAGUGUUUCAACCGUUAGGAGCUCCCAAUUAGUAUCGAGCACCCAAUCUAAGGAGUUCGUGGCCUAACAGCAACACACGGCUUAGCUCACCGAAAAAUACAACCACCUAUAAGCGGCGUAUACACAACUCAAAGCGGAGAAUGCACAACAAAAAGCGGACCAUGACCAGCUUCGCGAAUUUGUCAUGAACAUGGCAUCACAGAGUGGUGAUACAUGUGCGCCUCCUUCAUUUUGACCAUAUAACAAACAACCUCCUCCUCCUCCUCCUCCUCCUCCAGCUCCACCAUUAUGUUAAUUUGUAAUAAAUAUUAUUUAACUUUAAUAGUUAAUUUAAUAUUUUUUUUAAAACACAUUCAGUUUGUAAUGAAUAUUAUUUAACUUUAUUUCUUUUGUUUUUUAUGUUUAAUAAAACUUUUAUUUGCAUAAUUGGUUUUUAAUACCAUUAAUUUAUAUAAUUUUAUAUUUUGUAUUCUAAAUAAUUUUUUAAAAACAUAUUUAAAAAUAAUCACAGAGGGUUUUACCGACAGAAUAUAUCCGUCGGUGUUUGACAGUAGCUGCCACAGUCACCGACGAAUUUACAGACGGAUAUAUUUUGUCGGUAUUAUGGAUUCGCCGACAAUUUUACCGACAGACAUAAUCCUUUGGUAUUGUACAGCGCCUGCCACAAUGACCGACGAAUGUACAUACGGAUAUCUUUGGUCGGUAUUCCAAACAUUCACCGAUAAAUUUACCGACAGUUUGAAUUCGUCGCUCUGUCACACAAUCACCGACGGGCUAAAUCCGUUGGUAUAUUUCAAGCGAGAAACUUUUUUUUUGCGUGCAAUUUUCGUCUGUAAAACCAUUGGCAAAUUUUUUUUUGCUGACAGAUAUAGCGACGAACUAUGGUAUUACCGACGAAAUAAAAGCUGACAGACGUAUUUCGUCGGUGAGGACGUCGAUAAAUAAAUUACCGAUGAAAUCUUAAUCACAUACCGAUGAAAUAUUUAUGUCGGUAAAACUGUGAAAUCUUGUAGUGAUAUAGAGCUUUUAGGUCUUUCUAUAAAUAAAAUGUUAUGCCUUUCAUUUUCUGUGUAAUAUAGUAAACAAUACAUUGAACAUAUGAAAAACACAUAAAAUAUGAGUUAGCAUUCAAAUGCAUAGCAAUUUUUCUCUCCUAAAAAGAUUUAAUAAGUUUCUCAUUGGUAGUUAGUGUGAAUUACUAUUAAAGCCGAACACUUGGAUGACUUGUGGUUUAUGACAAUUAUACCGUGAAGUAAUUAUUCAAAGUUGAAAAGAACAUCUGAUCUUCAUGUAAUCUUUUUUAUAAACCUUAAAUAACUCUAAAUUUGUCUAACUAGAUUAUUUGAACUCCUGGAUUUGUUGGCACUCACUGCUGGCUUGAGAGGGCAACAGCCCAUGGCUAUUUUUCCACCAGAAGCAUUGUUAAUUACAAAUUUUUCUUCUUGAUUGAUGGAGUUUUUGGAUGUGUUGAAAUAAAUCAUAAAAUUAUGAUUUAACAAGUUUAGGAGUCGCCAUCUAGUAUUCUGGUCAAUAAAAAACCUGAUGAUUUGCGAGAGUCUGGGUAAGGAGACUAGUUGUGCAUGAGAAAGACCUAUCACCCCCACUACAUCCUAUCUAUGGCAAGCUGCAUUAUUGAUUGAUUGUUUUUGUAAGUUAUGUUUCCAUUCAUUGAUCUAUCUAUAGUUCAAGAAAAGAUCUUCAUCAGUAAAGAGAUCCCUUUUUUAUCGGUCUAAAACCUAACUAUUCUAAGGCCUAGAAAAUUAAUUGUGUUUUUAGAAAUUUUAGUCAAAUCUUAAUGAAUAAUUACCAACUUGCAAUGAUACCUACCAACUAAUUUUUGUAUUUUACAAAAUAUGAUAAAAAUAAAAUUUUUAUUUUUAUUAUUUUUUAUAAAUAUGCAUGAUAAUUUUUAGAAUUUGACCAUGUACUCACAUAAAUUUUUUUUUUAUUUUUUAAAUAAGUUUUUUUUAAUUUAUUUGUAUUUUUUUAGAGAUAAUGAAGAAAAAAAAUGUAUAUUUAAUUUCAGGUUAGCACCAUAUAGUGAGAAACUUGCAAAUAAUUUUAAAAUGAUACCUAAAUGCUUUCAAAAUUUUGAAAAUCAUUUUGGUUUGUCUGGUAAAAUAAGAAAAAAUUCAACAAAGAAAACUGUUGAAAUUUAUUAGGACAUGUUUACCAAGCAUGUUCUAAAAAAAAAGGCAUUUGUUUUAUAAUAUUUUGCACAACCAAACAAUGCUUUAUGCUUGGAAUGGUGGCUGCCUGGCCAAUCAUAUGAGCUGGACUUAAAAUAAAAAACUGAAAAUGUUUUAGACCAAAAGGCCUUGAAGGCCGAAUCCACUAACAAAAACGAAGUGCCCUCUUUUAUCCUGGUAAGAUCAAAACACUGAUUUAAAUGCUUUUGCUAAGAAACAAAUUUCUUCAAGUAUUAUUUAAAUAAUUUGGGUUAUGAUUACACAAGUGUAUAAACAGUGGUUCGAAUCUGUGGCCCCACUAUUUUUUCUUUUUUCUUUUUGUCUAUAAUGAAAACAAAAAGAGGUGCAUCAGUUUUUGUUUGUAAAAAAAACAAAAACCUAAAAGAAGGAAAAGAAGGUUGCAUCUUCAACCAUUUAGACACUGUUUGGCAUUAUAUUUUAAAAGUUUUUUUGGAAAAAAAUUUAAAUUUUUUUUAAUUUUUCUCUAUUUUAAAUUAAUAUAUUUUUAAUGUUUUCAGAUCAUUUUAAUAUAUUGAUAUUAAAAUUAAUUUUUUAAAAAUAAUAAAAUAUAUUAUUUUAAUAUAUUUUAAAAUAAAAAGUACUUUGAAAAAAAAUCGCUACCGCAUUCCAAAAUAUACUCUUAAUCUUUAAAAAAAAUAAAAAGAAAUGGUAGAAGCAGACAUCAGGAUUAUCCAAAAUGUUACAUUUGAUCCCCCGUAGAGAGUGUUUGGCUGUGCGUUUCAACCUGCGUUUUGUCAAAUUUUGAAUUUUUUUUUGCUAAAAUUGAGUGCGGUUUGUACUUUUUAAAUCGUUUUGAUGUGCUGAUAUUAAAAAUGAUUUUUAAAAAAUAAAAAAAAAAUCAUUGGCAUGUAUUUCGACACAAAAAGCUAUUUGAAAAGCAACCGAUACAACACUGUCAAACACACUCUAAACAACAGAUCCAGACCUAUUACAGAGAUCUUGUCCUCUUCUUUUGUCUUUCUUCUUUUACUUUUCUAGCUAUUUUUUUUUGUACGAGUUUCAGAUUCUUAUAUUAAACAAAUUUUCUUGUCCUAUUUAUUAGUUUGUCCUUUUUUCUCAUAAAAUACACAUCAAAUUAAUUCUUAAUUAUCUAUCACCAAUCAUUAAAUAAUCUUUUUAUCUCUUUCUAAAACGUAUAGUAUACUCAAAUGAUUUUUAAAUUAUAAUUGCAAUUAUUUUAUAUUAUUUCAUUGUUCAAGAAACACUGACGGAUAGUGAUUUGUUAGCAUAUGCACAGGGCUUGUCCUAUGUUAUAUCGUUAGUGUUACCAUUUCAUGCUAAUCAAUGUGAUUUACUAGCUAAUCCAGUUUUCAUGAGAAACAAAAGAUUCUGUCAAAAUUUCUUGUAUUUUUGUUUAUUUUUAUAUCAUUUUAAUGUAUUAAUACUAAAAAUAAAUUUUAAAAAAUAAAAUAAAUAUUAUUUAAAUAUAUUUUUAAAUUAAAAUAUUUUAAAAAACAACUUACCCAACAAACUCAGAAACAUAUCUAAAUAAUAAAUUUUUUUUAAAAAAAUAAUUUGAAUAUUAGCGCAUUAAAAUAAUUUAAAAAUAAAAAAAUUAUUUUUAAAAUAUAAAAAUAAAGCGGACCUAAACCGUGAUGGUGAAGUGCAGUUCUACCCAGGAAGUCCUGCCAAUUGUACAUGGCAUUACAAAUUUACAAAUUUGCAAAACUAUAAAAUCCUCCAUCGCUUUUGAAUUACAAAUCGUAAACAAUAUUGUACAAAUCCGAACCUAAAUUAGAAAAUAAAACAAGAAAUGAGAAAUUGAUAGAUGUCUUUUAAGGGUGCGGCAACUUGGUUUUUUUCAAAAGUAUUUUUUGUUUAAAAUAAAUUAUUUUUUUUAUUUUUAUUUCAUUUUUAAUAUCAAUACAAUAAAAUAAAAAAAUAUCAAUUUAAUACCUUUUAAAUUAAAUAUACUUUUAAAAUGCAACUAAAAACAGUUUAAAUAUGUUUUAACCACAAUAUUCCAACUGUCACAAAUCCUUUUAGCAUUUAACUGUCCCAACAAAAAAUAUAUUAACCGAUUGAUCCUCCCACUGAUAUGUAAUAUGAAUAUCUAUUACUUCGGGCCAAUCUAUAUUUUUACAUUAGAAAAUAAAAAUUAAAAAAAAUGGCAAGCAGGUGCAGCAGUCUCAGAAUAGUAUGGAACUAAUUAGGUGGCUUGCAGGUUAUUUUCUGUUUUGGCAUAAAAAAUAUUAAGAAAAAAAAUAUAUUUUUAAAAAUAAAAAAUAUAAUAUUCAGGUAAUUGACUCGAGUAAGUUUAAUAAAAUCUUUUAAUUUAAUAAUAUCAUUAGAAAAUAAGAUAUUGACAACAAACAAAGUAAAAUAAUAAUAAUAAUAAUAAUGAUUCAAUGCAAAAGAUGAACACUUGUCAAUAUUAUAAAAAUAUAUCUUCAUUCAUAAAAUUUCAAAAAAUUAUCGAUGAUCUUAUUUGUUAACAAAGGAAAAAAAUUAAAUGAGAAUAUGAUAAUUUUAUGGAAAGAAAAAAAAUAAAAAAACAAAAAAACAAAAAAAAGUUAAUUAUUAUUAACUUUUUCAAUUAUGAACCGAGUUAUCAGACCGAAAGCACUAUAUAUAAAAAAUCAUUAGGGUUAAGAUCAUAAGAAAACAACACAAAAAAUCCAAAAUAAAAAAAUAUAAUAAAAAUAAUGAAUGUUAAAAUUACAAUAAAAAAUAAAUCAAAAGCCAACAACAAAUUUUAAAUUUGAAAGUUAAAUUAAAAAGAAUAAAAAUAUCAAUAAAAGGAAAAAAAAUAAAAAGAACAAAGACAAAAACAAAUACACUAUAAACUUGGAUUGAAGGAUGAAACUAAAAACAAUGAAAAUUUAAAAGAUUCAAGAAAAAAAAUAAUCUUAAGAAUAAGCAUCAAAUCCUAAAUAUCAGAACAUAAUAAAAAAAAAAUGAAUAUGCAUAACUCUUCAAUGUGUUUUUUUACACUAAAAAACACUCUUAGAUUUAAAUAAAAAAAACUUAUGUACGCAUCUAAUUAAACAACCUAAUAACCAUUGUGUAAAGCAAUAAAAAAAAUUAAUCAACAGUAAACAAAAAUGAAAUUGAGAAAACUAAGAGAAAAAUAAAGAUCAAGAUAUCUAACAUCAUAAUACGAGUAAUUUACCUAGUUGUAUUUAAUGAAUUCUCCUAUCAAAAUAAAUUUAUUAUAGAAAAACACAUAAAAUUUGUAAUAGAAACUGAUAUAUACAUAAAUUUUAUUGAGAAAUAAUUUUAAAAAAAAUAAUACAAGGCUACAUAUAUGAAAAAUCUUAUAAAAAAUCAAUAUUAAAUAAUUCAUAUAAAAUUAAGAAAAAAUCACGGAUGAAUCAUACAUGCCAUUCUAAAAAUUAAACACACCCAAUAUCAUUUAAAAAUAAUAACAAUAUAAUUUAAAACAUAAAACUAAAAUUUAUUUAAGAAAAUAUACACAAAUAAUGCAUUAUUUUUUUAAAAAAACUAAAAAUUAAAAUAAAAUAAAAAAGAAACUAGGUCAGGUGCUACUGGACCUAGCUAGUCAAGCCCAACACCUGGCCCAAUAAAGCAAUGGCCCUAAUUCAGCAGACAAUGCAUUGUCAUGUCAACUUAGAAUCAGAUUAAUGUGGUGACCGGAAAAAUACAGUCCCUUAUUUUUUUCACCCAAAGUCCUAUUUUCAACCUUUUUUUUUAUUAAAAGCACUUAGAAAACACCUCGGAGACCUUGUUAAACCAAUCCAUAGCUACCAAAAAGUCAAUAAACCGCCCAAAAACCUAAAAUCCACCCAAAACAAUUCUUCUCAAGCAUAGAUAUGUUGUUUUAGGUGUUUUCAAGGUAAACAGAUACCUAAAUGUAACCCCCUAUAAUCAUAUGGAAUAUUUUGACACAAAAAUCAAUCAUUGUGGUGGUCAAAAUCUUCCCCAACGAACCAUUUUGUCUUUCUAAACCGGAAUUCAACAACUUUAUUUCUCUCAUCCCAACAGAAAAGGAGUUAAAAAAAAAUAAAGUUAGGUAUUAAAAUGUAUUGUCUUUAAAUUUAAGGAAUUGAUCUUCUAAUUUCUAAAAAAUAAAGGAGAUAAAAAUGAAUAUUUCAAUGAAAUUUUCAACUGUCCCCCAUGUUACCUAAAAUUAUCACUUCGGUCUCUUAGCUUUCAAUCCAACCCUCUCUUGUAAAAAAAGAUUUGCAAUUAAGGGUUAAUUUGGACUCAAAAUGAUUAAAUCAUGCAAAAUAAAAAUUUAAGAAUUAAAGUAAAAAUUAUAAAAAAUGAAAUGUUUCAAUCCACAUAUUGUGAGAGAUUGCAUAAUAUUUGAAAUAAUAGUAAAAGGCUGGUGCCUUUUAAUUUUAUUUGUAACUGGAUUCUCUUUUGUGCUGGUUGAAAUUACUGCUGUUACUGUGCUCUAAAUUAAAAUAUUUUCAAUCAUCAAUGUCGCACGUGUGCGGCGUCGCGGCGAAAAUCUAUUGAAGUUUUUUUCCAUUUUCUUAAAUCUACAAUGUAAAUUUAUCUAUAUCUAUGGGGAUACAAAAAAAAAAUAUUGUCUUUUAUUGGUAGAAAAUGGAAUGGGAGUCGUCACCUAGUAUUUUGGUCACUAGGAACCCUAACUGGUCUCAGAGAUCGGGUACGGGGACUGGUUGCGUAAAGGGAAGGUAUUAGCACCCCAAAUACGCCCUACCUAAGGUAAGCUGCAUUGUUUUAUUGUCUGAUAAAAUUUAAGGUGUUUUCGUGUUUUCCUAGUUGUUGGUCUGUCUAUGGUUCAAGAAAAAUCCUCCUCAGUAAGAAGGUCUUUAUCUUCUCGGGUAAAGUCCUAACCGUUCUAAUGUCUAUACCAAAACUUUAUUAUUAAUAUUUAGGAAUACGUUUUACGUAUAAAUUCGUAAUCCCAAAUACUAAAAGAAAACAAAAGAUUUUUUUAAAUUUUUGAAAUAUUGGCCUAGUUCUCAUGGCUUAAAUAAAAUGGUUAUUAAAGCCAAAAUGCAUGCUAAUACAUAUAUUGUUUUUUUGAAAAUUUCCUUUGUUGUGUAAAAAUAUGAUGUUAUAAUAUUUAUAUAUAUAUAUUGGAGAGACUAGGCCGUAUUUUAAAACAAAAAAACAAUUUUUUUGGAAAAUAUUAUUUUUUAUGCUUUGACGAAAAUUGAGUAUUUUAAUACUGAGCUUGUAUCCUUACGGUAUAAAAAUACAACCCAAUAUUAAUCCACUUUGAUAAAAAAUUGCAGUAAAAUCAACCACAUUUUUAGGGACUUUUUAGAAUUUUUUUUGAAAGCAAAAACAUUUUUUAUUCUGAAAAUCUUUGAUAUUUCGACGAAAACCGGGUAUUUUUAACACUGGUUUUGUAUCUUUGCGGUAUAAAAAUACAAACCAACAUUAAACCACUUUGAUAAAAAUAUGCAAAAAAAUCAACCAUAUUUUUUAGAUUUUUCCAAAUAUAUAUAUAUUUUUAAUUAUCAUAUUUUAUAUAUAUAUAUAUAUAUAUAUAUAUAUAUAUACAUAUAUACACACAUAUAUUAUAACAUAUUAUAAUAUAUAAUAUAUAAUAUAAAAACAAAUCGGGCUGGGCCGGCCCAAAUAAAUGGGCCGGACUCAGCCCAACAAAGAAAGGUUGGGCCGAUCUCAGCCCAGACUGGGUUGGGCCGAUCUCGGCCCAACAGGCCAUCAUGCUUCUUCUGUGACGGGAUACUGUACACAACAGUGACUGAGAUACUGUACACAAAUAGUGACGGGGUACUGUGCGCAAAUAGUAACCGGGUUACUGUACAUAAGCGCAGUAACCCGUUAAUUAAUUAGGUGGCUACUGUGCACCUGCACAGUAACAUGUUAAUUAAUUAGACCUGCAUAGUAACCGGGGGAAUUAAUUAGCCGGUUACUGUGCCCCUGCACAGUAACCAGCUAAUUAAUUUCUUACUUGCAGAACGUGCACAGUGCACGUUCUGCAUGCAAGAAGAUGAACAGGGGAAGAGUUACCUGCGACGAUGAGCUUGGGUAGAGGAGCUGACAGUGGUGCUAGUGGUGGUUUUGCUGGUGGUUGCUGACCGAAGGUUGGCUCUUCCUCUUCUCUACUGCUUCUGUGUUAUUUCUCCUCUCCUCUCUCUCUCCUGCCUUCUUUCUCCAAUUCUUCCUCCGGUUUUUUCUUCGGGUUCUCUCCUCCCUUCCCCCUUUUUUCUUCCUUUCUCUUUGUUUUCGGUUUUCUUUUCUUUGUUUUCGGUUUAUUCCUUCCUCUUUUCCCUCUCUCUUGUUUGUUCUCUCUCCUCUCCUCUCUCUCCUGCGUUCUCUUUUUUUCUCCCUCCCUCGGUCUCUCUCUAUUUAUAGGAAAAAAUGGAGCAGGUGCGCCUUCAAUCACGCAACGGCUGGUCGGCCAGUGACCCGUUCGGUGGUCUAAAGGUGUGGGGCUUCGGUGGGGACGGGGAGAGAGAGGCGGGACGGUUUUUGAAAAUGGUUUUUGUCUUCUGUUGUUGUUCAACGGGGGAAGGAGGAAGAUGAACAGUGUCGUUCAAAACGACACCGUUCUGGCCUUCCUCUUUUUUUUUUUUUUUUUUUUUUUUUUUAUGAAACGACGUCGUUUUGGAUAAAACGCGCCGUUUCAUUUAAAUGAGCCAAACUUCAAAUCAGUCCUCUAUCAUUUCUUGUUCAUUUCAAUUGUAUCCCUGCCAAAUUCUAUCUCCGCCCCCAUAGUUGGCCGCGUUUUUCACUUUAGUCCUUGGCCUCUGAUUUAUGCAAUUAAGCCCUCAAUUGAUCAAUAAACUUCCAAUUUCUUCAAUUAGGCCCCUGAACCAAAGUAAAACAGCCCCCUCUAUUUACCCGGUUUUUCCAAAUUGGUCCCUGGUUUCGGUUUUUUCAAUUAAACCCCUAAUUGGUCAUUAAACUUCAAUAUUUAUUCAAUUAAACCCCUGAUUUGACCCAAUAAAUUCCUAAAAAAUAUAUUUUGGCCCCAGAACUUAAAUUUCUUUCAAUUAAAGCCUAAAUUGACUUAAAAAUCAAUUUUCUUGCAAUCAAAUCCCCUAUAAAAUCAAUUAAAAAUCCAAUUAAGUCUAUAAACAUCCAAACUUGGGCUUUUCUCCUCAAAAUUCAAAUUUCCUUCUCAACAUGGCUCUCAUCCUUCAAGAAUAUACUGUCAAAAAUCCAAUCUUUGUAUUUUUAACCUCCUUGACCGAUUUUUCUGACCAUUUGCUGAGCGCUUCUACCUCCUGUUAUUUUUCUAACCUCCUAUUUAUUUUAUUUCAUUUAUUUGGGGACCCAAAAAUGGGUUAUAACAGAUGCCCCCUCUUUAUAAAGCUUACGGAGCAGAGGUUCUGCGCAGUAAGUUUUAUAAAGAUAAACCAAAACUGAGCUCCCGAAACUGAUCUAGUCGGAGCUCGAUUGCUCUGAAACUUUGUCCUUACAGCAAUCCUCCUUAACCCAAAAACUAUGAUCAAAGUUUAGUCAUCUCGAGAUCCUUUCUGGUGAUCUCCUUUAACCCCAAAAACUUGGAAUAUCAUCUGGCGAUUCCUUUACCCAUAACCAAAUACAAAAACACGUAUGUGGUCUCAUUAUGACGGGUGACCUGCCCGAAUGGGAAAAGGAAAGAGUGGUCUCAUUAUUAUGGGUGACCUACCCAGGGGGAAGAAUGGCCUCAUUAUUAUGGGUGACCUACCCAGGUAAAAAAAAGAUGAAGAAUGGUCUCAUUGUAUGGGUGACCUACCCAGGAAAAAUGAUGGUCUCAUUGUAUGGGCGACGAACCCAAGAAAAAUGAUGGUCUCAUUGUAUGGGUGACUAACCCAAGAAAAAUGAUGGUCUCAUUGUAUGGGUGACUGACCCAAGAAAAAUGAUGGUCUCAUUGUAUGGGUGACUAACCCAAGAAAAAUGAUGGUCUCAUUGUAAGGGUGACGGACCCAAGAAAAAUGAUGGUCUCAUUUAUGGGUGACCUACCCAAGGGGAAGAAUUCUUAGUAAACUCCAUGCUUUUCUAAGAAAUAGUUUCAAUACGAGGUCCCUUCUAGCGACCUUCCUUGAUGAAUGUCGAAGUACGAGAUCCUUUCUGGUGAUCUCAAAUAACUUGGAAUCCCAUCGGGCAAUUCCUUUUACCAAAGCUAAAACAUGAAGUUCCUUCUGGCGACCUUUAUCGAAAUACAAGAUCCCUUCUGGCGAUCUCCUUUAUCCAAACAACUUGGAAUCCCAUCUGGCGAUUCCUUUUAUACAAAAGCUGAAAUUUAAGGUCCUUUCUGGCGACCUCCAUCGAAAUAUGAGAUCCCUUCUGGCGAUCUCAACAACUUGGAAUCUCAUUUGGCGAUUCCUUUUUACCGGAUGCUAUCAAUGUCGUUCUUCCUGCUGGCAUGGUUUGAAAACCAUUAUCUUCUCUUCUUGUUGUUCUAGAAUCAACUCAAUGAUUCUUUCUUCGUCCAUAAUCUUGUUGGAAUGCGCUAAGAUCUCCUUCUGUAACGAUCCAAAAAAAAUACAUGCAAUGAUUUAUGAUUAGAUGCAAUGCAUGCAUUCGUACCUGGUUUUGAAACAUAGGCCCCAUCCUCUUCUUCUAGUUCAUAAGACUCCCUCUUAACAUGAACUUUACUUUUGAAGUCGUAUGCUGAAUUCAUCUCUCGUGUUGCCUAUCAUAUUCUUGGAGAAGAAGUCUUUGACUUUCUUCAAGUAGUCCUUUUCUCAAAAUGUAUGACUUGUAUUUGCCUCUUUGUCAUGCUUUUGUCAAAUGCUUUAGCUUGGUUUUCAAAUCUAUGGGCUUCCAACCAAUUUUAAACACGUAAAACUUUUCAAAAAACAACUUGUUUUGCCCCCAGUGUAGGGGUGUGAUCCUAGUCUGGGCUUUUAUAGAGAAGAAAUUCAUUCAGCCAAUGAUAAACUUUUUUAGUGCGUGAAGGGAUAAUGAUGAUUUUUUUUUUUUCAAAAUGCACAUUGUUAUGGUUGAUAAAGACAAUUACAGAUGAUUAUAAAGUGACCACUUAAUCAUUUAUCCAUUCAUUACGCUAUCAGAGGUAGGGAUGUACUUUAGGGUUAGCUUUUCUUAAAUUUCAUAUUAAACCAUUUUAUGAUAUAACCACUCAAACUUGUUCAAAAAGUGCAUAAUCUCAUCAUUUAUUAAAAAAAGGUAGGCUCAAAGACAAACAUAAAAUCUGGCUGAAAACAUGAGCCCUGAUUGCCAAAUAGAGAAAAUAAAAGCAAUGACAAAAGCAAAUGACAAAAGCAUGCUAAGGCAAAUAAAGUUGUUUUACAUUUUGAAAACUACGAGAAGUUCUUGGGUCAACCCGUUCUGGAAAGUCAACCGAGGCAAUGCUUCAUCUUCCUUUCCCACUUGCGUUUCCUUGUCUUCUCCUUUGAUCUCGCCUUCUUCAUUAUUGAUGAUUCUUGACCAAGGUUUUCCAACCCUUUAUCCCCUAUUACUUUUGUCAUGACCAGGCAAUGGAUUUGAAUUGAUAUUGGGUGUGUCUUCAAACGACACCCAUCCUAUCUUGAUGAGCUUCAACAACAUGUUCUUGAAAGCGUAGCACGUUUCAAGACAAUGUCCGGGAAUACCAGCAUGGUACUCGCAAGUCAACUCGGGCUUAUACCAGAUGGGGAAUGGUGGUUGUAGUGGUAAUGUAGGGAUAUGAGCUAUUUGUCCAAUGCUCAGUAGUUUGGCAUACAUUUCCUUCAAAGGCANNNNNNNNNNNNNNNNNNNNNNNNNNNNNNNNNNNNNNNNNNNNNNNNNNNNNNNNNNNNNNNNNNNNNNNNNNNNNNNNNNNNNNNNNNNNNNNNNNNNGCAGCCAUUACCUCACUUACCUCGCACUUCUUCAGGCUUGUCUUCUGAAAAUCGCUCUCGCUCACCAUGCCAAAUCUGUAAGCGUGAGGGGCAUCAGGCUUUAGAUUGUUUCAAUAGAAUGAAUUACUCAUUUCAGGGCCGACAUCCUCCUACAGAAUUAGCUGCCAUGGUUGCGGAGUCUAAUACCACUUAUCUAAAUCAAAAUCAAUGGUAUGCAGAUAGUGGUGCAAAUCUUCAUGUUACCUCCGAUGUCACUAAUCUUGCUUCCUCUCAACCAUAUGAAGGGGAUGAUUCGGUUGGGGUAGGCAACGGAACAGGUCUGCCCAUAUCCUGCAUUGGCAAUGCUUCCAUUAAAACCUUGUCUUCUACUCUUGCUUUAAAUAAUAUUGCCUACUGUCCUCAAGCUUCUGCUAACCUUCUCUCUAUCAAUAAAUUUUGUAACGAUAAUAAUGUUAUGUUUGAACUCACUGGUUCUGAUUUCUAUGUGAAGGACAUCCUGACGGGGGACACGCUUCUGACGGGACCAAGUGAUAAUGGAUUGUAUCCGAUCAACCUUCGUCAACUUUCUUCUUCCUCAUACCGUGCUCUCACAAUGACUGUUGGAGUCAAGGUUUCUUCCUCCACUUGGCAUUGUCGUCUGGGUCAUCCUUCCAUGGAUAUUCUUCAUCGUGUCAUUUCCAAUUUUUCCCUUCCAGUUAGUGAUUCCAUCAAUAAAAAGACUGUAUGUGUGUCUUGUCAACUAGGCAAAUCUAGACAAUUACCUUUCUCGGAUUCUUCAAGAGAAGCUACCGCUCCCCUUGAACUAAUCCAUUCUGAUGUUUGGUCUAAUUCAACUCCAUCUCUGAGUGGUUGUCGCUACUAUGUUAUUUUUAUUGAUGAUUUUACUCGUUUUUGUUGGAUGUUUCCUAUUUCAAAUAAAUCUGAUGUUUAUUCUACCUUUGUUAAAUUCAAGCCUUUAGUGGAAAAACAAUUUAAGUCCACCAUCCGACAAUUUCAAAGUGAUAAUAGUGGUGAAUAUUGUUCUACCCUAUUUAAACAAUUUUUUAUUAACAAUGGUAUUUUUCAUCGACUGUCAUGUCCACAUACAUCUCAACAAAAUGGUCUCGCUGAACGAAAACAUCGUCAUAUUAUAGAAAUGGGGCUUACUCUUCUUGCUCAAUCUGGUCUAUCUAAGAAAUUUUGGGUUGAUGCUUUCCUAACUGCUAUUUACAUAAUUAAUCGAUUACCUACCAAAGUUCUUGAUUAUUUAUCACCCUAUGAACGUCUUUUUAACCAUCCACCUGAUUUCACCUAUUUUCGAGCAUUUGGAUGUCAAUGUUUUCCAUGUCUUCGUCCUUACACAUCUGAUAAAUUAUCAUAUCGUAGCACACCUUGUAUCUUCAUUGGUUAUAGUCCUCAUCACAAAGGCUUUCGUUGUUUAGACCCUUCCUCCAGACGUGUCUACAUAUCUCGCAAUGUAAUUUUUGACGAAGAAAAAUUUCCAGCACAAUCCAUUCUCACAGAUCCUGUCAACUGCAUUCCCUCCUCAGGUAAGACUCCAGGUUUGUCCUUCACUCUUCCCUCACAUAUUUCCUGUUCAUCAUCUGAUCUUUCUCCUCCCUCUGCCUCUUCUUUACCACAAUCAUCAACUGCAUAUGGUUCACCCGUCCCUGCGACAUCUUCACCUGUGUUAAUUCCUCAUCCCUCUGCUGGUUCUCAGGAUAGUGCACAGCUUAAUCUUCAAGCUGCAGCUCUCUCCCUUCCGGAGUCUUCUUCUAAAAUUAUCACCAGAUCACAAACUGGUAAUCUCAAACCUCGUAGGUUUCCUGGUUUUCAUUUAUAUUCUACUCGUCACCCCCUACAAGCAUUGCAUGCAGGUUUGGUUUCUCCUGAGCCACGUACCUAUUCACAAGCGGUAUCAAUACCCGAAUGGUGUGCAGCAAUGGAUAGUGAAUUUCAGUCCUUAUUAAAGAAUGAAACUUGGUCACUGUGCUCUCUUCCUCCUGACAAGAAUGUGGUUCCUUGUAAAUGGGUUUUUAAACUCAAAAGGCGACCUGAUGGCAGUAUUGAACGUCAUAAGGCUAGGCUAGUAGCUGUUGGUUAUCUACAGAAGAGUGGGAUUGAUUUUCUUGAAACAUUCAGCCCAGUCAUCAAACCUUCAACUGUCCGCAUGGUUCUUGCUCUUGCCAUUUCUUUUCAAUGGGACAUUCGGCAGCUUGAUGUUUCUAAUGCUUUCCUUCAUGGCUUGCUAGAAGAGGAAGUGUAUAUGUCCCAGCCUAAGGGUUUCGUGGAUCCAGCACACCCCCACUUUGUCUGUAAGCUUCAUAAAUCCAUCUACGGGUUAAAACAAGCUCCUCGCGCCUGGUUCCAUCGUCUGUCCACUGCCCUGUUGGCUCUCGGUUUUCACAGUUCCCAGGUUGAUCCUUCGUUAUUUACCUAUCACUUACAGAACAUCCAUGCAUUUCUGUUAGUCUAUGUGGAUGACAUUCUCGUUACCUCUAAUGAUCAGAAUUUUGUUAGCAGUCUUAUAUCUCAACUCCAAGUUGAGUUUGCUAUGAAGGAUCUCGGGCAGUUAACAUAUUUUUUGGGCAUUCAGGCUACACGAACUUCUACUGGUUUACAUCUUCGACAAACAAGGUAUAUUAUAGAUCUUCUGGAUCNNNNNNNNNNNNNNNNNNNNNNNNNNNNNNNNNNNNNNNNNNNNNNNNNNNNNNNNNNNNNNNNNNNNNNNNNNNNNNNNNNNNNNNNNNNNNNNNNNNNNNNNNNNNNNNNNNNNNNNNNNNNNNNNNNNNNNNNNNNNNNNNNNNNNNNNNNNNNNNNNNNNNNNNNNNNNNGUCAACACCUGCAAGCACCAACCUCUGCUCAUUGGACAGCUGCCAAACAUGUGUUGCGAUAUUUAAAACAUACACUUGAUCAUGGACUCUUCUACAAACCUGGCUCCUUUGGCAUCAAUGCCUAUUGUGAUUCUGAUUGGGCUGGUGAUCCUGAUGACAGACGUUCCACUUGUGGUUAUGGUGUUUUUGUUGGACACAAUCUUAUCUCCUGGUCAGCUAAGAAACAACCAGUGGUCUCCAAGUCCAGUACUGAAGCUGAAUACCGAUGUUUGGCUCUUGUCACUGCAGAGGUGUAUUGGUUGCGAAUGCUAUUGCGUGAGCUGCAGGUUUCUCUUGCUUCUGCUCCAGUAGUAUGGUGUGAUAACAUCAGUGCCUUAGCUCUUGCCUCAAAUCCAAUAUUUCAUGCCCGAUCCAAACACAUUGAAGUGGAUUAUCACUUUGUCCGAGAAAAGGUGGCCAACAAAGACAUCCUUCUUCAACACGUUCCCACCUCUCUACAACCUGCAGAUAUAUUUACUAAGGGACAUACAGCUGACCGAUUCUGCUUUCUCCGAGAUAAACUUGCUAUAACAGAUCUCCCUGCCAGCUUAUGGGGGAAUGAUAAGGAUAAAGCUUAUGUUAAUGAUAAAGAUAAACCUCAGCAUGCAGAGGCUGCCGAAAGACAUUGAGUUCUAGUGCAAUUGUAUUACAACUUUGAUUCCUGCUUAUCCUUAGCUUCCUUUUUGUAUCAAAACACUUGUAAUUAACGAUGNNNNNNNNNNNNNNNNNNNNNNNNNNNNNNNNNNNNNNNNNNNNNNNNNNNNNNNNNNNNNNNNNNNNNNNNNNNNNNNNNNNNNNNNNNNNNNNNNNNNNNNNNNNNNNNNNNNNNNNNNNNNNNNNNNNNNNNNNNNNNNNNNNNNNNNNNNNNNNNNNNNNNNNNNNNNNNNNNNNNNNNNNNNNNNNNNNNNNNNNNNNNNNNNNNNNNNNNNNNNNNNNNNNNNNNNNNNNNNNNNNNNNNNNNNNNNNNNNNNNNNNNNNNNNNNNNNNNNNNNNNNNNNNNNNNNNNNNNNNNNNNNNNNNNNNNNNNNNNNNNNNNNNNNNNNNNNNNNNNNNNNNNNNNNNNNNNNNNNNNNNNNNNNNNNNNNNNNNNNNNNNNNNNNNNNNNNNNNNNNNNNNNNNNNNNNNNNNNNNNNNNNNNNNNNNNNNNNNNNNNNNNNNNNNNNNNNNNNNNNNNNNNNNNNNNNNNNNNNNNNNNNNNNNNNNNNNNNNNNNNNNNNNNNNNNNNNNNNNNNNNNNNNNNNNNNNNNNNNNNNNNNNNNNNNNNNNNNNNNNNNNNNNNNNNNNNNNNNNNNNNNNNNNNNNNNNNNNNNNNNNNNNNNNNNNNNNNNNNNNNNNNNNNNNNNNNNNNNNNNNNNNNNNNNNNNNNNNNNNNNNNNNNNNNNNNNNNNNNNNNNNNNNNNNNNNNNNNNNNNNNNNNNNNNNNNNNNNNNNNNNNNNNNNNNNNNNNNNNNNNNNNNNNNNNNNNNNNNNNNNNNNNNNNNNNNNNNNNNNNNNNNNNNNNNNNNNNNNNNNNNNNNNNNNNNNNNNNNNNNNNNNNNNNNNNNNNNNNNNNNNNNNNNNNNNNNNNNNNNNNNNNNNNNNNNNNNNNNNNNNNNNNNNNNNNNNNNNNNNNNNNNNNNNNNNNNNNNNNNNNNNNNNNNNNNNNNNNNNNNNNNNNNNNNNNNNNNNNNNNNNNNNNNNNNNNNNNNNNNNNNNNNNNNNNNNNNNNNNNNNNNNNNNNNNNNNNNNNNNNNNNNNNNNNNNNNNNNNNNNNNNNNNNNNNNNNNNNNNNNNNNNNNNNNNNNNNNNNNNNNNNNNNNNNNNNNNNNNNNNNNNNNNNNNNNNNNNNNNNNNNNNNNNNNNNNNNNNNNNNNNNNNNNNNNNNNNNNNNNNNNNNNNNNNNNNNNNNNNNNNNNNNNNNNNNNNNNNNNNNNNNNNNNNNNNNNNNNNNNNNNNNNNNNNNNNNNNNNNNNNNNNNNNNNNNNNNNNNNNNNNNNNNNNNNNNNNNNNNNNNNNNNNNNNNNNNNNNNNNNNNNNNNNNNNNNNNNNNNNNNNNNNNNNNNNNNNNNNNNNNNNNNNNNNNNNNNNNNNNNNNNNNNNNNNNNNNNNNNNNNNNNNNNNNNNNNNNNNNNNNNNNNNNNNNNNNNNNNNNNNNNNNNNNNNNNNNNNNNNNNNNNNNNNNNNNNNNNNNNNNNNNNNNNNNNNNNNNNNNNNNNNNNNNNNNNNNNNNNNNNNNNNNNNNNNNNNNNNNNNNNNNNNNNNNNNNNNNNNNNNNNNNNNNNNNNNNNNNNNNNNNNNNNNNNNNNNNNNNNNNNNNNNNNNNNNNNNNNNNNNNNNNNNNNNNNNNNNNNNNNNNNNNNNNNNNNNNNNNNNNNNNNNNNNNNNNNNNNNNNNNNNNNNNNNNNNNNNNNNNNNNNNNNNNNNNNNNNNNNNNNNNNNNNNNNNNNNNNNNNNNNNNNNNNNNNNNNNNNNNNNNNNNNNNNNNNNNNNNNNNNNNNNNNNNNNNNNNNNNNNNNNNNNNNNNNNNNNNNNNNNNNNNNNNNNNNNNNNNNNNNNNNNNNNNNNNNNNNNNNNNNNNNNNNNNNNNNNNNNNNNNNNNNNNNNNNNNNNNNNNNNNNNNNNNNNNNNNNNNNNNNNNNNNNNNNNNNNNNNNNNNNNNNNNNNNNNNNNNNNNNNNNNNNNNNNNNNNNNNNNNNNNNNNNNNNNNNNNNNNNNNNNNNNNNNNNNNNNNNNNNNNNNNNNNNNNNNNNNNNNNNNNNNNNNNNNNNNNNNNNNNNNNNNNNNNNNNNNNNNNNNNNNNNNNNNNNNNNNNNNNNNNNNNNNNNNNNNNNNNNNNNNNNNNNNNNNNNNNNNNNNNNNNNNNNNNNNNNNNNNNNNNNNNNNNNNNNNNNNNNNNNNNNNNNNNNNNNNNNNNNNNNNNNNNNNNNNNNNNNNNNNNNNNNNNNNNNNNNNNNNNNNNNNNNNNNNNNNNNNNNNNNNNNNNNNNNNNNNNNNNNNNNNNNNNNNNNNNNNNNNNNNNNNNNNNNNNNNNNNNNNNNNNNNNNNNNNNNNNNNNNNNNNNNNNNNNNNNNNNNNNNNNNNNNNNNNNNNNNNNNNNNNNNNNNNNNNNNNNNNNNNNNNNNNNNNNNNNNNNNNNNNNNNNNNNNNNNNNNNNNNNNNNNNNNNNNNNNNNNNNNNNNNNNNNNNNNNNNNNNNNNNNNNNNNNNNNNNNNNNNNNNNNNNNNNNNNNNNNNNNNNNNNNNNNNNNNNNNNNNNNNNNNNNNNNNNNNNNNNNNNNNNNNNNNNNNNNNNNNNNNNNNNNNNNNNNNNNNNNNNNNNNNNNNNNNNNNNNNNNNNNNNNNNNNNNNNNNNNNNNNNNNNNNNNNNNNNNNNNNNNNNNNNNNNNNNNNNNNNNNNNNNNNNNNNNNNNNNNNNNNNNNNNNNNNNNNNNNNNNNNNNNNNNNNNNNNNNNNNNNNNNNNNNNNNNNNNNNNNNNNNNNNNNNNNNNNNNNNNNNNNNNNNNNNNNNNNNNNNNNNNNNNNNNNNNNNNNNNNNNNNNNNNNUAGAAAUGCUGAGCUGACUACCAUAAUGCUCAUAGUAGGGUGCCUUGAAUGUAUUGGCGAACAAAGUCACCAUCUCCGUUUCUAUCAAAGGAGGUUGCACAUGAGUGGCCUCGUCCCUCCAUCUUUGCGCAUAAGCCUUUACUGACUCUUGGCUUCUCUUUUCCAUUGACAUAAGGCUUGUUCGAUCUGGAGCAAUUUCCAAAUUGAACUUGUAUUGCUUAAGGAAAGCCUCCACUAAAUCCUUCCAUUUCUUAAUCCUGGUAUUAUCCAGCCUCAUGUACCAACUUAGCGCCGACCCCGAUAGACUGUCUUGGAAAAAGUAGAUCAGUAACUUAUCGUCAUGAAUCACCUCAGCCAUCUUAUUGCAAUAAGAUCGAAGGUGAGUGUUUGGGCAUUCCAACCCAGUGUACCUUAUAAACUCCGGUAUCCUAAAAUCUUUUGGUACCGUGAUGUUUGGCACCAAGCAUAUUUCAGACGCUCGCAUGGGGUCAAACCAGUCAUUUCCCUCGACUGCUCUUAACCUUUCUUCCAAGGCUGAUAUCUUGUCAUUGUUCAUAAAUCCAUUGGACCUAUUAUCGGAAGGCCCAUCUACAGUGAUGUGAGCUUGAGGGGGCUGAAUGGGAAUGGCAGGCGCAAAUUGCUGCCCCGUCACUGAAUCUGCCCCCAAGUUCUGAGAUACCCCCGGGACAUGAACUGACGGUGCUCCUAUAGGUGGUUGGGUAGACGUUCCCUCCCCGUUCUUGGCUCUUAAGAGUUGCUCAAGCAGAUUGGUCAGUCGAGAAACUUCAUUUUUCACAGAUUCCAACUCGGUCUGGUAGUGCGACUCUAAGUGAGCUCUUUCUUCGUUUUCCAUUCUUGAUCUGGACCGGGUUUGGUGGACUCUGGAUGUGGGACCUAUGUUUCACGAUCUGGAAUGCAUAUGAUGAAUUAAAAACAAAAUGUGUGAUGAAAAUAUGAUGCUCAUGCAAUGUAUAUUUUAGAGCCGACUCAUGACUUUCGUAAUCCUUUAGGCAAGAUUUCUGAGUUGACCCGAUUACUGUAAAGGAGGGUUUGCCAAGUUCUUUAUCAUAGUAGCUUACCAAAACAUAUUUAGAAAGAAAGAUAGGUCAUGCCUUCUUAUAAAUAGAAGAAGCUCAUACAUUGAUAACAGAACAUGGCGUUAUACAUUGCUAUCCUUAAAAGGCAUUUCCUCUAUUAGCUAAGUCCCCAAUAAAACAGGUGAUGGCCGCCAUAUAUUCUCGAUACUUUGAAGCAUCAUUUCCCACUUGAGUAGCUUGUCGUUGCAACCUUUCCGCAUAACGGGCUGCUUGCUCGACCUGCUUCGUUAUAUGCCUUAUCUUAUCAUGGAACACAGUGUUAUCUGCAAUUAUCACUUCGUUGCUGGCUCCUAGGGCUUCAUUACUUCUUUCCAACACUCGAACCAUAUCAUCCGACCGGGCCAACUUAUCCCUUACCCUCUGCAGUUCUUCCUUUUUGAUAUCCAGCUCGGCUAUUUUGGAGUUAAUUUGGACCGUAAAGCUGUCCAUGUAGCCUUGACAUUCUUGACGCUCUUGCUUAGCCUUACUGAGCUCCUCUUCCAUCUCGAAGUAACGGCUUCUUAUCUCUUUUAACUCUUCUUCUCGCAUCUCGAUUUCCGAUUGUAAAGCCAUCAUCCUUCCUUUUGAAGACUCGGCUCUUUUCUGGUAAUCUCUCAUAUCAGACUCUGCAGCCUUUCUUGAACUUCUCUCUUCCUCCAGUUGCAUCAUAUAUUGAGCUCUGAUCCUUCUUUCCUCUUCUAUGUCGAGAUGGGCUAACCGAUUUUUCUCUUUUUCAACUUAUACUUUCUUUACAAGAAUGCUCCUUCCUUUUUUCAAGGAAUCCACCAUCUCCUUAUCGACACUCAUCUUGCCUUUGGUAGAUCUUUUAACCUUAGCCAACUCUUUUUGUGUGAGCCCGUUUUUGUUAGACAGCUCAUCAUACUCGGUUAUUCGAUUCCUUAACUCAGCCUGGACCGCUUUUGCUAUUUCUUCAGCUACCUCGGCCCUUUUCUGCCAUUCCUUUUAAGAUGUCAAUUGUUUAUCCUGUUUUUCCAACUGCUGGUNNNNNNNNNNNNNNNNNNNNNNNNNNNNNNNNNNNNNNNNNNNNNNNNNNNNNNNNNNNNNNNNNNNNNNNNNNNNNNNNNNNNNNNNNNNNNNNNNNNNAAAGAGAGUGAGUCUAGCAUGAAAGAGUUGGGGAAUCUCUCACAUUUAAGGAAAAAACUUUCUAUUUGGAAUCUCAGAGAUGUUGCAAAUGCUCAAGAUGCUUUGGGUGCCAAUUUGAAGGGUAAGAAGAAGAUUGAGGAGUUGAGGUUGACAUGGGAUGGCAAUACGGAUGACACACAACACGAGAGAUAUGUACUUGAAAAAUUGGAGCCUUCUGAAAAUGUGAAACAGCUUGUCAUUACUGGUUACGGGGGUACAACGUUUCCAGGCUGGCUCGGAAAGUCUUCUUUCUCAAAUAUGGUACAGUUGACACUUUCUGGAUGUAAGAACUGCAUCUUCUUACCACCAUUGGGGCAGCUGCCAUCUCUAGAAGAGCUCCAAAUUGAAGGAUUUGAUGAAGUCAUGGCAGUCUGCUCUGAGUUCUAUGGAAGUGACCCUUCGAUGGAGAAGCCAUUUAAAUCCCUUAAAAUAUUAAAGUUCAAGGGGAUGAAAAAAUGGCAGGAAUGGAAUACAAAUGUAGCUGGUGCUUUCCCUCAUCUUGCAAAGCUCUUGAUAGCAGGUUGUCCCGAGUUAACAAAUGGCUUGCCUAAUCACCUUCCUUGUUUAUGGAUGCUUUCUAUUCGAGAAUGUCCACAGCUUGUGGUUUCAAUUCCAGAGGCUCCCCUGCUCACCGAAAUCAAUGUAUCUGAGGGCGAUGAAAGUCGUAUAAUUGGAAUAUCCAGUCAUAGGCUUGUGCAAUAUAGACGAGAUCCCCAGCUAAAGGGAAUGGAGCAAAUGAGUCAUUUGGAUCCCUCUUCUUUCACUGAUAUCAAAAUCGAGGGAUGUAGUUCAUUUAAGUGCUGCCAGCUAGACCUUUUACCCCAGGUAUCCACACUUACCAUUGAACAUUGUCUCAAUAUCGAAUCCCUUUGUAUAGGCGAGAGACCUGUCCCUGCUCUCUGUCGUCUGACAAUCAGACACUGUCCUAAUUUGGUGUCUUUCCCCAAAGGAGGACUAGCUGCCCCAGAUUUGACAAGCCUUGUGUUAGAGGGUUGCUUAUAUUUGAAGUCUUUGCCAGAAAACAUGCAUUCCCUCCUCCCUUCCCUUGAGGAUUUGCAAUUGAUCUCACUUCCAGAAGUUGAUUCGUUUCCCGAAGGAGGUUUACCCUCCAAAUUAAACACACUUUGCAUUGUGGAUUGUAUCAAACUCAAGGUAUGUGGUUUGCAAGCACUCCCUUCUCUUUCAUGCUUCAGAUUUACUGGGAACGAUGUGGAGUCUUUUGACGAGGAGACGUUGCCCACUACUCUUACAACCCUUAAAAUCAAACGUCUGGGAAAUCUGAAGUCUCUGGAGUAUAAGGGGCUUCAUCACCUUACCUCUCUUAGGAAAUUGAGUAUCCAGAGUUGCCCUAAGCUUGAGUCCAUAUCAGAGCAGGCGCUUCCCUCCUCCCUUGAAUACCUUCAUCUCAGGACACUGGAAUCUCUGGACUAUGCUGUGCUUCAGCACAUCACCUCUCUUCGCAAAUUGAAGAUCUGGAGUUGUCCAAAGCUUGCAUCGUUGCAGGGGCUGCCAUCCUCCCUUGAAUGCCUUCAAUUAUGGGAUCAGCGAGGUCGGGACUACAAGGAGCUUCAGCACCUCACCUCUCUUCGCACAUUGAUUCUCAAGAGUCCUAAGCUGGAGUCCCUUCCAGAAGACAUGCUUCCCUCCUCCCUUGAAAACCUUGAAAUCUUGAAUCUUGAAGAUCUGGAAUAUAAGGGGCUUCGGCACCUCACCUCCCUUCGUAAAUUACGUAUCUCUAGUUCUCCCAAGCUUGAGUCCGUGCCAGGUGAGGGGCUGCCCUCCUCCCUUGUAUCUCUUCAAAUCUCAGAUCUCAGAAAUCUUAAAUCUCUGAACUAUAUGGGGCUUCAACACUUCACCUCUCUUCGCAAAUUGAUGAUCUCGCAUUCUCCUAAGCUUGAGUCCAUGCCAGAAGAAGGGCUGCCCUCCUCUCUUGAAUAUCUUAAGAUCACCGAUUGUCCUUUGCUGGCCACAAGGUGUGAAAGGGAGACGGGGGAAGAUUGGCCCAGAAUUUCUCACAUCCGCUGUAUGAGAGAUUAUAAUUAGAGGAUGAAGAAUAUGCAAUAACACUCUCCUGUCAUUUGCCUAACGUGCUCAGGAUUUUACUACAUUCUCAGCCUUGCAUCUGCUUUGUUUUAAAUUCUAUUUUUGGAGACUGGCAUUUUCACAACCACAGAUCUUCACCGCACAGCCCAUCACGACCUUAGGUAGAGAUAGGUUCCCAACAAUUUGUUCAAAAACAAAGGCGGGCAUAAACAGAUCCCAUCUUAAGCCGUGCAUAAUUUACAGUGAAUCAGCAAAUGCCAGCCCAAGAUCAUAAUUCCUGUUUUCUUAUUCUUUUCUGUUGAGGUUUAAAGUAAUUUGAGAUUCUGUAUUCAAAGCAGAGUUAUUAAGAAAUAAAAACAAGAAGAAUAAUAGUGAUCUUGCUAACAUUGUAUAUCAGUUAUUACUUGGUAAUUCACUGGGAUUUUAUGAGAUAUUUAAAAGAAAAACGUUGAUCAGAAUAUUUAGCAGUGCUUAAUACUAAAAGCAUUAUAUUCGUGAUGGCUGUAUGUUCAGGAUUAAACUCGAUAGAUGGCCUAUGCCCAGGAUGAAAUGAGGAUGAUGGCAAAGUGAAAAGAAAAGGUAAAACCUGAAAGAGAUGACUGCUGGCCAACGAUGCAGCAUUUCAGAAAUCAGGACAUCCAAAAUGAUAUAUUUGAUCCCAGUGCAAGCAACAGAUCCAGAGAUCUUGACAGAGUCGGAUGUUUGCUUGCCUGUGUUUUUAUACUUGGAACUCUGUAUUGCCACCUUUUCGCAAACUACAAGAUUUGUAAUUUGCACCAAAUUUAAUCUUUAACUUGAUUGCCGAGACAAAGCUCAAGCAGGCUUGAUUUGUAAUGCUCAUAUUCCUGAAGGAUGUUUUUCUUAAAAUAAUUAUGGAAUCGCCACUUGCAUCGUUAAAAAAACAAUAUAGCAAAAUUCUCAGUAAAAGAAAGUUGAGGCAUGAAACUCAAAAAAAAAAAAAACAACAAAAAAUAUCCAUGUCAAUCACAUGACCAUAGACAUGUAAUUUAAAUAAUCUUAUAAAAAAAAAGCAAAAAAAAACACUAAAACUAAUUCCAUAAACUUUAAAUAUUAAAAAAUAAAAUUAAAAAAAAAUUAAUUUUAUAAAAAAGACUUGAAGAAACCAAAAUCAACCCGUGCAAAUCAUGGCUCAAUAAUAAAAAAAAAAAGCUAAGUGAUGAAAUCUUAAAAAAAACCAAUAAAAAGAGAUUCAAAACAGAAUAAACAUGAGUAAAAAAUAACGAUCAAAUUCAACAUUAAAAAAAAAUCAAAUAAUGAGAAAUAAAAUCAAAACAAUAUCUAAUUAGAUGAAGGAUUAAAAAAUAUCAAAAGAAAACUUGUCAAUUUUGAUAUAAAAAUAAAAUAAAAUGAUUAGAGAUAAAUAACAAUAAAUACUAUUUUUAUAAAAUAAAAAUAAAAAACAUUAAAAAAAAUCAAUAAAAAAUAUUCAAAACAGAACAAAUAACAAUUAAAAACGUGUAAUAUAAAUGUUUACCGCACAUAACAACCAUUGAUUCCAAACAAAACUCGAAAAUAAAAAAACAGGACACCUGCAGUUAUCAGGUCCGGAACUACCUGAAAGGCAGAACUGCACAUGCCAAAUUAAUCUUACCCAUAGCAAAAUUCAAAUAUGGAAAUCAUAAAGAGAAAUAUAAUUUAAUGAUUGGUUUCAAUGGCAAGUGGAUAAGCAAAAAAUAUUCAAAUAUAGAAAUCAUAAAAUAGAGCAACGAAAGGACAAAAAUCGAUCAAAAAACCCUGACUGAAAGAAGAAACAACACACCUUCGCCUCGUGUGUUCUCCAUCGGUUUGUUCAAGAAAAAAAGGACAAGAACUGCAGCAUUACCACCUCCAUCCUCUCUCAGUAGCUUCUUCUUCUCCAAUGUGCCUACCUUUUUGGUUCUUACAUGUUUUAUGCCUCCUCUCCCUCUUCUGAAGCAUGACUACAAGUGAAGAAAACAACUCUAAUCCCACCCAAGAACAAUGCUUUAAUACUAAAUUUAAUACGAGACAAGAGAUUUAAAGUUAAAGAAAAAAGAUGAAGAAGAAAAAGCCAAAAAAAGAGAAGAAAAAGCUGAUCAAAUACUAAAACCCUAUUUUGAACAAGCAAUUAAGCUUAUAGCUUAUUAAAUAAAAUACCUAAUAAUAAUUAAAUCAAACUCAAAAAAUAAAAUCUAUUUAAUAAAUCCUAACUAAAAAUUCAAAUAAAUAAAACUAAAAUAUAAAAUAAAACUCAUUCUCUCAAUAGGUUGGAUUUCCUAUCAUUUAUAUUCUAUGAUUACGCAAAUAUGUCAAAAGAAGGUUGCACCUUCAGCCGUUUAACCUUUAAGAAGAAGUGAAAAGAAAUGGUAGAAGCAGACAUCAGGGUUAUCCAAAAUGCUCUAUUUGAUCCCCCAUCCAAGCAACAAAUCCACAGCCAUCACAGAGAUCUUGUCCACUUCUUUUGCCUUCCUUCUCUUACUUUUGUAGCUAUUUUUUUCUACUUCUUUCUACUAUCCAUUCUAGAGCUAUAGAUUCUUAUAUUGUACAGAGAAUUUGAGUCUAGUUUUUGAACAGUUCAUAAGCCUCGAUCCAUUUUGUGAAUUUUCAAGGUGGUGAUGUUAUAAUUUCAAAAAACUAUUUGCAUGCACAUAGUUAUAGAAAAUUUACCUAUCACAAUCUUUAAAUAAUCUUUUUAUCUCUUUCUAAAGACAUUUAACCAUUUAAUUUAUAAAUACGCAAAACAUGUUUAAAAACCAACUUUCACACCCUAAAAUCAACACUUGUAAUCAUUGCUUAUGCAUUUGCAAUACCAUGCCAAAGCCAAAUCAAUCUUACUCAUAGCAAGAAUGAAAACAAAAUAAAAUAAAAUAGAAACAACACCAAAAACAUCCUUUAUUCAUUAUUAAAGAUCUCCUCAUGAACAAAACAGAAGAACAAAGUGAAAAAAAUAUUGGUUUCAAUGGAAAAAUGCAUAAGCAAAAAAUAACCAAAUACGGAAAUCAUAAAGAGAGCAACGAAAGGACAAAAAUCGAUCAAAAAACCCUUACUAAAAGAAGAAACAACACACCUUCGCCUCAUGUGUUCUCCAUCGAUUUGUUCAAGAAAAAAAGAGACAAGAACUGCAGCAUCACCAUCUCUAUCCUCUCUCAGUAGCUUCUUCUUCUCCAAUGUGCCUACCUUUUUGGUUCUCACAUGUUCUAUGCCUCCUCUCCCUCUUCUAAAUCAUGACUACAAGUGAGGAAAACAACUCUAAUCCCACCCAAGAACAAUGCUCUAAUACCAAAUUUGAUACGAGACAAAAGAGAUUUAAAGUUAAAGAAGAGAGAAAAGAAAGGGAAGUCAACGAAAGAGAAGAAAAAGCUUAUCAUAUACUAAAAUCCAAACUAGAACAAGCAAUUAAGUUUAUAGUCUACUAAAUAAAAUACUCAACAAUAAUUAAAUCAAACCCAAUAAAUAAUAUCUAAUUAAUACAUUUCACCUAAAAGUUCAAAUAAAUUAAAUUAAAACAUAAGCUAAAGCUCAUUCUCUUAAUGAUUUGGACUACCUUCUAUCAUUUAUGAUCAUAUAAAUGCAUAUUUCGAGUCCAUAUCCCCACUAUUUUUUCAUCUUUGGUGGAAACAAAAAGAGGUGCAUAUGUUUUUGUUAGGCAAAUUUUUUUUUCCUGCCCUGAAAUAAGAAAAAGAAGGUUGCACCUUUAGCCUUUUAACCUUUAAGAAGAAGUGAAAAUAAAAUGUAGAAGCAGACAUCAUGAAUAUCCAAAAUGCUAUAUUUAAUCCCUGGUCCAAGCAACAGAUCCAGAGCUAUUACAGAUAUCUUGUCCACUUCUUUUGCGACCCUUCUCUUACUUUUCUAGCUAUUUUUUCCUACUUUUUUCUACUAUCCAUUCUAGAGCUUCGGAUUCUUAUAUUGUACAGAGAAUUUGAGUCUAGUUUUUUAACGGUUCAUAAACCUCGAUCCAUCAUGCAAUUUCUCAAGAUGAUGUUGUUAUAAUUUCAAAAAACUAUUUACAGAAGAUUUAUCUUCAAGGACAAGAGUUAAAUCCUUAAUAGCAACGUUUAUAUUCCCCACUUUUCAUCCAAAUUUCUUUAACAAGUAAGUCAUAUUUACUUUGUUAUUAUAUUUAUGUCAUCUAGAUUAAUACUAGUUAGGUGGUCUGUGCUACACCGCAGGCCAACGUUUUAUUUUCAUAAAAAAUAUCAAAAAAAUAUAAGACCCAUGAGCGUUGGGUUUGACUGCAACACCGGAUCUAAGAGCGUCGAGUUUGGUUGUAACGCCAAACCCAACAAUAAUAUUUAUAAUAUAAAUAAUAAUAUUUAACUUGUCUUCCUAAAUUCUUAUAUUUUUAAAUCUUUUUUAAAAAAAUUAUGGUUUUGCUACAAUAGUAUUAUUUUAAAUUUAUCAAUGAUAAUAAUAACAAUAAUGAUAAUAAUAAUAAUAAUAAUUAUUAUAAUUAUAAUUUUUAAUUUUACCCUUCAAAUCAAAUCUAUGAUUGUUUUUCAAUAUUAAUAAUAUUUGUUUUUCAAAUUUAUUAAUAAUAUUAAUUAUAAUAAAAAUAAUAACAUUUAUAAUACAAAUAAUAAUAUUUAUAAUAUUAAAACUAUUAAAUAUAAUAAAAAUAAUAAUAUUUAUAACACAAAUAAUAAUAUUUAGAAACCUAAGACCUAUUAGCGUUGGGACCUGACGCCGGACCCAAGAGAAUUGGGUCCUGACACAAGACCCAUUACUGUUGGGUCCUGACGCAGGACCCAUCAACCUUGAGUAUUGAAGCCGGACCCAAGAUAAUUAGGUCUUGAUACAGGUCCCAAGAAAGUUGAGUUGUGACGCAGGACCCAAUAGCCUUAGGUCCUGACGCCAUACCCAAGAGAAUUGGGUUUUGACACAGCAACUUGGAUGAGGCGUUCCAGCCGCAGGUUUUUUGGGUCUCGAAAGGGAUGUCUGACCCAAAUUAACAACAAUAAUGAUUGAUUUUACCCUUAAAAUCAAAUCUAUGUUUUUUUUUAUAUAUUAAUAAUAUUUAUUUUAAUUUUAAUAAUAUUAAUGAAUUGAAUAAUAUUUAUAAUAUUAAUAAUAAUAUUUAACUUGACUGCCCAAGUUUUUAUAUUUUUUAAUCUCUUUAAAAAAAAUGAUGGUUUUUCUUCGAUGGUAAUAAUAUUUUUUAAAAUUUACUAACAACAACAACAACAAUAAUAAUUUUACCCUUCAAAUCAAAUAUAUAUAUUUUUUUCAAUAUUAAUAAUAUUUUUUACAAAUUUAUUAAUUAUUAUAUUAAUUAUAAUCAAAGUAAUAAUACCCCAGGUGCGAGGGUCUGCACCCAUCACGCGGUUCUGCAGACCCAGGCUCGCGGGCCUACAGACUCGCUCUCCUGGGUCUGCAGUCAAUGCAGGGGUUUGACCCUAGCUUCCAGGGCAGACAGGCAGCCCCAACGCCAGGUGUUUGCAGCCCCACCAUACCCCACCAAAACUUGCACUGACUGUUUUCUCUCAAACCAUCAUUUCAAUGUCAAAUGCCUCCCAAUAAAAAGACAACCCCACACUCCCCCUGUAAUCUUUGCAACUCUAUGUGACAAGAGCAAUUUUGUUAUUACACUGCUUUAAUUUACAGUACUUUGUAUUUAGGUAAACAGUAACAGGAACACUAAACCUUUUUAGUAUAUUAUAUAAUAAUUUUACUGUCAGUUCUAUUUAUGUGCUUGAUAAAGUUAUUUAAUUUAGUUAUGUAAUUAUAUUUAUCCUAUACAUUUAUUAGUUGUUAUACAUGAAAUAUAUUUUAAUCAUGUCACAUUAAAUAAAACAUUAGCAUUCAUAUGCUAACAAUUGCAGCUCAAGAAGAGAAGCCGCGAAUGAUAGAGUUGUGCUUGGUUUUUCUCAAUAUAUCGUAGUCCAUUUUGGUUGUUAACGUAGUCCAUAAGCUUAAGAAGAGAAGAGAAGCUAUGUGUUUGUUAAUAUAUCAUUGCUUCUAUAAUAAUUCAUCCCUAAGCUGAUGCUGAUGCUGAUGCUGAUGCUGCCUAAGAUUAAUAGUAGAGAUGCUAUGUGUUUGUUAACGUAGUCCAUAAGCUUUUGCAAAAUAACAUUUGGGUUGGAGAAUGCUUUAUUCAUAUGUAAAAACCAUUAAAAGAUAUUAAUUUAAAUAAAAAAACAUUAAUUCAAAGCUUUUCCAUACAAAACAUACUUUGAAAUUCACUUUAUAAAUAUCAUAUUGUCGAAAUUAAUAGUGAAAGAUCUACGUACUCAACCAUGAUUUUAAAAGUUUUCCUUGACGAACAUGCCACGUCACUUAGCCAAGAAAAUACGAUGUUGCAGGGCAAUCUUUAAAACUUAUUUUUAUUUAAUUACGUGGUAAUUAAGAUAAAUACUUGUAGGAAUUCUAACAAUUUAAAUUAUGGAGAAUAAACUUAUUCAUUGUUCAAUAAACACUGUGAUUUGUUAGUAUAUGCACAGUGCUGUUUUAUGUACAGAAAAGGGAGCCAUGUUUUAGUUUAUAUAAUGCGUUUGUACCAUGUUUUCAAAAAAUUAAUAAUUUUUUUUAUUAAAAUUUAAUAUAAUUUAUAUAUUUUAAAUUGUUUUGAUAUGCUGAUAUCAAAAAUAAUUUUUAAAAUAUUAUUAAUAUACAUUUUAAUACAAAAAAUUAUUUAAAAAGCAAUGAUUACUAUACUACCAAGCACUCUCUAUUAUUACUAUUUCAUGAGAAGCUAAUUCAGUUCCCAUGAGAAGCAAAAGAUUGUGUACAAAGUUUUUUAUAAUGACAUUUUGUAUUUUAUUUUUUUGUUUUAAAAGAAAUUAAAACUUUUUAAUUUUCUUUUAAAAUAAUUUUUUUAUAUUCGAAUGUUGUUUGAAUAUAUCAAUUUUAAAAAAUAAAAAAUAUAUUAUUUAAAAAUAUUUUAAAAACAAUUGUAUUUUUGCAGAAAAACCAGCUAUAAAUUAACAUUUUUAGCCGGUGAUGGUGGCGGGCAAUCCUGCCCCUGACAGUGACGGGCAAUCCUGCCCGUCAUUUCAGUGUGACCCCAGAUGAAAACAUUUCACUUUUUUUAAUUACUGAAAAUUUAACCGUUCAUUUGCUAAUUUCUUGAAUAAUUCAAUGGAUGCUGAAAUUAAAGAUUCUUGGCUUACAAAUUUUCACUUCAAAGUGCAAAGCUAUAAAAUCCUCCAUCGAUUUUGAAUUACAAAUCAUAAGCAAUGUUGUACAAACCUAAACCUAAAUUAAAAAAUCAAACAAAUAAGUUUGGUGUUUUCUAAAAAUAUUUUUUAUUUAAAAAUAUAUCAAAAUUUAUUUUUAAAAUUUUUAUUUUAUUUUUAAUACCAACCCAUCAAAACUAUUAAAAAAUAUUAAUUUAAUAUUUUUUAAAACUAAAUAUAUUUUUAAAAUGCACCUAAAUAUAGUUUAAACCCGGACUGUCUCAAAUCCCUUAACUUAACCUUGAAUUUUUUUAGCAAUUAAUUGUCCCAACAAAAAUAUAUUAACUAAUUGAUCCUCCCACUAAUAUAUAAUAUGAAUAACUAGUACUUUUAAUAAUGCCAAUAAUAAUAAUAAUAAUAAUUAUUAUAGUGAUAUCUUUUUUAAUAAUAAAAAAUAAUAUUAUUUAUAAUAAUAAUAAUAAUAAUUUUUUAUGGCUCCUGCUUUCUACUACUCUUUUUCUCUCACAUAUUCCCACCCUCACCCUUUCUGCAAAAAUCCACCAUGGCUCUGGAGUUGAUCGGCGGAUCAAUUCUCUCUCCUGUCAUUCAGGUUGUUUUCGACAGGUUGGCAUCUCGUGAGGUCCUGGGCUUCUUCAAAAGCCACAAGCUCGAUGAUGGCCGUCGUCUGGAAAAGCUGAAUGAAACACUGAAUACUGUCAACGGACUACUCGACGAUGCGGAGGAGAAGCAGAUUACAAAUCGUGCUGUGAAGAACUGGCUUAAUGAUGUUAAACACGCUGUCUUUGAAGCUGAGGACAUAUCGGAGGAGAUUGAUUAUGAAUAUCUACGAUCCAAGGACAUUGAUGCCCCUCGACCUGACAGCAAUUGGGUAAGCAUAAGUUCUUGCACCUAUAGACCUUGCUUCCUCAUAAAAUGUUUGUAUUGAUCCCUCUAUUUGUUUGUUUUUUUUUUAAAUCCAAAAUGCUAUAUUUUUAAAAUCAAGAAUUAUUUAUAUAAAUUUUGUCAAUUAUAUAUAUAAUAAUCACCGAGAAUUAUGCACUGAUUUUUUAUUAGCACAAUUAUAAAUUCAAAUGAUAUUUUAUAUAUGAAAGGUUCAUAUCUUUGUUUUAAAUAUUAAAAAUAUAUACUUUACUUUUAAAUUGUUAAACAAUUAUUUUUGGAAAUAAAAUUAUUUUUCCAUUUUUAUUUUAGACAAAAAAUUAAUUUCGUUAUAUUUAUAAAUAUAAUAUAAUAUAAUAUAAUAAGUGCUAUGAAAAUCACUAGUGACAUUCAAUCAAUAUUUUUUUAAAACUUGAAUUUACUGCUUACAUUAAGUUAGCAUCAACAAUUGUAAAUUCUUGAAAAAGAUCUGUAGAAAAAAAAAUGUUUACAUUAAGUUAGCGUCAACAAUUUAAUGGCAUUAACUUAUUAAUUCACUAGAUGUAAAAAUCUUAAUGAUUAUGUUUUGAUAUUAUAAAAUUAUAAUGUUUUCCUGAAUUCUAUCUCACAUAUUCAGUCCACCAUGGCAGGUAAGGAAUCUGGUUCGACUUCUAAAUCCAGCUAAUAGAAGGAUGAAAGAUAUGGAAGCAGAGUUGCAAAAGAUCCUUGAGAAGCUUCAACGUUUACUUGAACACAAGGGUGAUCUGCGCCACAUAGAAUGUACUGGUGGAUGGAGACCAUUGUCAGAGAAAACAACUCCACUGGUUAAUGAAUCUCAUGUAUAUGGAAGGGACGCUGAUAAGGAAGGCAUAAUGGAGCACUUGUUGACACAACACAACACGGAUGGCUCAAAUUUAUGUGCGGUCCCUAUUGUGGGCAUGGGCGGGAUUGGUAAAACCACUCUUGCUCAGCUUGUCUACAACGACGAAAGGGUAGAUCAGUGCUUCCAACUCAAGGCCUGGGUCUGGGCUUCUCAACAAUUUGAUGUUGCCAGGAUUAUUAAGGAUAUUAUUAAGAAGAUCAAAGCAAGGACUUGCCCCACCAAAGAACCAGAUGAGUCUCUAAUGGAGGCAGUGAAAGGGAAAAAACUUCUACUUGUUCUAGAUGACGCGUGGAACAUCGAGUAGAGUGAAUGGGAUAAAUUACUGCUACCUUUGCAGUAUGUGGAGCGAGGAAGUAAGAUUGUCGUCACAACACGGGAUGAAGAUCUAGCAAAAGUCACUCAAACUGUCAUCUCCUCUCACCGCUUGAAUGUAAUAAGCGAUGAAGAUUGCUGGAAGUUGUUUGCAAGGGAUGCAUUUAGUGGUGUAAAUUCUGGAGCAGCCUCACACUUGGAAGCAUUUGGCAGAGAAAUAGUGAGAAAGUGCAAAGGUUUACCGCUGGCAGCGAAAACUCUUGGGGGUCUUUUGCACUCCGUAGGAGAUGUCAAGCAAUGGGAGAAGAUAUCCAAGAGCAGGAUGUGGGGUUUGUCGAAUGAAAACAUCCCUCCGGCUCUAACAUUGAGCUAUUAUUAUCUCCCUUCACACCUGAAACGUUGUUUUGCUUACUGCGCAAUAUUUCCCAAGGGUUAUUUAUUCGAGAAGGAUGGAUUAAUCACUGAAUGGAUGGCACAUGGUUUUUUAGUCCAGUCCAGAGGCGUUGAGGAGAUGGAAGAUAUAGGUGAAAAAUACUUUGAUGAUCUUGUCUCCAGGUCACUUUUCCAGCAAUCACUUCAUGCUCCAUCACAUUUCAGCAUGCAUGACAUCAUAAGUGAUUUAGCUGAAUACGUGUCAGGAGAAUUUUGCUUUAAGCUUGGUAUUAAUGAAUUGGGCUCUGGGUUGGAGGGUGAACAUUCAUGCACGCUUCCAGAAAGGACUCGUUAUUUAUCAAUCACUCGAGCAGCCUUGUUUCCACCAUAUACUGGGGCAGGACGUCGGAUAUUUCGUAGCAUUCAUGGAGUCCAUCAUUUGCGCGCCUUGUUUCCACUAUAUAUUUUUGGGGAAGCUGAUAUUGAGACGCUGAAUGACAUCUUGCCAAAUUUAAAGCGCUUGCGAAUGCUAUCUUUAUGUCAUCCAAAAGAUACUUCUUCUCAGUUGCUCAAUUCCAUUGGCAACUUAAAACAUUUGCGGCACUUGGACCUUUAUGGGACAUCGAUUGAAAGGUUACCUGAAAAUGUGUGCACCUUGUACUAUUUGCAAAGCUUAUUGUUAGGAGAGUGCCGACAUCUCAUGGAGUUGCCAUCCAACAUUUCCAACUUGGUCAACCUACAACAUCUUGAUAUUGAAGGGACAAAUUUGAAAGAGAUGCCACCAAAAAUGGGGAAACUCACAAAGCUUCGAACUUUGCAAUAUUACAUCGUGGGAAAAGAGAGUGGGUCUAGCAUUAAAGAGCUGGGGAAGCUCUCACAUUUAAGGAAAAAACUUUCUAUUCGGAAUCUCAGAGAUGGUGCAAGUGCUCAAGAUGCUUUGGAUGCCAAUUUAAAGGGUAAGAAGAAGAUUGAGGAGUUGAGGUUGAUAUGGGAUGGCAAUACAGAUGACACACAACAGGAGAGAGAAGUACUUGAGAAAUUGGAGCCUUCUGAAAAUGUGAAACAGCUUGCCAUUAAUGGUUACGGGGGUACAAUGUUUCCAGGCUGGCUUGGAAACUCUUCUUUCUUAAAUAUGGUAGCGUUGACUCUUUCUGGAUGUAAGAACUGCAUCUCCUUACCACCAUUGGGGCAGCUGCCAUCUCUUGAAGAGCUCCAUAUUGAAGGAUUUGAUGAUGUCGUGGCAGUUGGUUCUGAGUUCUAUGGAAGUGACCCUUCGAUGGAGAAGCCAUUUAAAUCCCUCAAAAUAUUAAAGUUUGAGGGGAUGCGAAACUGGCAGGAAUGGAAUACAGAUGUAGCUGGUGCUUUCCCUCAUCUUGCAAAGCUCUUGAUAGCAGGUUGUCCCGAGUUAACAAAUGGCUUGCCUAAUCACCUUUCUUCUUUAUUGAUACUUGAGAUUCAAGCGUGUCCACAGCUUGUGGUUUCAAUUCCAGAGGCUCCCCUGCUCACCGAAAUCAACGUAAAAGUCACUCAAACUUUCAUCCCCUCUCAGCGCUGGAAUGCACUAAGCGAUGAAGAUUGCUGGCAGGUUCUUCUUGCAAGGUAUGCAUUUUAGGGGUGCAAAUUCUUGAGCAGCCUCACACUUGGAAACAUUUGGCAGAGAAAUAGCGAGAAAGUGCAAAGGUUUACUGCUGGCUGCGAAGACCCCUGGGGGUCUUUUGCACUCUGAAGGAGAUGUCAAGCAGUAUGUGGGGUUUGUCGAAUGAAAACAUCCCUUAAGUUAAAUUAAAAAAAUAUUUUUAAACUGUAUAUUUUUUAAAAAAAUAAUACACUAGCUAGGUUUAUUAAGUUUGUCAAGCAAUGGGAGGAGAUAUAUUAAGUUACUAAAAAAAGGUGUUUAUCAUUUUGUUUGGUUGUCCAUAAGGUUUUGUUACGCAACUAUAUAAAAAUAAAAAUAAUAAAAAGCUAUUAACAAAGAAAUAAAAGUGUUUUUCUGGCCAAAGAUGCCGCACAUAUAUCAGAAAUCAGGAUAUCCGAAAUGCUACAUUUGGUCCGCUGUCCGAGCAACAGAUCCAUUCAGAGCCACAACAAAGAUAGUCGGAUGUUCACUUGGCAGCUUUUUUUCCUCAGCAUUGUUAAGCUCCCCCAACCGUUUAGAAUUGCGGUUAAAGUACUUAUUCAUCAAAAUUUUAAAUAUUUUUUUUAAAUUAAUUUUGGAUUGUUUUGAUAUCAUAAUGCUAGAAAUAAUUUUUAAAAAAUAUUAUUUUAAUAUAUUUCUUAACGAAAAACACUUUAAAAACACAUAUGUUACCACACUCUUGAACACCUCAUUCAAUCAUGUUUGUUUUUGCGUUUCAAAAACGCUUUUGAAAAAUAUUUAAAAUUUUCUAUUGUUUUAUUUACUUCGAAUAAUUUUUAUGUGUUGAUAUCAAAAAUAAUUUUAAAAAAUAAAUAAAAUAUUAUUUUGAUACAUUUCCAAGAAAACAAUUCUUUGAAAAACAACCACCACCACAUUAACAAACAUGCUUGAAAACAACUUUUUCAAAGCAUGGAACUACAAGACCAACUAUAUUAAGUUGCUUGUGAUAUUACUCCUCGUGGAACCAAAUCAAUCCAUAACUUACAAGAUUUGUCGCACGUGUGCGGUGUCGCGGUGAAUGCGUCUACUCUCAUAUGUAUCUGGAAAUCAAGAAAUAAGGAAGACAAGGAUUUCUUGUUUUUUAUCUGUGUAUAGAGGAAUGAGAGUCGCCACCUAGUAUUUUGGUUACUAGGAAUCCUAACUGGUCUCAAAGAUCGCGUAUAAGGAAUGGUUGUGUAAAAGAAAUGUAUUAGCACCCCAAAUACGCCUUACAUAAGAUAAGCUGCAUUGUUUAAUUAUUUGAUAAAAAUCUAAGGAGUUAUUAUAUUUCUAAUUGUUGGUUCGUUUAUGGUUUAAGAAAAGUUCUUCUCGGUAAGGAGGUCCUUAUCUUAUAGGGUAAAAAUUUAACUGUUCUAAUGUCUAUAAAAAAACUAUCUUUUUAAUAUUAGGAAUACAUUUUACUUAUAAAUUCGUAAUCCCAUAUACUAAAACAAAACAAAAUAUUUUUUAGAAGUUUUUUUAAAUAUUGACCCAGUUCUCAUAGCUUUAAUAAACAGGUUAUUAAAGCCAAAAUGCAUGCUAAAACAUAUUUUUGAAUUUUUUAUUAUAUGAAAAUACGAUAUGAUUUAAAAAAAAAAGACUUGGCCGUAUGCAAGAAAGCAAAACAUUUUUUUUUGUUUUAUAAUUUUCUUUUUGCAACAUUUUAGAGAAAGCUGAGUAUUUUAAUACCGGAUUUGUAUCUUUAUGAUAUAAAAAUACAAAUCAAUAUUAAGCAAAAAUUUAAUAGAAAAAUACAUGGGAAAGUCAUAGAUUUGUUUUGGACUGGGUCGGGUCUUUUGGUCCAGGCUGCAACUAUUUGACCUUGAAAACAGUGGAGCAACUCUUCAUUGUUCAUGUAAACAGUGAAGAGUGAAUUAAUUCACUCUCAACUUUUCACGCAGAAUAGUGGAGAAGGGAUCGAUGCAGGAGAACGAGAAGAAGGAGGAGGAGUAGGGCGGGGAAAGGCUGACCCGGCAGCGGUGCUGACGGUGGCGCUAGUGGUUCUUCUUCCAAACAAGGUGGUUGUGCACUGGGGAGCUGCUUCACCAGCCGACUAUUUUAUCUUCUUCUUCUCUGUGUGCUUUUCCUCUGGUUCUUCUUCCUCUCUUUUUCCUGUUUUCUUUAUCUUUGCUUCUGCACCUCCUCCUCUCUGUUUUCUUCAUUUUUCUUUCGUUCCUCUUCGGUUAUUUUUUUUCAGUUCUCUCCUCUCUGUUCGCCUAUGUUUUUCUCUAUUCUCUCCUCUCUUUCUCUUCCCUUUUUUUCUUUCUAUUUUUUUACCUCCAAAACUCCUUAAAAGUGUCGUGUCAAUCCCCUUGUCUUCCCUAUUUUUCACCUUCUGUAAUCUCUUCUUUCUCUGGUCAUGUUCCUCUCUCUAUAAUGUCUAUCCAUUUUUUUUCUUCCCCCCUGUUUCUUGAACAAUCUCCCCUUGUCCAAAAUCUUCUCUCUAAAAUCCCCCUUCUACUUCCCCUUUUAGCUUUUGUUAUUUAUAAGGGCAGGGGAUAGGCAACCACCCUACCCCUGUCCAGUCAUGAAGACAGGGUAAAGUGGCUGGGGCGGUCUCUGUGCAGGCGCCCCAGCUGCCCAGAGGGCAUGGUAUCUCUGUCUAAUCUUUAUCAUGGUAGCAGGUGAGGGGCGUGGGUUGUGCCAGGGUUUGGACAAGUGGGGAGAGAGGGGGGGAACAAAUGCUGCAAAGAAGGGGAAGAAAAACCUUUUUCCCCUGCCUUUGUGUGCUUACAGGACAAAGAUGGCAAACAGUGCCCUUAAAACGACAUUGUUUGCAUUUUUUUUAACAGGGCACUGAAAUGACGUUGUUUAGUACAAAAACGUGUCGUUUCAUUGAAAAGAAAAAAGCGCCAAAGAAGUGCUAAAUUACAAAUCCAUCCUUAAUUUUUGAUUUGUUUAAUCAAGUCCUCAAUUGCAAUUUUGAUUUUAAGAAUCAAUUCAAUUGCAUCCCUGCCAAAUUCAAUAGAUGGCCUUGAAGUUGGCCGGCUUUUUCAUUUUAGUCAUUGGUUUUGAAUUUGUGCAUUUUGACUCUUAAUUGAUCAAUAAACUUACAAUUUCUUCAAUUUGACCUCUGAUUCAGUCAAUUCAAGUUCCUCUAUUUACGUGCCUUUUCCAGUUUGGUCUUUGGUUUCGGAUGUCUUCAAUCAAGUUCCUAAUUGGCCAUAAACCUUCAAUAUUUAUGCAAUUAAGCCUAUGAUUUGACCAAAUCAACUCUUAACAAUUAUAAUUUGACCUCUAAACUUUAAUUUCUUUCAAUUAAAGCUCAAAUUAACUUAAAGUUUAAUUGAGUCCAUAAACAUUUAAUUUUAGACUUUUCUUUUUCAAAUUGAAUUUUUUUUAUCAACAACGCUCUCAUCAGUAAAAAAAUAUAUUGUCAAAUUUCAAUCUUUGUAUUUUUGAACCUCCUCAACCAAUUUUUGGCUAUUUUCUAGGUGCUCUGGAAUCCUUUUAUCACUGCUAUUUGUAUUUUCUUUUUUCUUGUACGGGGACCUAAAAAUGGGUUACAACAAGAUUUAUUGCAACUCUUGCUUACUUUCAAUUCUAUAACCUAUACUUGCUUUCAAAUUCCUUUCACUAUAAAAUUUUUAUAUGAAAGAAUUAUUUCAACUUUAAAGAUUCACGGUUAAAUAAUAUUCUAAAAAUGUGUAUUGUCCGCGUUUGCCAUUCAAAGUUAGUAUCUCAGCUCACUAUUUUCGAGUUCUGGUUCUGCAUAAUAGAGGAGCAUGAGAUUCUUAAAGCCAGCGUCUAGCGUUAACAGAGCAUAGAUAAUUGGGUUUUCGAGACAAAUGAAAUGACAAGUCGACGUCAAAGGAAGAUUGUUGGUUAAUUCGAUGGUUUACCAGAUGGCUUCAUAUCAAUCUAUGAUCACCGGCUCAAUCAAAUCCAUCAUUUUAAUAAAACCCAAUUCAAAUCAAGAUAUAAAUUGAUCCUAGAGCUGAAAUGAAUUUAAUAACUAUGUUUUAUUUUUUUUCUUAGAGUUUAUUUAUUUAUUAUUGUGAUAAUAGUUAUUUUUUAAUUUUUUGUUAACAUCAGUAUUUUAAAAUAAUAUAAAAAAAUUAUUAUUUUUAAAUAUUUUUACACCACAAAAAUAAAUUUGUGCUAAAAUGUUGUUUUUCUUUUUAAAAUCCUUUUCCUUCAGAAGAUUUGAGGAACGACUUGAUAGAGUGAUGCUCGGAGGACCAAUAUAAAAUACUUGGAAAGAAAUGGAGAAAUUAAAAUUAAUAUUUGGGUCUUUGAGGUCAAGGUUCCCAGCUGGGCUUUCCUAUUAAUUAGAUCAAUGUAUUGACAUUAACAUUAACAAAUACUAAAAAACAUGUUAGAAAAGUACCGUAGCUUUCCUUACACGUUUUUUUUUAAUUUUUUAAUUUUUUUUUUUUUGUUUUUUUCUCAAGUUUGUCUUUUUUUAUCUGUCUUUUUGUGUUGUUUUUAAAUUUUGCUAAAAUCUAGUUUUGAAUUGAUGAAUCACAGAGUUGAUUUGUUAGGUCAGACCGAGUUUAAUAAUAUUGUUUGAAACAACACUUUUUUAAUAAAUAGAGUUUAAUAACAUUGUUUGGAACAACACUUCUUUAACGAAUUAAACUAAGGCUCUUGACCUCAAACCUUAAUCAUGGAGUAUCAAUUUGGCUUCAAUAGUUAAGAAGCAUAUUUUUGAGGAAAAAAUGAACUCUUAUUUGACUUGUCUAAGCCAACUAAUAUUCCAACUCAUCUAAGAAUUAGUUGAUGCGAUAUUUCAAAGGUUGAUAAGCUUAGAUGCCAUGUGGUGAUGCAAUAUUUCAACUGACCUCAAUUCAUUUGAUUUCGCUUUGGUCUUUUACGCUUUGAAAAUAAAUGAAAGGUGAAGAAGUCUUCAAAUAUGUGUGACAAAUUAAACCUACCCCCUUCGACUGCGAGCCCUAGCAAGUUGAAACGCUACUUAAUUUAAAUGAAUUAAUAAUUAAGAGGGAGUCUUCCAAAAUCAGAUGAAGUUUUUCCGCAAAGCCUAACCCAUUUUUUAUUGGGCAGGCUUGCAUGUGGAAUGAAUUUUCCAAAAUCUUCAUGUUCAUACUCAUAAAGAGAGAACAACCUAUAAAUAUUUAACAUAAUAAUAAUAAUAAUAAUAAUAAUAAGGGAACUGACAUAUCUCUCAAUUUUCACAUAAUUCUCUACUAGACCCACAAACAAAAACGAUUCCUAAUUUAAUCCCACAAUAUCUAUCAAACACUACCAUUAAGUUUAUGACAAAGAAAAAAAGGUCGUUUGAAGAGAGAUAGGCCCUCUUUUUUAUGAUUGUAAAGGCAAAAACUUUAAGGCAAGGGUUGAUUGUGUAUUUUUCAAUAGAUGAUGGAUACAAUUAUUAAUUUUUUUUCUAGAAUUCAAUUGAGAAUAUAUUGGUUGAUGGUUAGGGGAUAAUUAGAAUAUAACCCACAAAUUAAUCUUGAAAUUUAAAAGCAUAAUUAAAUGGAUUCAUCAAUUAAUUACCAUUACCAGGUUUGUUCUUGUCCUCGGGACAGCCUUCCAACAUCAGGAUGUUAUGGAUGUGUGUGAUCGAUUCUUCAAUUCCUAUAAGUAACAUGACUUUUUAAUUUAUUUUAAUUUUAACAAUAUAUAUGAGCAAUAAUAUCAUGGAUAAUUUGGAUCUUAUAAUUCAGGGCCUUCUCUUAAAUUUUCUCAAUCAAAACUUUAAAUUCCUUUCAAAACAUAUAUUUUUUUUUAAUCCAAAACAUACAAUUUGAGUGGAAUCUAUAAUCAAAUAUGAACGGAAAGAUUUAGUCAAGCAUGGCACCAUGAGGCUUGACUUAGCAUCGAUCCUUAAUUCAUUGACACAUUCACUACUCAAUUACCAAUGUCUGGAUCAAUGUUUGAAAUCCAGAAAAUUAUUUCAACAAUAGAUGAAUUGCACUGGCAAUGAUCACAAGUCAAGUCAAGAUGAUAUUUUUAAAUCCAUCAACUGUUAAUAUUUUGAAAUCCAUCAGUUGGCAAAAUGGGCUGAAGAGGGACUUAAUCACAUAAAUUAAAAAUUAGAGGACCAAAUGGAAAAGGUUGGGAACUCAAUUUGCAUCAAUGGAGAGCCUAAUUGAACAAAAGAAUGACAAUUUAGGACCAAAUUAAAGAAAUAUAUUAAGUAUUGUGACAAACUUGCAAAAUAAUUAAGUUUAGAAAUUUAAUUGAACUUUUAAUGGGUCUUAUUAAUUUAGUUAACAGCUUAAACCAAAGUAAAAUUAAGUUUGAAAGUUAAUUUAAUUAAAAUUAAAAGGAUUAAUUAAAUUCAAUGAUUUCAUUAAAAAUUUAAUAAGUUUAAUUAACUUAAUUAAAGGAAAAUUAAGUUCAAUUUAGCCGAAAGGCUACAUUCGGUCCUUAUCCGAGCAACAGAUCCAUUCGGAGCCACAACGAAGAUAGUCGGAUGUUUGCUUUCUUCUAUUGUCAUAUUCGGAACUCUGCCUUGCCACCACUUGACAGCCUUUUUCCCUUGCAUUGCCACCUCUGCCUUGCCAACACUUGACAGCCUUUUUCCCUUGCAUUGUUAUAUUUUGUCCCAUUUAAAAAAUUAUCUGAUAACAUGGUGUAAACCGUGUUUUUAAAAAAAUCAAAACUUUUUUUAUUUUCUAAACUUAAUAUAUUUUUUAUGUUUUAAAUCGUUUUGAUGUACUGAUGUCAAAAAUAAUUUUUAAAAAAUAAAAAAACAUUAUUGGCAUGUAUUUCGGCACGAAAAGUUAUUUGAAAAACAACCGCAACCACACUACCAAGUAGAAUUGCGGGUUCUUCGUUAAAAUAUAAAUAUUUUUUAUUAAGAUUAAUUUUUUUUAUAAUUUUGGAUUGUUUUGAUGUUUUGAAGUUAGAAAUAAAUUUUAAAACAUAAAAAAUAUUAUUUUGAUUCUUUACUUUAAAUAAUUUAUUUUUUUAGAUUAUUGUGAUAUGAUAAUAUCAAAAAUAAAUUUUAAAAAUUAAAAAAAUAUUAUUUUAAUUAAAAAAUAUUUUAAAAAAUAAAAAAUAACUUUGAAACAACUCGUUUUUCAAAGCUGGUUGUGAUAUUACUCCUCGUAGAACCAAAUCAAUCCAUAAGUUACGAGAUUUAUUGCAACUCUUACUUACUUUUCAAUUCCACAACGUAUGCUUGGUUUCAGGGCAAAUGAGACGACAAGUCGUCGUCAAAGGAAGAAUGUUUGUUAAUUCGAUAAUUGACCAGAUAGCUUCAUAUCAAUCUAUGAUCAUCGGUUCAAUCAAAUCUAUCAUUUUAAUAAAACCCAAUUCAUAUAAAUUGAUCCAGAGUUGAAAUAAAUUUAAUAACUAUUUUUUAAUUUUUUUCUUGAGUGGAUAAUGGGUUUCUUAAAAAAAAAAAAUUAAAAAUUAAAAUAAUAUUAUUUAAAAAAAAUUAUUUUUAACAUUAACCUAUUAAAACAAUAUAAAAAAUUAAUUAAAAAAUCAAUUUACUCUUAAAUAAUUUUACACAACAAAAGUAAGAAAAUGAUAACUUCGCCACUUAUCACGGUUGCUUUUCUUGGCCGACAAAAAAAAUCUGUGCUCAUAAAUUUUGUUUUUCUUUUUUAAAUCCUUUUCCUUGAGAAGAUUUGAGGAACGACUCGGUAGAGUGGAAGAGUGAUGCAAUAUAAAAUACUUGGAAAGAAAUUGAGAAAUUAAAAUUAAUAUUUGGCUCUUUGAGGUCAAGGUUCCCAGCUGUCUCCCUUGAUCCUUGCUGCCUAUGCAAAUUCCUGUGGGCUUCCUACCCGAGAUCAUGAAGAUGGAGCGUGUGGAAACGAAGUCAAUUUGUAUUUUUAAAAAUUUUAAUUUUUUUAAUUAAAAUUAAAAUUUUUUAAUGUUUUGAAUCAUUUUAGUAUACUGAUCUCAAAAAUAAUUUACUAAUAAAACUUUUAGGAUAUUUUUUACCCAAAACAUGCACUUCGGCUAGUUUUGAUAUUUCUUUUGGGUUUUUAAUUUUUUUGAGUAGUUUUUGUGUUUAUUUAAGGAGUAUUAAAUAUUUUGGAGAGAUAGAUUACUUAAAAGAUAAAAUAUUUACUAAUAAAACUUUGAAUUAAAAUCUUAUGUGAUGGCUCUAUUCGUUUCUUUCUUGUUUUGAUUCAAUUGCAUAAAAAACUGAGCAAGAAAUGCCUAGUUAGUUUAAAGUGUUUGCUCACUUUAAAAGACUAUUCGAAGGUUACUCUCACUCGAGCUUAGAAACUGUCUUUUCUGACUGGCAUCUUUGCCUAAAGCUUGACCAGAACUUGUAAGGGUAUCCGAUGAAUUGUAUAGUGAUAAUUUGGAAAUGAAAGGACUAAAGUGAUAAUCUGGGGUCAAUAGUUUCGAGUGGCAGAGCUGUGAAGUCAACUGAGAACCCGCGUACUUACUUUGAUUUUUCUUUCCUUUUCCAUUCGUUAAACGUCUUAUUCUCUUCACUAUCUUCUUCUCUACAAUUCUCUGCUUCUGCUUCCUUCCAAUUCUCUGCAAAGAUCCCAUCAUGGCUGUGGAGUACAUUGGACGAUCAAUUCUCUUUGCUGUCAUUGAGGUUCUGGGCGAGAAGUUGACCACUCCUGAGAUUCUGGGCUUCUUCAAAAGCCACAAGCUCAAUGAUGGUCUUCUCGGAAAGUUGAAAGAAACACUGAAUACUCUCAACGGACUUCUCGACGACGCGGAGGAGAAGCAGAUUACCAAGCCUGCUGUGCAGAGGUGGCUUAAUGAUGCUAGACAUGCUGUGUAUGAAGCUGAGGACUUAAUGGAGGAGAUUGAAUAUGAACAUCUACGAUCCAAGGAUAUUAAAGCUGCCUCUCGACGAGUUAGGAAUCGGGUAAGCAUAUGUUUUUGCCUUUCUCGUAUAAUGUUAGUAUCGAUCUCUCUGAUUUUUACAAGCACAAUUCGAAAUUGUAAAAUAUCAGAAAAUUUCAUAUCUUUUCUUGAAAUAUUUCAUGCAAACAACACCCCUCACUCAAUGAUGCUAAUUUAUCUCAUGCAACUAAUCCUAUGAUACUCUCCUGCAACCACUACUCAUUAUUAUUCCAACAAAUUCCAACCACUGCUUGGCCCAGCUGUCAACUUAAUUAAAACAUGUUCAAUCUAGAAUUUAAAUUAAAUUUGUUUUUUUAAAAAAAAAAAAUCAAAGUUGACCCAUUCAAUUUUUUUUUUUAAAUUAGCACAAUAAAUUUAAAUAUUGGUAUAAUAACACCGUUUGAAAAAAAAAAUAAAAUAACAUACUUUCACAUUUUCGAAUAGCAACAUUUAGUAAUUGUUAUUCUUCUGAAGCGCGACGAAGUUAAAGUUCAAUCAUCUGGCUCAAUUGGUCGGUCGAUUGGAUUCAGUUGUAUUAACUAGUUGACCAUUUUACAUAAAAACCAUAAUUUUAUGAAUUUUUUCUUCCAAAUAUUAAUUAUGAGUCAAAAUAUACAUGUGUUCAACAUGUAGACUAAAAAAUAGAUUCCAAUUAAAAUUUUAAAAUUUUUUUUAUUCACACAGUAGUUGUUAUCUAUUUUUCAAUGUCAAUGAUCUAGAAAGACUUGUGAUAACAAGUGAUCCUAAGUAUCCAUGUGUGUCUAUCAUAACUAAAUAAGAAUCUGCCCUAAACAAAUUACGUGUAUGAUCUAAAAAAUACAUUUAUGGACUGAUGAGAUAGUUUAAGGUUUAAGAGGGGAUCUGGUUCCGCAAAACCAAAAUAACGACUAAAAAUGCUAUAACUUUUGAUUUGACUGUUGGAUCGCACUCAAACUUUUAUAGGAGUUUUUGAAAACCAUCUUCCCUAUUGUAGCCACUGUGUCGCUAUGUAGACCAUCAAAUAUCUAGAUAUCAAAAAUCUCAUCAAGGCCCAUUGAUUUUGAUAUUUUUGAGAUUUUUCUUAUUAUUUUCGGAAUCGGUCGACCAAUUUCACUAACCAUUAUAAACAAAUCAAUCAUUUGAGUCAGAUGAUUGAAGUUUCACCUUGUCGCUUUUUAAAAGCACAACAUUUAGUAAAUAUUGUUAUUCGGAAGUGCGACAACUAUCUUAUCAUGCUUAGAAAUAAUAAAAUUUAGUAAAUGUUGCUUUUCUUAAAUGUGAUAAGGUGAAAAUAUCCUAUUUUUCAAAAGCUUUUUCAAACGAUAUCAUUGCAUUGCAUCACUUUUUUAUGCUUACUGUGAUAAUUACUGAAUUUAUCUUUCAAAUUUUAGUAACCUGUAGGGUUAAUUCACCAUCCUAUCAUCUCAUUAGAAUCUUGGUUAGACUUAAUUUUUUUUUUCAAAAAAUAAUCUCAUUUUAAUUUUUUUAAAAUUUUUUUUAUAAAAAACAUCGUUGCAGCUGUGUAAACUUACUCGGUACCAAGACAUGGGACGAGUUUAAUAAUUUUAGUAUUUAUUUGUUCCUAAAUUCUAUCUCAUAUAUAUGGAUAUGUUCCGCCAUUGCAGGUAAGGAAUUUGUUUCCAAUUCUUAAUCCAGCUAAUAAAAGGAUGAAAGAGAUGGAAGCAGGGUUACAAAAGAUCUAUGAGAAGCUUGAACGUUUAGUUAAACACAAGGGUGAUCUGCGCCACAUAGAAGGUAAUGGUGGAGGGAGACCAUUGUCAGAGAAAACAACUCCUGUGGUUGAUGAAUCUCAUGUAUAUGGAAGGGAAGCUGAUAAGGAAGCCAUAAUGAAGUACUUGUUGACAAAAAACAAUACAAAUGGCGCAAAUGUAGGUGUGAUUCCUAUUGUGGGCAUGGGAGGGGUUGGUAAAACCACUCUUGCUCAGCUUAUCUACAAAGACAGAAGGGUAGAUAAGUGCUUCGAGCUCAAAGCCUGGGUCUGGGCUUCUCAACAAUUUGACGUCACCAGGAUAGUUGAUGAUAUUCUUAAGAAGAUCAACGCAGGUACUUGCGGCACCAAAGAACCAGAUGAAUCUCUAAUGGAGGCAGUGAAAGGGAAAAAACUUCUACUUGUUCUAGAUGAUGCGUGGAACAUUGUGUACAAUGAAUGGGUUAAAUUACUGCUGCCUUUGCAGUAUGCGGAGCCUGGAAGUAAGAUUGUCGUGACAACACGGAAUGAAGAUGUAGCAAAAGUCACGCAAACUGUCAUCCCUUCUCACCAUUUGAAGGGAAUUAGCGAUGAAGAUUGCUGGCAGUUGUUUGCAAGGCAUGCAUUUAGCGGUGCAAAUUCUGGAGCAGUCUCGCACUUGGAAACAUUUGGCAGAGAAAUAGCGAGAAAGUGCAAAGGUUUACCGCUGGCAGCGAAAACUCUUGGGGGUCUUUUGCACUCUGUAGGAGAUGUCAAGCAAUGGGAGAAGAUAUCCAAGAGCAGGAUGUGGGGUUUAUCGAAUGAAAACAUCCCUCCAGCUCUAACAUUGAGCUAUUAUUAUCUCCCUUCACACCUGAAACGUUGUUUUGCUUAUUGUGCAAUAUUUCCCAAGGGUUAUGUAUUUGAGAAGAAUCAAGUAAUCACUUCAUGGAUGGCACAAGGUUUUUUAGUCCAGUCCAGAGGCGUUGAGGAGAUGGAAGAAAUAGGUGACAAAUACUUCAAUGACCUUGUCUCCAGGUCAUUGUUUCAGCAAUCACUUUACGCCCCAUCAUAUUUCAGCAUGCACGACCUCACAAGUGAUCUAGCUGAAUACAUGUCAGGAGAAUUCUGCUUUAAAUUUGUUAUGGAUGGAGAAUCGGGCUCUGGGUUGGAGGGUGAAAAUUCAUGCACGCUUCCAGAAAGCACUCGUCAUUUAUCAAUCACUUCAACACUAUAUGAUGGGGUCUCUAAGAUAUUUCCUCGCAUUCAUGGAGUCCAACAUUUGCGCACCUUGUCUCCACUAACCUACGUGGGGGGGAUUGAUAGUGAGGUGCUGAAUGACAUGUUGACAAAUCUUAAGCGCUUGCGAACGCUAUCUUUAUAUCGGUGGAGCUAUAAAUCUUCUCGGUUGCCCAAUUCCAUCGGCAACUUGAAACAUUUGCGGCACUUGGACCUUUCUCAGACAUUAAUUAAACGGUUGCCCGAAAGUGUGAGCACCUUGUACUAUUUGCAAACUCUAUUGUUAAGAGAGUGUCGACAUCUCAUGGAGUUGCCAUCCAACAUUUCGAACUUGGUCGACUUACAACAUCUUGAUAUUGAAGGGACAAAUUUGAAAGAGAUGCCACCAAAAAUGGGGAAACUCACAAAGCUUCGAACUUUGCAAUAUUACAUUGUGGGAAAAGAGAGUGGGUCUAGCAUGAAAGAGCUGGGGAAGCUCUCACAUAUAAGGAAAAAACUUUCUAUUCGGAAUCUCAGAGAUGUUGCAAAUGCUCAAGAUGCUUUGGAUGCUAAUUUGAAGGGUAAGAAGAAGAUUGAGAAGCUGAGGUUGAUAUGGG
rnacentral:lncRNA from 1 species